rnacentral:lncRNA from 1 species
AUUCAAUUUGUAAAUCCUAGCUUUGUCAAAAUUUCAAGUUUUUUUUUUCCUUAUUCAAACAUAGUAUAAGUCAUCCAAAAAAUAAUGAGUGGUGCUAUCCACACACUCCUUCUUAAUUUAUGGUCUUUGACAUUUUUUUUUUAGUAAAUUUAUUCGAUCUAACAACUUAAAAUUAAGAAAUUGAGAUUGGUUAGGUUGCAACCUGCCAUACAUAUUAAUGGGAUUGGAAUUUUCAUGGCUGAGCCUAAUAUGAUCUUAUAAACUGUCACGUUUUUUACAAUUUAUUUAUUUUUUGGACCAUUUAUGUCAUUUCCUAAGGCAGUUUUAUAGACCACAAACUAAAUUAUGCGAAGAAACAAGUCGUUCAUGUUUCCGAUCCACAUAAAUGAAGAGGACGGUAAUAUGGGAAUUGGAUCCCCUCCCUCCUGAGCAAAUGGUGGGGAUUCUCAUGACCCAUUAAAAUGGACCGUUAAAUUUUGAUUCAACGGUUACAAAUAGAGGAUUCCUUUAAAAGUUGUAAUAAUUGUAAUCGUUAGAUCAAAAUCUAACAGCCCAUAUUAGUGGGUCAUGAGGAUGCCCACCAUUUGCUCAGGAAGGAAUCCAAUUCCGGUACUAUGACUUAGUCCUGCUACGAUUACAUAGUGCAUUGUGAAGUCUUUGAAAAUAUCAUGUCGUUUGCUUAAAGAAAAAUUGAACGAAAUAACUAGGUCAGCAAAAGCAUUUAACAUGCAGCAGGUUUUCCUUCUCAGAUUUUACAGUUAAUCAAUUUAAUGACUUUUGCGUGUUUCCAAUUGAAUAUAUCUUCCAAAAUUCCGUCAUUUUUUUUCUUCUAUUAUUUAGAAAUUUUUUUAGUAAUAUUGAAUUUCUUUAUGCAAACAUAGUGUUAUUAAAUAUAGAGGUAAUAAAAGCUUGUCACAAUGUUGUUUUGUCACUUAAUACCACGAUCUAAUGUUAUUUCUCUUUACUUGUAAGUGAGAAGUUUUACAUUUGACUAUCGUCAAAGGUAAAUUUAAACCAUAUUAUUACUAACUCAUGGUGAUGGUUAACUCACUCUCACACCCUCUUAGUGUAGAUACUUUCGUUUGUUAAAAAAAAAAUCAAAGUUCAAAUCAUCGGGCUCCGUUAAUUAAAAUAACUGUAUAGACAUAUUUGAGACGGACUUACGUAUUGUUAUAGGGGUAUGCUAUUCACACAACCUAUUUUACUUCUCACACACCCCUUGAUAAUUUAUGUCCGUUGAUCUUCUUCAAUUCCUCCGAUCCGACGGUCAAAAAUUAAAAAGAUUUGUGAGAAGUAAAAUGGGGUGUGAUACCCUUGUUAUAUUUUUGCCAUCAACUCAGACUACUCAGUGACCCAAUUAUUUGUGACACAUACGGAUAAAAAAGCUCAAUUAUUGAGAAGAAAGAAAAUGGUUAGCGGACAUUGUGCAAGCAGAGUGGGACCAUAUUCACCGAACCAAUGACAUUAUUAAAUUUUGAUUCAUAGCCCCCCAUAGCUUAAUUAAACUUAUAAAUUUUGAAUCAUAUUAAAUUUUCUCUUGGUUAGCUUAAUUGUAUAACUAACAAUUGUACACAUGUUAUGCAGGGUUGCUUAUUAAAAUUGUGAAAAUAAAACUUACAAAGAGAAAAAUAUAAAAUAAUUGCCAAAGCAUUUUGGUAACAACCUUCAGAUAAUUUUUUGUUGUUGAAGAGGUUGUGCAUAUUUUUAGUGACUAUUUCUGCAUAAUUAUCUCGUUAUUAAAGAUUUAUUUUAUUUGAGAAAAAAAAAACAAGGAGAAGAAAAUAGGGGCAGCUGAUAUGGUUAUUUGACUAUGCGGCUUUGAAAAAAACAGUAAAAAAAAUGAGUGCUACUAAGCCCACCCCAUUGUCUUUUCUCACCGACUUGGAAAUAAUAAUUUUAUUGACAAAUUUUUCCAUGUAUAGAAUGACCUUCAAAGACCUAAAAACCAACCAAUCAAGUUUUGCCACAUAAUUAUUAGUUAUAUACUUUUAAAGUUUUGAAACCUAAAACAUCAUAGUGAGAAGUUGGCCAUUGCUUUAGCCUUAAUGAACAUUCCAAUACAAUGAAAAAUCCUUGUCAGUAUUUGUAUUUGUAUCGAAGGAUCUGGUGGUUUUGGGUUUCCCAAUGGAAGAUGUUUAUACCAUAUUUAGGGCAUCGUAUUUAGAUCUCGUACAAAUACUCGGGGGACUUAAAUGUAAUUAUGUAAUAAAGGAAUGGGCAAAUAUGUAAUAAGUGAGGAGCCCUUAUUCUAUAAAAGGACUCCUCACCCUCACAAUUAGAGGAGGCCAAUUCCUAAGGCUCCUCACCUCAUCUCUCAGAUAAAUACAUAAUCAGUGUGGACGUAGCCCAAACCUUGGGGUGAACCACGAUACAUCUUGUGUUAUUUACAUUUCUUGCAGAUUCACUGUCGGAUUUACGUUGUUCAAAGACCUCCGGUUUUGUGCAUCAACAUUUGACGCCGUCUGUGGGAAUCGACACAAAAAGCUAUGUCAGUUCUCUCUUAAUUUUUCACCUCCGCCAUGGAUCUGCAAAAUCUGCAAAAUCCAAGAAACCAAACACUACAGAAUGGCAUAGGAGGACCCAGAUAUUUAGGGGAGAUAAGGACAUAGAUUUGCAAAAUGGACUGAGACAGAACCUCUCUCUCUGUCUCUCUGUCUCUCUCUCCCCCUCGUAUUAGCAUACUGCAGCCACAAACCAGGCUCUUCCAUAAUCCUGGGCCGUGACUUCACAACGGAGACCAAGUAUAUGCUUCGCUAUCUGCGCCAAGUGCUACGACUUCAGCUUCACCACCGAGCUCACGAUCGCCGACUCCGCGACUUUGGUAUCUACAGCUCACAAUCUCCAAGGGAACCUCCAUCAAGUCCAUUCAGGAAACCCAGGCCUUCACCAAGAUCCACGACCCAACCGACGUCUCGGCGGUGCUCAAAUCCCUGAGAAAAAACCUCUACUAUGCCUUGCUUCAUGUCACCCUACCAAUUCCAAUCAUCAAUUCUCAAUUUUCUUCAACGUUUUCAGAUUUGGAAUCGAACCCACGUUCGAUUUUCCAUUUUCUUCGAUCCCCACUCGAAAUUUUCAGCUAAACAUAGAUUUCUACGACGAAUUUCAGAUAUCAGAGAAUGAGAGAUGGGGAUGAGAGUGAGAGCCAUAGGGCAUUGCCGAACCUCAUUUAAAGCCUCCAGAAGGAAAACCAACCAGGUGACCCACAAACCCUAAAUGGGUUUGAAUCUGAUCAUCAUAAUCGGUUCAUGAGCUUCACCGACUGCCUACACAGAUCAUUGGACUACAACACCCUCUCGAAAGCCUUCGAGAUGUCUUGUUCUUUAUCCGAAGUCAUUUCUCCACCGUUGGAUCAUGAUAACAACUCAAACAAGCAGCCGGCGGCAGUAGGUGUACGAGAUCACUAAUUGGGGACUACUAGUACCACUGAAAACCCUUCCACACCAAAUUAUUCCUUAAUAUCUUCUUCAUCUAAUGAAGCUGUUGGUGCUGCUGGUGAUGAUGAAGUUUUAGAUGAAGAUUCAGAUCAUAAGAGAAAGAAAGAUAGAUAGCCAAAAUUAGGGUCUGAUGGAGAUCAUGAAGACAAGACAAAGAAAGGCUUUAGCUCUCUCUCGCUGUGAUCGUGUCCGAGGGAUUCUGUUGGGGACAGGCAACCCACUGUUCGACAUCUCCGUCGUCGUUGAUGAGGAAUUCAUACAAAAGGUUUAGAGCAACACAGGGCCUAAAAGGGCGAGGUCCCUCAGCAUUCGUCAAGAUCGAGAUCUUUAUCUCUCUCUCUCUCCACACCACCGUCCCCUACCUCUCGCCUUCCGCCUCCUUGAGGCUGUCCACUCCCACAUCGCCGCUACAGGCCGCACCAACAAUGAGCUUCACGGUCGGAUUUUUCAACAGUGGCGGUUAUUCACAGUCAACAGUGGCGUUUGUUCUGCACUGACUCAAAGUUCAGUGUGCGUACCCUUGGAGUUUUCAAUCAUUUUUAGGAAUGAUCACAGUCAACAGUGGCGUUUGUUCUGCACUGGCUAAAGGGAGGCUUUACUUUUGAAAACCCCGAGAGUCACGAAGAUGCUAAAGUUGGCGAAUCCAAUCCACUUUAGAAAAAGAAGUCACAGAUUCAGCCUUAACGGCAGUAAACAGUCAAAUCCAACUCAUAAGGGGUGGGCAUAAAAAAAAAAGCAAUCAAGUGAGCUGCGGUACGAAAGCAAAAGAGAGAGACGCAGUGGGAAACAGAAACAAAAGCAAAAAAACAAAAGCAAAAAGCAAAAGCAAGGAAUAAACACCCCACCAGAAUGAUGUGAUUUACUUUUCUGAUUUUUGUAUGAUGUAAUUUAUUUUUUUUAUCUUUCGAAGACAUCUGUAUAAACCCCAUCAGAGGGUAAAAAAAAAAUGGCAAAGCCCAAAAUAAAUGGGCUGGCAUGUUGUGGAGGGCGAAGGCCCAUAAGCCCAAAAUAGCUCCAACCAGGCGAUCAAAAGUACGCCCAAUACUCCACAAAUAUUCGGCAACCUGCCACUAUUACCACCAACCAAAUGAUCAAAAGUACGCCCAGUACUUCAAAAUUAUACAUGAGCACUACUCAUGUCAAUCAUACAUAAACAUACAUAAGCAUUACUCAUGUCAAUCAUACAUAAACAUUCAUGAGCAUCACUCAUAUCAAUCAUACAUAAACAUUCAUGAGCAUCACUCAUGUCAACAUUCAUGAGCAUCACUCAUGACAACAUCCAUAAGAAUCACUUAUGUCAAUCAAAACAUUCAUGAGCAUCACUCAUGUCAAUCAGCUUCAAAAGUUUCAUCUAUAAAAGCUCUAGCUUCAAAAGCUUCAUUUACAGAGCUAUAGCUUCAAAAGCUACAUUUACAAAAGCUCUAGCUUCAAAAGCUUCAUUUAUAGAGCUACAGCUUCAAAGCUUCACUUGCAAAACUUCACCUACAAAGCUUCAGUGCAGGGUAUACAAAUACCGCCUCCGAACAACCGCCACUUCGGCCCAUACAUGGAUUCAAUUUGAAGUCUUUAGCCAACAAACUCUAUUGACCAAAGACUUAGGGGACUACAUUAUGUACCAUAUAUUGGACCUUAACUGGGCCUCAUGAAAAAUACUUGGGGGACUUAACCUUAUUUAUGUAUUAAGGAGCGAGCCCUUAUUCUAUAAAAGGGACUCCCUCACUUUCAUUAGAGAGCACCUAUUACUCAUGUAUUGAGGAGCGAGCCCUUAUUCUAUAAAAGGGACUCCCUCACCUUCAUUAGAGAGCAACGCCGCCAGUUGAGCAACCGACUCGCCGCGAGCAUCACUCAUAGCCCAUCACUUAUGUAUUGAGGAGCGAGUCCUUAUUCUAUAAAAGAGACUCCCUCACCACCAUUAGAGAACAUUGCCGCCUACUGAGCAACCGCCUCGCCGCGAGCAUUAACUCUAGCCCAUCAUUUAUGUAUUGAGGAGCGAGCCCUUAUUCUAUACAAGGGAUCCCCUCACCUUCAAACACCACAAACCGAGCCAACCAAGGCAACAUAAGCCACAAGCCGAGCAGCCCCACAACAUGUGCCACUUCUAGUUGAGCAUCAUUUCAGAUUGAGCACCGCCUUAUAUCGAACAUCAGUUCAAGACAACAUCUAGUUACUUCAGCCUACACAUGGACUGAAUUUCAAGUCUUCAGCCAAAAGACUCUCUUGACUGAAGACUUGGGGGGCUAGUGUUUAUACCAUAUUUAGGGCCUCGUAUUUAGAUCUCGUACAAAUACUCAGGGGACUUAAAUGUAAUUAUGUAAUAAAGGAAUGGGCAAAUAUGUAAUAAGUGAUGAGCCCUUAUUCAAUAAAAUGACUCAUCACCCUUACAAUUAGAGGAUGCCAAUUCCUAAGGCUCCUCACCCCCUCUCUCAGAGAGCUUUCUCUCUCUCAGAUAAAUACAUAAUCAGUGUGGACGUAGCCCAAACUUUGGGGUGAACCACGAUACAUCUUGUGUUAUUUACAUUUCUUACAGAUUCACGGACAGAUUUACGUUGUUCCAAGACCUCCGGUUUUGUGCAUCAACAGAAGGUUUUACAGAAGAUUUAUAUUAAAGUGGAUACUGAUAGAGAUUCUGCACCAUAGCGGUUUUGAGGCAUGGUGGUAUUGCGAUAAUUGGCGACCGAGGCGGCGAACUAGGUGUUGGUGUGGUGUGGUUUUGAGGGGUUUGGUACAUUUGAGAUGGGGUUUUUCUUUUUUUUUUUUUUGGAGGGGGGGUUGGAUUGAGGGUUUGGGGGUGUUGAUGGCGGUUUUCUCUGGGGUGUAAAGAGAUGAUGAGAACAAAUUCACGUCAGUGAGAAUGGCACCCAUCCUCCAUUGUUGUAACUAACUAAGGUCUUAAUAAUAAUUGCUUUUUAAAAAUUAUUUAUCUGUUUUAAAUCUAACAAAAAAAAAUAUGUUGGAUUAUUUUGGGAAUAUUGGUGGGUGAGGAAAGAGUUUACAUGUUUUUUCAUUUUUUAUGAAGGGUGAGAAUAUAAAGUGGGUGGGGAGAUAAAACAAUGGGGUGGGUAUAACACCACUCAAAAAAAUUUGUGUUUAAUUUACUAUAUUGCCCAUAACUUAUAUCAUAUCAACCAUCAACAAGAGUCAAUUCUAAGACUUAUUACUUACAAGUUAAAAAGUAAAUAAAUAAAUACUAAAACUUUAUAUAUGGUUGGAUUUUUACUGCAUUAUUUUAAAAAAUUGUCGAAUAAUACACGUAUAUAUUUAUCCAUAUUUAUUCUUUUAACUUUAUAUAAGACUAUCAUUAGACUGUUAGUGUUUAUGGGUUCGUGUACAUAUCUUGUAAACAAGAUAAAUAUUAUCUUCACUGGUUAAUGUGUUUUUAUUUUUGAAUUAUAUAAGUUAUGUAUGUUUAUUAUCUCAAUUCUUAAAUACUAUUGUUACUAGUAUAUCAGUCUAGUAGUAGUCAUCUCUAUUUGUAAUUAAGUGGGAGAUUUGAAGUUCAGAUUCUUGACAAGUUUAAUACUAAAUUAUUGCUAACACAUUGCGUGACUUAGCCCAACGUUUAUACUCUCUUCAGUAUCGAUUCAUUUAAAAAAUACUAAAAAUUGUAAAUUAUUUUGAUUCUUGAGUUUUUGCAUUUACUUUAGUUAAAGGAUUUGCAUAUCUGUAUUUUAGUAAGGCUAAUUAUAUUAACACCCCACAAAUUGUUGAAUAAACCCUACAAACUUAAUGCACCUCACAUUUACUUUUUCACUUAAAAAUUAUCUUAAUACACCCCACAUUUUCUUUACACCACACAUUUCUCAAAUCUUAUAACACUCAUUUUUAAUUUCCAGGGAUUGAAUCUAACCAUAUGAACACUAAAAGAUGAAUAUGAAUAUAGAAGUUUAAAUAAUGCAGCAAACGCAAGAUUAAAUAAUUAUCAAUGCCAUCGAAAUCACUAAAACAAUGAAAACCAUGAAGUCUUACCUCAUGUGAAGCUCCUGAAACAUCAAUUUCGUGUUCCAUUCGUCAUAAACAAUUUUUCUUAAUCAACAUGUUUGAUAGUUGAGAAGAUAAAUAAUACGCUAAAAAUGAUUUGGAGUGUAUUUAUUAUAAAUCUUUAUUUUUUUUAAAACCUAAUAAGGUCAAAAUUGUCAUUGCAUAGUGGAGUAAAUAAGUCAUUUAAUAUUAAAUUUUAAUGUGAAGUGCAUUCAAUAUUUUGUGGGAUGUUAAUAUAAAAACCCUAUGUGAAAAACUCAAGAAUCAAAUAAUUGUAAUUAUCAUUCUGGUAAGUAAAUAUGCUCUAAAUUAUAUACAAGAUGUCUGCUGGACAGGGAGGGAAAAGAAAUAAACAUAAGAAGCCUUUUUGUGUGGGUCCGUGAAAAAACAUGAAGCCCAUAUAAAUGUGUGAAACUUAAUGAUGAACACAUAGGGCUAAAUUAUAUACAUUAUUGAAAGUUAACUAAGCCCUUAACAACCUUGAUGGCAUGGAAAAUUGAAACUCGGUCAUCUAGCUAAUAGAAUCAUGUUGGUUGUGGUGAAUUGCUCUCAUGGUUAAGGUCUUUCUUUUAACUUAUUGUGUUCCGGUUUCAAACAAUUCCCUCUCUCUUUAAUAUGAAUUAGUGUAAAAUAUCAUUUUUAAUAAAAAAUAGAAUAUAGAACUAAUGAAGACAUGUUACUAGAAAAUUUCACUAAACAACUGUAGUCUAGAGGCAUUCCUUCUUCAAUUUUAGAAAAGGUCUUUAUGUUCUACCUAAUAAAGGCAUCUAACUAUAUAAGUGUUGUACAAUUCCACACACUAGGACAAACUUGAGAUUGAACUAUCAUGGAGGUAGAUUGUUUUUUACCUGUUUUUCUUGGAGAUAUAACACACAUUUUUUAUAUCGCACAUCUCUGUUUAAUUAUAUUGAAAUAUGCUCAAACUGCAGUGAUGGUUGACUCUGACGUGAGGCUGCAUAUUUAAUGGUUUUGAUAUUCGGGGCUUUUGGUUUAUUCGUCUUCGGCUUGGGGAUACCUUGCAAGGCUUGCAUAGUUUUUGGUUGGGAACUCCUAUAUAACAAAAUCGUGAAACUCUAUCAUGUGGUCGCGUGACAGGGGCAUGGUGUGGUAGACGUGACAACAUCAUGCAUGACUCGAUCAUCAGACACAGAAAGGUCACGUUUCAGAUCGUGGAGGCUUAACGGGUGAAUCAAGUCUACCCGCGGGUAACUGUUUCAACCCGUUUAAACUCGUAAAACUAAAAGGUUAACAUCACUGGAGCUUCAUGUAUUCAUAUGUUUAGGAAUUGUUGACAUGCAGGCGGGUCAACUUCAGUUGAGGUAUUAAUAUUGCUCCAACUUAGGAGUGGGCAAACGGGCCUUGGGCUUGCGAGUUAGGGUGAGUCCAAGUGGUUCGGGACAGGUAUGGGGCGGGUCCAAAAAUUCUAAAUAGAAAACGGGACAGGGCGGGGCGAUUUCAUGAAAUUAGCAGGGCUGGGUGGGUCCAAAAUUUUGAGAAAACAUGCCCUCGGCUUGGACCAUUUCCACCUUUGAUUUAAUAUCACUCAAAUCAACAUCGUUGAUUCCCAACCCUAUCACAAGUCACAACACUCUCUCUCUUUGAAUCUCAAUCUCAGACUUGCAGCACGUAGGAGCGCAACCUCAUCCUUUGUCCCCAUCUCUCUCGCUCAUCUCUCCCAAUCUCAACUUGAUUUCUCUAUCUACUGACUCCGACCGUCGAAGAUGGCGUCGAUGAUAACAUGAGGCUCCAAAUUGGGGAUGCUCUAAGGGACCUGAGGGAUAGCAAAGAUUGAAGAUGGACGAUGAUGGCGCUAUGACGAUAGCAAACCUCGUCGAUGACGGUGGGCUCCAGAUCAACUAAGAUGGAGUGAGAGACUUGUUUUCCAACAACAGUUUCAGAGAAGACGGUGUUAAAGGUGGGUUUUUGGACCUGUGCACUCAACUUGAAGAGGAAUGUGUGGUUUUUUACCUAUGGACCAGACUCAACAGAGGAAUCAACGGUGGUUUUUGACGAUGUUGUCAAAGAGGAAACACUCUGAGCUUUACGGUGGAGAGAGACCUGUCUCGGAAAAAAACAUCAUCAGCUUCAACUACGUCAUUUCCAUCUGUGGACCCAUGGACCCGAUCCAAACCAGCCCGUUUUCAAUGGGCCGAAUUAGGUCCAGUUCAAAUUCAAAAAUUCAAUUACCCACCCCAUUGCCUUUUAAAACGGGUCCAAUUUGGUCCCUUCAAAUUUGAGCCCGGCCCAGCACUUGCCCAGCCCUACUCCAACUCAAUCUACCUAGUGAAUGGGAGUAUCAAGAUUUUACCCGAGUUUUUUAAAAUUUAGAACUCAACUCAACCUAACUCGUUUCCAUUGGAUUAAUCGGUUGAUCCACUAAAAUGCCCACCCAUAAUCCAUAAUGAUAUGAGUCACGACCAAAUGCCAACUUUCAUAGAAGUAGCAAAAAAUGGACGUCUCGUCGAUCUUAAUUAAACAGAAUAUAUAGCCCUACUAAGCAUUACCCUGGCUAGCAUUGCUUGGACAAUCUUCGUGUAGGAAUAGUGAUGUCCACAAACAAUAUAUGUUAACAGUCAAUUUUGAUGGAUAAAAUAGUAGUGGACAGUGGACUUGUAGGAUUUACAAGUCACUAUUAUUAAGCAUUGGGCAGUUGCUAUUAAUCAACAGUAUUGCACAAAGAACACAUGCGUAUUUGCGAGAAAGAGACCUCAAAUCUGGGGAUGACCUUCUAUAUAUAUGUAGAAACAUAGAUGCAUGUGGAUGCAUGUACUACACUUCUAUCUAGCUACAACAUGCGCACACACUCAAAUACAUAUCAUAUACAUCAUGUAUGUAUUAAGGGAUGCAUGGUAGAACAUGAUGCAAUAUUAUAUACUUACAGGUACACACACACACAUAUCAUGUAUGUAUUAAGGGAUGCAUGUUAGAACAUGAUGCAAUAUUAUAUACUUACAGGUACACACACACACACAUAAAAUGCAACCAUGAGUCAGGAACGGGAGACACAUUCGUUGAGGUCACUUCAUAAUGUAUAUCACGAUCAAGCCGUUUAUCUCUUCGGUCUUCUCUCAAAAUCAAAGAAUAUUUUAUCCACCAAAAAUCACCCAAAUAAAAAAAAAUUGGAUCGUUGGAUUCAAUGGGAGUCAUUUCUUUCUAGAACCAUAUUUGUCGAUUUUCUUCACUACAAAUGAAUGUAUUAAUGAUUUUAAAUUUGUCUAAUUUUUUGCAAGAAUGAAUGUCAAAAUGUAUGUUAAAAUGGGUGUGCCCUAUCCUAACCCUAUAACCAUAUACAGAUUAUACUACAUAUUUGCUAAUAGCAAGUUAGCAACUAUGUAUGUAUUUACGUAUCCAAACAUCAAUGUAUGUAUUCAUAUGCGUGUUAGAAUGUCAAUUUGCAUCAUAUUUAACUGUUUAAGUAAGAACUAACUUAUUCUGUAUGGUAAAGUAAUAAUUAUCUUAUUGCUACUAAAAAUUUAUUACUUCAUUUUUCUGCUACUUUUCUUGAUGGGCUUUAUGAAUUAUUUUAGAUUCUAGCUAGACUCUAUGGUUACAAUGGCUUUUAUAAUAUAUGAUGAUUAAUUAUUUAUUUUGUAACUUGAUUUAGCUCACAUUAAUAAAAAAACAAAAAACCCUAAUUAAAACUAAAAAUUUAAACAAAAAUGAGUAAUGUUAUUUAGGUGCACAAAAUGACACACUCUAAUAUUAGUAGGUCCUACAUAUAUACAAUGGUACGAUUCAUCUCUAUUAGAUCCUCGUGGAUCAUGUGCAUUGUAGGACUUAAAUUUAUGUUUUAUGUACUACUAGUGAAGAAAAAAUUCACAAAAAUAUAUACGAAAUAAAAUUGAAAAUGGUUGCAUUAUUAUUAUUGUUUCAUUUUUUGAGAAAUGUUGCAUGAUUGAUACUACGGCAAAAUACACACGGACACACACGCACUUGUGGAGUUAUUUGCACCGAAAAACGUCAAGAUACAAUCUUCGGAAGGCGGUUUCCCCGUAACUAUAGAAUUUAAUUAUUAGAAAAAACCGGAGAAGUGCACGAUUGCAUGCGGAUGGAGAUAUUUUGGUUAGCUAGGGUUUUCUUUUUGGGGUGUGAUAUUUUGGUUACGAUCUUCGUCGGAUCGGUUGAAUUAAAAAAAAAUCAAAUAAUAGAAAUUAACAAAAAGUAUGUAAGAAGUAAAAGUAUGUAAGAAGUAAAAAAAGAUAUAUAAAUAGCACACUCUUUCUUUUUAGGGAAUUUUAACGAAUUUUAACGAAAAGCACCUGGUACUGUUCACUUUAACGAAAAACCACAUUUUUACACCAAAAAGGCAAUCCUAGUACUAUUCACUUUACCCUUUAUUUUGUCCUUAUCAUUAAAACUCAAAGUUUUCAAACCCUUUUCAUUAGUUUUCCUUUCUUUUUAUCUCUUACAUUCAUAAAGAGAAAGUGAGAGCAUGCAAAGCAUAAACUUUUAGUUGCCAAUCCAAAGCUCGACAAGCUUUAUGUAUUUUAUGCAUCUCCACCACUUCACUCUUUAAUUGGAGCUUGUAUCAUGGGUAGCUCCAAGUCUGUCACUUUUCCACCCAAAAAUACGGAAAAAAGUGAUUUUAUAGGUAUGUACUGUAAAUUCCCCAAUUAGGUUUAUAGAUUUGCAUCAUCUAAAUUUUAGCUGGUCAAGCUAUUACCAUUCUCUACCAAAUCCAAACCAAAGAAAAGAAAAACUAUAUUUGUAGAGACAUAAAUUAACUACAUGCAGUCAUUUAAUAUUACAAUUUAGUGGUAUUCAUCUUCACUGGUAAGUGAAAGGUCUUAGGUUCAAUUCUCGCCAAAUGUAAAUUUGAACCAUGUUAUUGCUAGCCUAUUGUGAGGCUUAGCCUACUCACCCACCCCCUCUUAGUGUUAGAUAAUAUCGUUUGUUCAUAAAAAAAAACUACAUCCAAUAGAAAAAUGACACAUAAACUUUAUGCUCGCUAUGAUGAUUUUAUCCUUAACAUCGUGAGCAGACCACAGAUCACUUCAAAAAACAUGAUAUAUGUUUGUCUUCUAUGGGAAACUGUGACAACUGCCUAUCCUGUGAGUAUUAGGCCUCUAGGCCACCAACGUAUCAAAGGUGCUUUGAACUCAUGAUAUGUCCUACCACCGGGCCAUAUCCAGCCAAAUGGUGGCAGGAAGCCGACUCUUCGAGUCUUCCUUGGAUUUCUGGUGUGCUAGCUCUCUUACCAACAAGGACCUUCAAGACUACUAGCUGAUAUAAUUGCAUAGACUAAUCUGCACUGCCUAGUAUGGCGUGGAACCUCCCGGCCAGUAGCCUGCUAGGAUUCAAGUCUAUAAAUAGCCAAAUGAAACAAAGAAAAUUGCAAUUGCUACUAAGUUCAUGGUUUCUCUCAAACAACUUUUCUGACUUAGACAGAUACCCUUUGGUGGACACCCUCCUCUUUUUUGAAUGUUUGUCAAUUAAGCUAACAAUGUUUCUUAUUUAAUUAUAAGUAAAAUUCAACCCUGUACAAAAUUUGCAUCUGCAAUAUUAUUUACGAAUAUUGCGCCACUAUAGAACUUAGCAAAGUAAAAGGAUAUACUGUACCUUUUUUUUUGGAAGUUUUAACAAAACACUUCCGGUAUCGUUCACUUUUAAUGAAAAACCACAUUUAUACAUUUCCUUAUUACUAUUCACUAUACCUUUAAAAAUAACUUUUCAUUAAAAAAGAAUUUUUUUUGAACUUUUUGUUAGUUUUCCUUUUUUUUUUUAAUGGGAAGCUGGGAAAGCUUUCUAUCAUGCACUCUGUUUUUCUUCUUUCUUCUCUCUCAGGCGCCUUUUAUUUCGGGGGCUGAAGUCUCCCUCCCUCCCCUCUCCCCUUUCAUUUUCUUCUUUUUCAUUAUUCAUACAUCGUGCAUUAGGCCAUUUUUAAGCAUUCAUAUCCUAACAUUCAGAAAACAAAAGGCAACAUGAAUGUCCUGUUAAGGGUAACAAAUCAAAGAAACGAGUGGGCAGAUGUACAUGUCAGCAUAGCAAGUGGAAAAGGUUAUUAGUAGAUGGAUCCACCUGAUCCACCACUGCUACAUAAUGCAUGGUAGGGUUCGAUGUGAGAAUCAUUAGAAGUCAUUUCCAAAUUUUGAUCAUAUAUAUGCAUAUAUCGAUGUAUAUAUAAAAAAUUUGAUCAUAUAUAUGCAAAUUUUGAUCAUAUUAGAGAAAAAAAGUCACGAUGUACAUAUGCAUAUUAGUCGGCUUGAAAUUUUACGCGUAUGAUCUUUAAGCUACCAUUCUAUUGGAGAGCGGUGGGCUCCAAAAGAUUCAGUGUUAUAAAAUGAACUAAUCUACGUCAAGAUAAAGUAUAUAUUGCUAAGAAGCAUGUGUUAGGAAAGCAAUGGAGAUGGUAACAGUAUCGGCCAUCCAUAUUGAAGCCAAACCACCAUUUUUAUUCAUGAUUUGUUCUUUUGACGGAUGAGGAUUUUUGUUCUGUUUUGUUUAUAUUGGAGGGUGCCGAACUUAAACCUAAUCAACUCUUACAUAUCCAGAACCCUACCAUCCUCAUUAUUGGGCUAACCCUAGUGGCUAAAGAGGAAGAAAUUAGUUGUAGCAAUAAUGGUAAGAAUUGCAACGCAAAAUAAAGUAUUACAAUUAGAAGCACAAAGUGCAUAGAAAGCCUGAUGACCCAUUUGUUUUGAAAAUUUUGCCUAUCAACUAUCAUCGGCCAAGCAAUCAAUAGGUCAAUAGAUCAGUGGGAGAUCUGAAACAUAAAAAAGUUACCACGUUAAAAAUAGGUUGCAGGUCUGUUGUCUCCUUAUAUGUGUCUCUUUUGUGGUUUUUGCUAAUAUUUUGAUACAUGUCUUCUAGCUUAACUGAGAGAUAACUCUAUUAACUUUUCUAUUUGACAUUUAAAAAUUGAAAAAAAAAUCCAAUAUGCGAAGAAAUAUGCUAGCAUUGUAGGCUGUUUCAAGAAAUAUGCGGUCAAUAUUCUUCUCAACUCUCAUCUCUCAAACCCGAGCAAAACCCUAGCACCAUUAAUCUUCACUUCUUUUUCCUUGGCUGUUGGGUUAACAAGGUGAGCAAAGCUCUUCCCAAUCUUUUCUCCAUGGUUGUACUGCUAUUUUCUCUAUAGUAAUGAAAAUCUCAAUUAUAUGGAAAUUUUGGCGUACUUUCUCGAGUAGCGUCUCGUUCAACAGAUCCAAUCUUUGAGAAGCUGAGCAACGAAAUACCACCUAUAACAAUACAUAGGAUUCAUAUGAAUCAGGUAUUGGUGGUGUAUAUAUAUUGAAUCAUUUAUAAUUUUCUUGCUUCUUAUUCAUAUAUAAAUUUGACUCUUAGAUAUGUUGUGAUUUUCAUUUUUCCUUGAGAAAUUAAUUCCGGAGAAACCAAUGGGAUAUAAGCGUAUGAAAAGCCAAAAUUAUGAAACAAGAGUAUUGACUUGAAUUUCUGUUAUAGACUGUGGAAACAACCAAGCACUAGCAAAUAUGAAAUCUUCCCUCAGAGGAAGAAUUGACACCAUAAAAUCACAUUUGACUCCAUAGAUAAUACAGUUUUAUGCAGUUGUAAUAAGUAUGAUUUUGUAGGAAUCUUGUGUGCACAUGCUGUAAAGAUUCUUUCUACAAGAAAUAUUACAAAUAUUCCAAUUGAGUACAUCUUGGAGAUAUAGACAAAAAAAUAUCAAGUCUAGGAGUGCAAAAGCUACUCUCAAGAUCUCAAAUAAAAAUGACUCAAAAGCCAACAUUCUAAGACCUUAUAGAGAGCUAUGUCGACUGCAUAUUCAAUUAGCAACACGAACAGUAGAGUAGCCAGAAGCAUAUGAAAGUGCUAUAUCAAGACUGAACAAGACAUUGGGACAUAUUGAUGCAUGUUUGAAGGAGAAAGCAACUCAACUACCAACUCAAUUGAGUGCAUCUGAGCUCAAUGAGACAAUAUGCAUUGAUGGUAAUGUCAUUAAAGUUAGAGGAAUCAAAACAAAGGAAACAGUUGCUGAAAGUUUUAAGAGGCCAAGAAAUGCUCUGGAAAAGACCACAAAAAAGAAAAAGCCUCGAAAUAAGGAACUACAUUCUUCAACUGUUGACUUCGUUGUCAGCUACACAAAUAGCUCUACCUCAUGCUACCAUAUUGCAACUAGUGUGUAGCCUUUUGAUCUGUCGAUUAAUUGAAAGUUAUGGUUUUGAAGAUUUAUUUUACUUUCAUUUAGUGAGGACUAACGUCUAGUUCUGGACGGUUAUAUAAAUUUAGGUUCACUUAUACAUCUACAAGCUUGCACUUAUUUAUAAGCAUAUUUUUUUUUUCACUUGUCUUUAUAUAUAGCAAUACUAUUUAGGAACCCAGAAUCCUACAAGCAGUUAUCCGCAAAAUCCAACUGCCAUGGUUAAUUUAUUGCUAGUAACUCCUUGUAAAUUUGUAAUUGGUUGAUAUAUACUUAUUUAUUUUUCUAGUUAUAAUUUCUUUUUUGAAGGAGUAAUUUUAUCUCAUUAUAUCUGAAUAUAGGUGCACAUACAAUUACCACCAAAGAAGGAUAACGCUUUGAUGAGCUGUAAAAUAACAAGCACCACGAAGACUAUGACAAUGAUAUGAAAGUGCAAGAUGCUAUGAAAAGAAUGCUAAAGGAAUUUACUUUGUUUUAGGACUAAAGUUUCAGUAAUACUUCUGAUUAAAGAUCAAUUUAAUUUAGUUUAAUGUUGAAUAAGUGGUAUUGUUUAAGUAAAGAUUAUUGAUUUGGAAUCCGGAUUCUCGUCGGAUCCUCUUUGUGAGGAUUCCAGAAAUCCGUAAUCCUAUCCGUUCAUCAUAGAUCGUGUGAUAAAAAAUUAUUUUACAUAUUUUUAUUUAAAACUAAACACAAACAGUACUUAACAAAAAUUGACCGCAUGAUGUACGAUAAAUGAACACAAUUUAUGAAUUUUUAGGCUUCUCACCAAAAUGAUCCGGAGAGGAUCCUGUUGGAUUGAUUUGUCCUCUUUUGGGAUACUGUCAUUAUUAUGACGGAUUGGGAAGUAGUGACUAUCAAUUCUGUGAUUUGCUUUUGAUCCAAAAGGGAAUUUUACUUUGUUUCUAGUGUGAAAUUGGCAUUUUAGAUUUUUCUCUUAAUUUUAAAUGCCAAAUAAAAAAGUUAACGAAGUUAUUUCUCGGUUAAACUAAAGAACAUAUGUCAAAAUAUUAGUAAAGAAACACAAUGAAUACACGUAAAAGGGGACAUCAACCCACACAUUAUGCUUACUUAAAAUACUCACAUAUAAAUAUACAUGCGAACAUUGUUUCCAUGGCCAUCAAAUUAUACAAUUCAAUGAUUAAAACCGUUUAUUCUUUUAGUCACUCCUGACAAGUUAUUAUUGUAUAAAUUUAGGCAAAUCAGUAACUGUUUAUGCCAUCUGAAUUGUGUAAAACAAGUGCAACCUUGCAGAUAAAAAAGAGAGGGUAAACCUUAUAAGCAUGAGCCCUUAAUGGGAUCUGAAAUGGAAGGCAAUGACAGAUUCUAUUGACCCCUACUUGCCAGCAAUAUCUCGAGAUAACUACUUGUUAGGUUCAAAUGCAAAUUACCCUCCAUGCUAGGUUGCUACUGCCUACUGCUAGCUAGCUCUUUUUUGUAAAAAAUGCUAGAUCACAUCUACCUAUCCUCAGAUUAUAUCAUGUCAUUAUUAAAAUUCUUAACAACUAACAAUGUUUUGAAUAUUCCAUGGGAUAAGAAUUUGAAGCGUGUGAAUGAAGUUACCAAAUGGCAUCCUCCUGACUCAAGUUUUGUCGAAAUUAGUUUGUAUGGCUCUGUGGGCGGAAACAAUUUGGCAAUUGGGUUUGUAAUUCGUGAUGACAAUUGUUGCCCUAUAAUUGCUAGUGCUGGUGCAUUAGGUAGUUGUACCGUCACGGUGGCUGAAGCUCUUCCUUUCAGAGAUGCUCUUAAAUUUACUUUUUAGAGAUGCUCUUAAAUUUGCCUGCCAAAAGUCUUAGUGGAGGGAGACUCAAAGCUUGUUAUAGACGCGGUGGAAGGAAGAUGUGGUGCUUCCUGGAGAAUUCGAGACACGAUUGCGGAUAUCCAAUUGUUGGUUUCUUUCUGUGCAACUUGGAAGCAUGUUUAUCGGGACACUAAUUUUGUGGCUGAUGCUGUGAAUAAUUUAGGUCUUCUCUUCCUAAUAUGUAUGUUUGGGAGCGUGAACUCCCAGUGAAUUACUUUCUUGUUUGACCGUACAGUACUGAUUGAUCGCGAGUUUCUUGCUUUAAUGCAUUCCUUUCUUUAGAAAAGAAGAAGCAAAAAAAAAAAGCCCCUUGAUUUUCAAAGUAAAAGAAACAAUUUUUAUGCAUUUUAAACUUUUUUUGCACUCAUAUUUUAUUGUGAACUUUAAUAAAAAGCUCUCUGUACUGUUCAGAAAAACCAUAUUUUUACACGAAAAAGUCCAUUCUGGUACUAUUCACUUUACCCUUUAUUUUGUCUUUUUCGUUAAAACUCAAAGUUUUCAAAUCUUUUUCAUUAAUUUUCCUUAUUUUUUUCUGCUUCUUAAUUCUUUUUUACCUUAUUCUGUUGAUGGUUUGCAUGAGAAGGUAAAAGAUCCCCCACCCACCCCAAAGUUAAUACAGUAGAACAAUGCAGGUGUUGGAGGACAAUUCAAAAAUAAAUAAAAAUAACAUAACUUGAAAUACUAAAUUCUUUAUUAAUGAAAGUACUUGCAAUACAGAAUGAAAAAACAUGAAUAAUUACAGGAAUUAAAUGAUACUAAUUUGAAUAAACCACAGAUAGAGGCUAGCGCAAAAACUAUGUCCUUCGAACAGUAUUUACGUAACACUCUUGUGCUUGUGGUUCGAUGAUGUCUGUUCGACAAGAAUACAACUAUCUAAUCUUACAAUCCACACAGAUUAUAGAAUUAUGGUGAAUUGAUUUGUGUGUCUACUCUCUGUAAGGUUUGUUUGGAAGAGAUAGAAAAGGAAAAAGAUAAAAUACGAUGGAAUUUAGUCUUUAGCUAUAUAGGCUAUUUCAUACAUUUUCAAAUACAUUUUGGAUAUAUGUGAAACCACACAACUCUUUCCAAACAAUUGUGUCUAUUAAUCAAAAUGGUUUUUAAUUAAUUUAAUUAAAAACUUAAUUCAAAAUUAUAUUAAUUUUAAAUUCUUAUGCUCCGAGGCCCUUGUCUUGAUUAAUUAAUACUAAUAUUAUAUUAAUUUUAUGGUAUAAUCAUCACAAGCCUAAUCCACACAAUUAGUGGCUCAAAACUCAAUUCUCAUUCCAAAUAGUCAAAUACCUAAUCACUAAUGAAAGUGACUAACCUAAUAUAAGGACCUAGGGAACUUGAGUUCCUCGAUAUGGGACUAAAGGAGGCUCAAAACUCCAACAUUAGGCACCGGAUUGUCAAACUAUACAUAUAACUUAUGUAGAAUGAAUUCACUCGAUCAUUUACCUCCAUCAUUUUAUGAAGAUAAUCCUACAAUAGAUUUUAAACAGGUGGGAGAGUCAUACCUUUUUUUUUCUUUUUCAAACUUGUAAUAAAAUCUAUCCUAUUUACUUGAAAUAUUUUUGGAGAUAAAUCUUUUAAUUUUCUUUUAUCUAAAUUGUAGGAAUAAAAGAAUUCAACAUUCUUUCUUAUGAGCAAAAAUCAUACAGUUUGAGAAGCCAACUUUACAACCUCUCUCUCUCUCUCUCUCUCUCUCUCUCUCUCUCUCUCUCUCUCUCUCUCUCUCUCUAACCUUUCUUCUCCAAAAAAAACAAAAAAACCUAUAACUCAAAGCUUGACAGCCGUCGGUCCUUUGCUUCGGCUUGGCGACGGCAGCCACCUUUUUGUAGACAACCCUCUAAAUUUUGUUGGACUUUUCUUUCCAAACCCAAGUGGCCCUCGAAUUUGGCCUUGAUUUGUGGUUGUGGGCAAGAUUUAUGGUUGCGGUGGGUCAGAUCCACUUCCUACGACUUAUUCUGACACACCCUAAACUGGGAUGUCCACUAGGACUCCGAAUCGAGCUGUGUUAGGCGACACCUGAAAGGUGAUAAAGCCAUAAAGUGUAUUGAUGUGGAAAAUGUGAAUAAAUUUAAACCUAAAAGUGCAUACAAGAGUGCACAGUGAGAAGGUAUGAACCCAUUUCACACAUGAUGACAGAGCAUAAGUACAGUACAGUAAAAUAGGAUGAGAAUUAUACCAUCGAUGGUAAUCGUCUACCCCAAGAUUUGCCGAUAAUCCUCGUCGGUAUGAAAACUCUGCUACUAGAAUAUGGAGGGGUGAAAAAUAAGAGUGAGUGGACCUGAAAAUAAAGUUUUAAUAAAAACCUGUUUGAAAACAUUAUAACCCCUAGCUGUAAAACCCGUAUAGUUUCCAGAAAAUAAUAAUACUACGUAUGUAUGAAAACCAAUGCACAAGACCAGCGAAAACUGAAGUAUGCCAUGUCAUAAUAUCUCAGCAAGAAUAAAUGUAAGUCAGGUGUGAAACCAAUAUAAAAUAGUAUGCCAGUCGGAGUCACCUAACGUGACUUGUACAACUGGUCCUAUAGCUCAUCAACAUUUGUCUGCACACGAGUCGGAGUCACUUAAUGUGACCUAUACAACAGGCUAGGUGUAAAUAAGUACGCUCAAGUGCUACGAUCACGUGAAAGCUGUACGAUAAAUCGCAGGUCACCUACGAGUCGGAACCACCUAUUGUGGUAUGUACGACAGGCUAGCACCAAAACUUGGAUCCAAGGUGAGCGUAUGGUGUGAGAGGUGAACAAUCACGUGAAAGUUGUGCCUUUGCCUCCGGCAGGAACACUAACACCGGGGUGCAGCAUAAUAAGCUCUAAAUGCAUAAAUACAUGGCAAUAUGCAAUGCAACAAGACAAAUCACAUGUUAACUCACUUGAAGCUUACCUGAGCCUCUGCAGCAUCAAAUAGUAUAAUUCAUAAUUCAUACUAAUGCAACAAUAUAGUAAUAAGCGGUAUAAACAUGGCAUACAAAGCAUAAAUUCAUUUUAAAACGUUUUCUGGAAAUCGUAAAGCUUAUAUAUAUAUAUAUAUAUAUAGAAAACAAAUGCCCACUCACCUGAGGUCUGCGCUACAAUUCCCUAGCACGAAUAUCGAAGCAUCACAAACGAUCAUCGCCUAGAACAAAUAUUCAAUCACGUCUCAUAAUUCUUAUCGAUAGAACACAUAACUUACAUAAAACAUAUCCCCAAGGAUGUUCUAAAAUGAUUUGAGACUCAUUGACCAAAAGUCAACCGUCAGUCAAAGAUCGACGGUAGGGUCCAUAACCUUACGUAACUUAAUCCGGAAGAUCUGCAUCACAUAUUUAUGAUCCAUAACUCCACAGAUACACAUUAUGCUUCUAAAAUAUCAUACUAAAGUUUCAUUACGAUCCAACGGUUAGAUCUCCGCCAAUUGUAAAUUCAAGUGGCGGUCAACAUUUUAUUUUAUGAACUUACAAAUCCAAUUUAGAAAGAUCCGUACAUCGGAUUUCCAAUCCGUAAGUUUCUAUGAUCCUCAUAUAUUACUUAUUAUAAUGUAUUAAAGUUUGGUUACGAUCCAACGGUCGGAUCGUCAAUUUCUAUAAUAAUCAAGUGGCGGAUCCUAUCAAAACUAUGCUCAAAUGAUGAGAUUUCAUCAAUCUAAUUUCACCUAUGGAAUUGGAGAAUCAAAUUUAGCUUAGGAAUGUCAGGGGAUGCCUCGGCCCUCGCACCGCACUGCAUGGCGGUUGACCGCCCCGACUCGCCGGAAAAAUUAAUUAUUUCUAAAAAUUCUCAAACUUCACAAAAAUGAAAAUCUCAGUGAUUAAAACAAGUUUUAUACUUGUGGCCAGUCCAAUUUGGCUGGGAAAAACCCCAAUUUCACGAAAACUCAUCGGAACCCUAGAUUUGGGUGUGCUUUGAUUCGAACUCCAACGCCUCCAAACUUGUUUGAGGUUUGUUCUUGGGUUCAAGGUGAGUGGUUCGAUGGUGGUAAUGGUCAACGAUGCUUUCACGAUGGGCGGAUCUCCGCCAUGUCACCUUCGGAACCCACGGGUUCCAUUCUUCCUCAAAACGGGGUCAAUCUAGGUGGAUUUUUUGGUGGAAAUGAACGAGGGGAGGUCGGGUAGAUGUUUGGUAGUGGUGGUAGGACGUGAUUGAUCGAAAAAAUUGCCUGAAUGGCAUCGGAAAGCAUGGAUGCCGUCGGGUCGGGUACGGGUCAAGUGGAACCCAUUGGGUUCCUCUCUUUCUCCCAUUCUCUCAUUUCUCUCAUUUCUCUCAUCUCCCAUUGGUCACUCUCUUCUUCUGAAUGGGCGUCAUGCCCCUCCUUUCUCUCCUUUUAUCUAUCAUCUCCAUCGUCCAUCUUUUCUUCCUUUUAAUUUGGGCCACACACGUGGCUUUCUAGAUUUUGCUUCAAAAAUCUGGAGCUUUCUUGAAAUUAAUUAAUUUACUAAAAUGCCCUUAACUUUAAACGUUAAUAUCUCCUUCGUUAUAACUCCAAAUUGCAUUUCGUUUGCGCCCAUGCAUCUGUAACGACGAGUACUACAAGAAUACUCCAAGAAAACGAAUCUUACAUGACACCACAAGGCAGUCAACAAAAGUCAAUAUCUUUGCCUUGAAGGAUAUUUUCAUGAAUUCACGUAUUAAAAUUGUAAAAACCUUAAUAACUGGGGACGGGUCGUUACAUGUUCUCCAUGAUGGUUGUGCGCUCCUCGGCCUACUCGCUGCUGAGCCACCUUUCUUGGCCAUAUAUGUGGUGUAUUUUCGAUGGAGGCAACACAUCUGUCUAGAAGCGAUGUUGCCCUCGCUAUGAAGAUGGGCUGAUUUGUGGUUCUAUUCUCAAAUUAGCUGGUUUUAUUGUUUUAUGAUGUUUUUGGUGGUUGCUUCAACAAUUGUUGUGGCCUUACUAUUUUAGCAAUGGUUGUUGUGGCCUCAUUUUUUUGAGCAAUUACUUUGUGUGGGCAUUCGGUACCAAAUCUGACGUUUCUAUCAUCUUUGUGUUAGAUUUGUAUUGUUUGUUAUUCGUGUUUAUACCAUAUUUAGGGCCUCGUAUUUAGAUCUCGUACAAAUACUCGGGGGACUUAAAUGUAAUUAUGGGAUAAAGGAAGGGGCAAAUAUGUAAUAAGUGAGGAGUCCUUAUUCUAUAAAAGGACCCCUCACCCUCACAAUUAGGGAGGCCUCACUCUCACUCUCAGAGGCCAUUUCUGAAGCCUCUCACCCCCUCUCAAAGCUUCCUCACACCCCCUAAGCUCUAAGCUCUCUCUCUCCCUCUUCAACAGAGAAAUAUAAUACAAUCAGUGUGGACGUAGCCCAAACCUUGGGGUGAACCACGAUAACUCUUGUGUCAUUUACAUUUCAUGCAGAUUCACGGUCGGAUUUACGUUGUUCCAAGACCAUCCGGUUUUGUGCAUCAACAUUUGGCGCCGUCUGUGGGAAACGAUACGAAAAGUUGUGUCGGUUCUCUUUCAUUUUUUCAUCUCCGUCGUGAAUCUGCAAAAAUUUGCAAAAACCUAGAAAUAGAAAAGAUCCAGAUCUCAAAAUCACUCAUCUCUCUUUCUGGAAAACACAUUGAAGCUAAACAAAAACCCCACUUCUCGAUACACAGACACACUUUGUCUGUCUCUCUCUCUAAUCUAAUCCCUCAGCAAAAACAAAAAAAAAGAUCCAGAAGAAAAAGAAAGAGAUUCCAUCGUCUCAACCAUCAUCAUCAUCUGCUCCGCAGCCCCACCAAUCCUCCGCCGCACCCCAAUCUUUCCAUCGUCUGAUCGCUGUCGACGUCCCCAACGAAGAGGACGAGAUCCUUUUCGCAGCUCCUAGCUCCCGCCGCCUCUGUGAGAUCAGACACCUAGAAAAACGGCACAGCAGCAAUCACAGUUUCUCUCUCUAGCUAGACCAGCAAUGGCAGGGAACAGACUGAAACUCGAUACGACGUCGCAGUCCUACUUAGAAGGAAAAACAGUGAGCGACACCAAGGUUCUGAUAUCUGAUCUCUGCCGCCAAUUCUGCAAUCUCGGAUGGGUCUCAGGAACGGGUGGCAGCAUCACAAUCAAAGUUCACGAAGACUCUGUUCCGAAGCCUGAGCGGCUUGUAGUCAUGUCUCCGUCUGGCGUUCAGAAUGAGAGAAUGGUACGGCCCGGCGGUGGAUUUACAGUGGGGAGAUUCUCCGGCGAGAGGGAAUUACCGGUUGUGUACACAGAAAUGGACGGCGGGUUCAAUGGUAACGGGGCUCCAAGAAGGGUAUUAUGGGCACCGAGGAGUAAAAGGAGUGAAAGUCGCAGGAUUUAGAGUGCUUUUCAUAGUAUAGCUUCGUUUUGGGGGCGAUUACGUUCCAAUUCAUCAUUUUUGAGGUCCGGGUCGGAAUCUGGUAUUGUAUUUUAACGAAGGCGAAGAUCGCGAUUCGUGGGUCAAGGACGACGUCGAUCUCGGGGCACGUGUUUUUGGUCGGAGACAGCGCAGGCAUACCACAUGUCCAAGCAGCUGUCAUUAGGGAAAAGCAAGAAAAGCAAUCGCAAUUAAAAGCUUAAAGUCAGAUGCUUUCCAAAGCCAUAGAACGUGGGUAGACAGAGAAUGAGCAGAAAGCAAAAGUGGAGAUAAGAUCCCCUUUUUAUUAUUAAUCCUAUCACCAUUCCUUGUCUGCCAACUGCAAAAGGGAGCAGACCAAAAUUAUUUGACAAAAGGAAAAAUAAAGAUCAAAGUUUUCUUUUUAGUGCAUAAGAAAUAAUGGGGCGGUAUCAGUGGCAUCACCACCACCAGUGGAAAAAAGUUGACAAGCCUUGUGCAGCAGCAAAGAAAGAUGAAGACUCACUGACUUCAACCAAAGAUCAGAAACCAAACAACAAUGGUAGAGGUCGAAGUCAACGAAGAGAAGAAGCAACUCUCGAGCACACAUCCAUGGUGACUGGGUGUGGGAACACCCAAAUCCUAAAAGGUUCCUUGGUCAGCGAUUCCAACGGUGUCAAUAUCCGGCAUGUAUUAUGCUUCUCCGACGAUCACGCACCACCUAAAACCGGCGAGUUCAUAGCGGAAGGAACUCGGUAUAUUCCUGGACGCUAGUCGGGUCGGGUCUGCAUGCAAUUUCAUUUCCAAAAUGGAGCCCCGGUUCCAGGCGACUUUCAAGGGCAUGAAGAAACUGAAUGAAUACAUCGUGCGCCGCCGGGGUCAACCUCGAUAAAAUCAUCAAGAACGUCGCCUGGUGCAAGCACUCCAGUUGGUCUCCGCCUGCAAAUCCGCCCUCGACAAGCUCGAUUCCGUCACCAACUCCUCUAUCUUCGAUCCAAAGUCACCCAUUUCUGGAAUCUUUCUUUCCGACGCCGAGUUCGCCCUCGGCCCUGUCCUCCUCGCCGUAGAUUCAGCUUACCCCAAGGUCGUCUACCCUGCCAUCGACUGCUUCUACAAGCUCUUCUCCCUCGGCAUCAUCCACAACGAGAUCGACACUUCGGAUCCCAAGCUUUUGCUUUUCAAGCUCGUCGAAUCGGUGGCAAGUUCGCAAGUGAUGACGACGAUGACGUUGACCCAAACGACGAACAGUUGUAGAAGGUUUUGGUGAGCCUGGGAUGCCAAAAGUGUAGGCUGAAAAAGUAUGGGAAAAUGAUUAAAGGGGUUGAUAGGAAGGGGGAUGGAGUUGUGGAUCUUGAAGACAGAACCCCACCACCACCACUAAAUACUCUGGUGGCUCUCCAAAGUAUUUAAGAUGCUAAGUUGGUGUUGGAGGUACUGAUGAGGAGGAGGGCGCGCUGUCGACCACCCACAUGCAAAAAACAAAGAAAAAAGGAAGCUUUGCUCUGCGAUAGCACAUGGGAAAGCAAAAGCGAAGCAGAAAAUAAAAGCAAAAGCAAGGAAUAAACACCCCACCCGAAUGAUGUAAUUUAUUUUUAUUAUCUUUCGGAGACAUCUGUAUAAACCCCAUCAGAGGAUAAUAUGUAUAAACCCCAUCAGAGGGUCAAAAAAAAAAAAAAAAAAAAAAACAAGGAAAAGCCCAAAAUAAAUGGGCUGGAAUGUUGUGUAGAGGGCGAAAACCCAUAAACCCAAAAUAGCUCCAACCAGGUGAUCAAAAGUACGCCAAGUACUCCAAAUUAUACAUGAGCAUUACUCAUGUUAUUCAUACAUAAACAUUCAUGAGCAUCACUCAUGAUAAUCAUACAUAAACAUUCAUGAGCAUCACUCAUGAUAAUCAUACAUAAACAUUCAUAACCAUCAUUCAUGUCAACAUUCAUGAGCAUCACUCAUGUUAACAUUCAUGAGCAUCACUCAUGACAACAUCCAUGAGCAUCAUUCAUGGCAAUCAACAUAAACAUUCAUGAGCAUCACUCAUGUCAAUCAGCUUCAAAAGCUUCAUUUACAGAGCUCUAGCUUCAAAAGCUUCAUUUACAAAAGCUCCAGUUUCGAAAGCUUCAUUCACAAGAGCUCUAGCUUCAAAAGCUUCAUUUACAAGAGCUCUAGCUUCAAAGACUUCAUUUACAGAGCUCUAGAUUCAAAAGCUUCAUUUACAAAAGCUCCAGCUUCGAAAGCUUCAUUUACAGAGCUCUAGCUUCAAAAGCUUCAUUUACAAGAGCUCUAGCUUCAAAGACUUCAUUUACAGAGCUCUAGAUUCAAAAGCUUCAUUUACAAAAGCUCCAGCUUCGAAAGCUUCAUUUACAGAGCUCUAGCUUCAAAGCUUCACUUGCAAAGCUUCACUUACAAAGCUUCAGUGCAUGGUAUACAAAUACCGCCUCCGAACAACCGCCACUUCGGCCCAUACAUGGAUUCAAUUUGAAGUCUCCAGCCAACAGACUCUAUUGACCGAAGACUUGGGGGACUACAUUAUGUACCAUAUAUUGGGCCUCAAUUGGGCCUCAUGAAAAAAUAUUUGGGGGACUUAGCCCAUUAUUUAUGUAUUAAGGAGCGAGCCCUUAUUCUAUAAAAGGGACUCCCUUACCUUCAUUAGAGAGCAACGCCGCCAGCUGAGCAACCGCCUUGCUGCAAACAUCAACUCUAGCCCAUCAUUUAUGUAUUGAGGAGCGAGCCCUUAUUCUAUAAAAGGGACCCCCUCACCUUCAAGCGCCACAAGCCGAGCCAACCAAGGCAAUAUAAGCCACAAGCCGAGCAACCUCGCAACAUGUGCUACUUCUAGUUGAGCAUCAUUUCAGAUUGGGCACCGCCUCAUGUCGAGUGUCAGCACCAGACGCCAUCUAGUUACUUCGGCCCACACAUGGACUGAAUUUCAAGUCUCCAGCCAAAAGACUCUCUUGACUGAAGACUUAGGGGACUACUGUUUAUACCAUAUUUAGGGCCUCGUAUUUAGAUCUCGUACAAAUACUCGGGGGACUUAAAUGUAAUUAUGGGAUAAAGGAAGGGGCAAAUAUGUAAUAAGUGAGGAGUCCUUAUUCUAUAAAAGGACCCCUCACCCUCACAAUUAGGGAGGCCUCACUCUCACUCUCAGAGGCCAUUUCUGAAGCCUCUCACCCCCUCUCAAAGCUUCCUUACACCCCCUAAGCUCUAAGCUCUCUCUCUCCCUCUUCAACAGAGAAAUAUAAUACAAUCAGUGUGGACGUAGCCCAAACCUUGGGGUGAACCACGAUAACUCUUGUGUCAUUUACAUUUCAUGCAGAUUCACGGUCGGAUUUACGUUGUUCCAAGACCAUCCGGUUUUGUGCAUCAACAAUUCGUGUUUGUGGUAAUCUUUGGUGGUAGCUAUGUGGAGGUCUAUCUAAUGAUUUAGUUGUGCAAAUUUAUCUCCAGAUCAAGGUUUGGUCACUAGAGAAUAUGUACCUAAUGUGGCAUCCUCUUGUAUUUUUCGGUUCUUAUCAAUGAAAUCACUCUAUCGUUUGUUCAAUUUUUUUUUUUUUAUAAAGUUGGUCUUAACUAUACCACGACUUACAUUUUUGUUUAUGAACUCUAGUAAUAGUUGCUUUCGUCUUCAAAUUAUGUCCAAUAUUGGAUUAGUAGUCCUUUCCAUUGACACCAUCAAUUUUUUGCUUUUGAAGAGAAAACGAUAGCUUUAUUGAUAAAUAAACUCAACAAGAGUACAAAUCUUGGUAGAAUACAUCCCUACUAACAUCCAGAAGUUCAUCAAACCAAACUAUUGAAUCACCACUAUAUAAGUUUGACUUGGUGAAGCGAUGAGCCACUCUAUAACAAUUUUGCGGAAUAUACAGUAUUUUACACACUUGUUAAGUCUAAGGAUAAAUUAUGAAUUUUAUCUCACAUCAUUAAGAUGAAUAAGAAAUUAUAAAACAAAAUGAGGAAAACAAUAAAAAAAGAAGUUAGGCUUUCAUUUGAUGAGUAUAAAAAACUAUAUAGUAAUAAAGGCUAAUGUAAGUGGUUUCACACCCUCUUCUUUUCUUUUGAAAAUUUUUAGUGGAGAAUACCGCUUGUUAUAAACAAUGUUUGAAAAAGCGAUGACGAAGUCAAGACAUUUUAAUUAUGGUUAGUCUCACAUGGGCGAUAUCUCGAAGCAUGAGGCGAUAUAGUACGUAGAAUUAUUAUAAUACUUAAUAUAUACAUAUAUAUGUAUAUAGGUUUAUUAAAAGGAUGGCCUAUUGCAAGGAUGAUCCAUAAGCUGUAACUUAAAAAUAGACGGUUUUGAUUGUUACAAUUCGAUGUGGUGUGGGCUCCAAAAAACCAAUUGACACAUGCGUCCGCGUGAGACAAGAGGCUGAUAUGUAAAAUAUACCAGACUUAAAAAAGAAUUGAUAAGAAAAUAGGGGGUGCUGGGAUGGCCAACUUCUAAUUCUUUUUAAUUUUAUAUAAACAAUUAACCUUCUACUUGUGGUAUUUUGAAUGUUGCAUUUGCACCAAAUUUGUCUUCUCUCUUAUAAUAAACAACAAACUAAAAAAAACAAAACUUUUGAAGGAAUAACACCAGCCGCACCCCUCCACUGCCCGCCACUACGGGCUUCUCUCCUCAUUUCUCCUGUCCGGCCGCCAAGCCACCCAUAACACCAACCGAAACUUCCAUCUGUAAGACUAUACCCACUCUGAAAAGAAGGUCCUUAAAAAAGGCCAUCAAGAAGCUAUCCAUGCAAAGAACCUGCCAUUUGGAUCACAGCAGCCAAGUUGGAGGAAGCUAGUUAAUGGGAAUGCGUCAGUACAGGAUGAACCAUUAACUUAUCAAAUUGGAGAGGUAUACCAUUAAAUUUUGGAAGGAAAACUCAAUUGUCCCACCCCACUUAUAACUAAGGCAUUAUAACUACCAAAUAUUCUAAUCAUAAUUAUUCAAUCUUUUCAUCACAUCUAAAGAUUAUCUAGGCAAACGAUCGAUAUAAAAAUAAUCAUUCAAUUUGAAGAUCCUUUACCAAUUCACAUGCAUAAAAAGUGAACGAUUCAUUGUGAGAAUGUUAAUUAUGACUAAAAGCGUUGGUUUGUUUGACACGCAUGAAUGACUAAACAAUCUCUAAAUUAGAUGAUUUGAUAAUACAAGAAAAUAUGUGAUUCCGAUUAUAAUGUUUAUACGAUAAAAAUACAUUAUUACAAACCGGAUAGACAAGUCGGGUAGGUGGAAACAAACAAGUAUUAUCCCACAAGAUUUUCAUGUUACAAAAUGGUACGGUUCCACCAAAUUGUCAGUUAGCUGAUAUUUUGGUCUAGUGCAUUUCCACUCAACCAUCGUACUCGUCUGAGUGGUUUGCAAUAGCAGGCAGGUGGGAUGAGUAACGAUGGACUUUUGAAAUUGAUUGGAAGACACCUGAGAUCUCUCUCGCAGGCCUCACGAGUCACGAUCCUAAUAGCAGAGGAAAUGUGGACCAUCCAAGCUUAUCUUAAUUAUACCAAUAUUUUUCUUAAUUGUAUAUUUUAUAUAAGUAAUAUCGGUUUUUUCCAUCUCUGUCUAGGCACAUCAAUUAUCCGGCAUCUUCCUUGAGCAUGCUCAUAUCAUGGCACAAUGCAUGACAUAUAAAGCCUACAAAAAAAUAGAAGGAAAUUAAAAAAAUAGUACUAUAUUAGUGUAUCAAAGCUUUUGUGAGUAUCUGGUAAUAAUUUCCAUUAAAUUCAUUUAAAUUAUGAAAGAGAAGAAAGUGUGAAUUCAGGACGUAGUGAGUUAAAGAGGAUGACCCCAUCCAUCAAAAUAUCCACCAUUUGCUAAGUACUUAAGUUUAGAAGAACACUAAUGCUAAAUCACAUUUUAAGUAUUUAUCAAGCUCGUCCAUUGCACAACAAUUCGUUCAGAGGCAAUUCGGCUGGGACACAUGUGGUUCAAGGUGGAGCAAGCUAAUGAUCAAGAAGGUUACCGGUGACUCAAGUAAAAUACUUGAUUAAGUUGAGCGUGUUCAAGAAAAACUAGAGCCUAGAGGUGGUUAAAUUUCCUGGCUAGGUGGAGCAUUGCUUAAGAACUCCUAAUCGGAGGUGGAGUUGCCAAAGAACCAUGUCACUCUUGCAAGUGCGAGGGUUGUAAAGGGUACGUCCACUGCCUUGGUCUUGCUUGACUAAUAUUUGGCUAUUCAAGGAUGAGUAGAAAUUUUUACUCAAGAUUCUUUGUAGGUGAUUUGUAGAAUUUCGUACUUAUGAUUAAGUCUAGUCUUAUUAUAAAUCACUCUGUCAAUAUCAUAUUUACAAAAAAUCAAUUAAAAUUAAAGUCGUUUAAUUAAUCAACUAUAGAAAUUAGAUAAAUGGUUCGUAAUACUACUGUGGAUUGACUAAAUAAACUGUCUAUCUAUUUGUUACAAUUGAUUGACUAAACAACCUUAGUUUUAAUUGAUUUCUUGUAGUAAUGAUCUCUAUAAAGAGUGAUUUAUAAUAUGAUCGAUGUUGAUCAUAAGCUCGACGUUCUUUGAAUUGGACACAAAGAGUUUGGAAUAGAAAUUUCUACUCAUUAUUGAAUAGUCAAAUACUAUUCGUCUCGCUCUGUUUGGGUUGUGUGGCUUGGUACAAGCAUGGAGUUAAUCAUACAUUGAAAAAGUACCACAAAUAAAAUAAAGGGAGACUUUGGAUGCGGUCCUUAGUUAUGAAUAUUCUUUGAUUGAAAUCUUGUUGGUUUUUAAUUUUUGAUCGAGGUUCCUGAAAUUAAUGUGAUAAUUUAUUUCUAUGUACGUUACUAUAUUUUUUUAAAUUAAAAAUUAGAAAUUUUAGUUGUUUAUAUAAAUUAGAUUUUAAAUUUAAAAAACCAUAAUUUGUGGGAUUAAAAAUAUUAAAAUAUAAAUAUACUAUUGUGUGUGUGUAUAAACAUGGGUACAUUCAUCAAAAUUAACCAAAAAAUUUAUUGUAUCAAAACAUGGGUACAUUCUUCUAAAUCACAAAAAAAAAAAAAAAAAGAUAUUAGGCUUAAUAACAUUAGUAAAUUUCUUCAAUUAAACUUGAUAUGGAUACAUUUUAAAAUCAAAGAAAAAAGAAUGUACCCAUAUACGUUUAAAAAUGGAUUAGAAAAAAAUUGAAUAGAUUUUAUAUAUAAAAAAAAAGAGGGUACAUUUUACAUAUAACAAAUUGGUAUAUUUAAGAAUGAGUACAUUUUAAGAUUAAAAAGUUUUACAUGAAUGGGUACAUUUAGCAAAAUAAAAAGUACAAAUAAAAACAAUAUAUGGGUAAAAAUACAAAUAAACUUUAAAAAAUAUGGGCACAAAAAGAAAUUAAUAUAUGGGUACAAAUUAAAAGUGAAAAUAAAAUUGGUACAAGUUAAAAAAGAAUUACAAAUUAAAAAUGGGUACAAACUAAAACUAAAAAUAUAUGAUAAAAAUUAGUCAUAAAUAUAAAUAUACUAAUUGUAACAUUUUUAACAUUAAAUGAAUGUAUUUAGAAAUAAAAAAAUAUUUUAUUAUUGAAAUAAUUAAUGAUGUUAUUAAUACCCAAUGACCUUUAUCAAAAUUUGAAAAUGAAUAAGAUUUUAAUCAAUGAAGUAGCAAAAAGAAGGAUGAGAAUCUAAUUUUCCCUAAAAUAAAAUUAUAUAAACAGUUCACCAUUAAUAACAUAAAGGUAUUUUAAGAUAAAACCUCACACUUGGACACGUCUAGAAAAAUUGUGGCUACUGAGCUUUAUUGAAAAAGUGAAAAGUCUAUUGACCUAUCUACUGAAAUAUGAAAUUAUUUGUUGGACUGACCCAAGUUUCGUAUUCAAUUUAAAUAGGAAUUAUCCAGGCUGCUGAAUUCAGCAGCCACUCCUUACAUCCAAUCUCGUAUGAACAUGUGUCCAAGUUUUGAUUAAAAAAAUAAAAACUUGGACACGUGUCCAUCCGGGAUUGGUUAUAAGCAGGAGUUGCUGUUGAAUUUUCAACAGCCAAGUCUUGUUCAUUUAAAUAUGUGUGUUUUCAUGUAUGUGUACAUAAAAAGUAGCGAGUGGCCAAUACAACCUUGAAGCUGACUGAAAGCUCCUUGGAGCAAAGCAAAGUUUAGACUUAAGAUUCUAGAGCAAGCAAGCACCUUUGUCUAUAUAUAUUGAAAUCCGAGUUGCUCAAAUUGGAAACCAAUGCCAUAUAUGAAAAUGAAGUGUUUAGUAAUGGAGAGGCAUAAGGCUUAUAUUGCAAUGCUCUUCAUACAGUUUGUGUAUGCAGGUAUGGCCUUGUUCUCUAAGGCAGCAAUUUCUAAAGGAAUGAACCCUUUUGUCUUUGUGGUUUAUCGUCAAGCUUUUGCCUCCCUUGCCUUGGCUCCCUUUGCGUUCUUCCUUGAAAGGUUGUUAGUUACGCCUCCUAAUUAAUCCCACUCUCCCACUUAAUUAGUGUUAUAUUGUUUUUGAAUCUUUUUUUGUUUUCUGAAUUUUCAGUUCAAAAGAAGCUCCUCUUUCCUACACCUUACUCUGCAAGAUUUUCUUAGUCUCCUUAUCUGGGUACGUUUGAACUUGGUUUAGUUUUUGCUCUCAUCAACAUUUCAGUUAAUCAAGUUCUCUAAUCUUGUAUUAUCUCUCUAAUCUAGGAUUACCCUGAGUUUAAAUCUCUACUAUGUUGCAAUCAACUACACCUCUGCAACCUUUGCUGCAGCCACCACCACUUUAAUUCCUGCGAUCACGUUUUUCAUGGCGGUUUUAUUAAGGUAAUUAAAUUAAACUUUAUAUUAUAUUUUACUUGUUACUUAAGGUUUGUGUGUAUACUAUAUAUAUAGAUAGUUAGUUUUGUCAAAUAUUGAAGAAGAAAGUUGGUUUUUAAUUAACUUUUUUGUGCAGGAUGGAAAGCAUUUCUAUGAAACAUUUGUACGGAGUCGCCAAGGUGUUGAGUUCUCUCACAAGCCUUUCAGGAGCAUUGGUGUUUGCUUUAGUGAAAGGGCCUUCCAUAAACUUCAACUGGUUUCCAUCAAAUCAAAGGCAAAUUCCACACUCCUCAUCUUCCUCCACAGGAAGAGACUGGUUAAAGGGUUCCCUCAUCAUGAUCUCGGCCAAUACUGCAUGGGCUUUGUGGUUAAUUUUGCAGGUUCAUCUCAUCACCACCACUAUAUUUAUUUAUUGUUUAUGCAUGAGAGAUUAGAACUUAAGACUUCAGGUGCAUCUUAUCACCGUCAUUAUCUUCCACUAAAUGGAAUUCUUCUUUGCUAGAUAUUUUAUAAUUAAGAAAAAAAAAAGGUUUUCUUACGAGACGGUGAAUUUGGAAGAUAUUAAGUCUGGUAAAAUAACGUUUUUCUGCCUCUUGCCUUGUUAACUAGUGCUUAUGUUCUAGGGUCCCAUUAUCAAGCAAUAUCCGGCAAAGUUGAGGCUUACCACUCUGCAAUGCUUCUUCAGCUGCAUCCUGUCAGCUUUCUGGGCCCUUGCAUUUGAGAGAAACCCAUCAGCUUGGAAGAUUGGAUGGGACAUUCAUCUUCUCUCUGUUGUCUAUUGUGUAAGUCGUUCCUACAUAUCCACGGACACACAGAAUUCUUGCAUACAACAUGUAUAUGUUUUGCAAGAAAUUUUUUCACAUUCAACUAAUAACGAUAACAACCAUAAAAUGAGUGAAAAAAUGUCAUUAUAUACACUCGUUGUACUUAUGAAAUUACUAUUCCCAAUUACCACUUUUAUGCACCGACUUAAAAAAAGCUUGCACACAACGCGUAUAUAUGUUUUAGAGUUUUAUAUCAUACGAUUAAAAAAAUAUCCGACUUAAAAAAAGCUUGUAUACAACAUGUAUAUGUUUUGUAUGGUGUUUUUCUCACUUAACUGAUAACGAUAACAACGAUAAAAUGAGUGAAAAAGAUCAUUAUAUACACACGUCGUAAGCAAGAAAUUACUAUUCCCAGUUAGUACUUUAUGAUAGUCAUUUGUAUGCACCGACUUAAAAAAUGCUUGCACACAACGCGUAUGUAUUUUACAUGACGUUUUUCUUAUUUAUAUCAUACCAUUCAAAAAAUAUGUGACAAAAUCACUUCAUACAUCGGUUGUAUGCAUGAAAUUACCAUCCUCUGACAAUCAAAUUUAACCAUGCAUGAAAUGACUGCAUGAUAAAACAAAACAAUUAAUAUUUGCAACUAAAUCACAAAGAUCUUUUGUCUUAAGAACUAUUUGGACCACUUAUCUAUGUCGUCUUAGACAUUGAGGAUUGCAUGCCGUGCGGAUCCCUUUGGACCAUAUAACUAUUUGUAUUUGGACCACUUAUAUAUGUUGUCUUAGACUAUGUUGUCUUAGACGUUGAGGAUUGCAUGCCGUGCAGAUCCCUUUGGACCAUAUAUAUGUACGUGGCUCAAUUAGUUCUAAAAAUGUACCAUUUGAAAAUGUUCUGGAUUUGUAUAUGGCUCCUAUUUCCUCAAAGAGAUGGGAUAAUGACUCAUAUUUUGAUCUAUUAGUAUUCAUAGGGUACAAAUCCAGAACAUUUUCAAAUAGUACCUUUUUAGGAACUAGUUGAGCCACUUACAUAUGUAUGGUCCAAAGGGAUCUGCACGGCAUGCAAUCCUAAAUAUCUAAGACAACAUGUAUAUGUGGUCCAAAUAGUUAUACGGUCCACAUGGGCAUGCAUCUAUUUAAAUAUAUCACAUACAUAUAUAGAAACAUAGGGGAGCGCUCACGUGCUAACUGAUUAGUAACUUAAUACAACAAUUAUCACAUGUUUGAGCUCACUCCGCCAUAUUUUUUUCAUGAUUUAAACCGUUCAUCUUUUAAAUUUUUAUGCAUAGAUUAUUUUUACAAAAUUUUCAUUUGGUCAAUAGAUUUUUGUCGUGAACAUUUCUUUGAGUUCUCAUGGUAAUUAAUUGGUAAUGGCAGGGUGUAAUUGUAACUGGGAUUACUUAUUGGCUGCAAGUUUGGGCCAUAGAGAAGAAAGGCCCGGUAUUCACUGCAUCGUUCACUCCAUUAUCACUUAUUAUAACAGCCGUCUUCUCAGCAAUCAUGUGGAAAGAAGCCAUCUACUUGGGAAGGUCCAUAUCUUUAUCUAUCAUACAUUUUAUUUCUCUAUGGUGCUAAACAGACCCUCUACUUCAAUUAUAUUUUAUAGACUACAAGAUAUGGCGGCUGAUAAUUGAAUCUCUUCUUUAAAUCAUUAAAAAAAGAAUUCAACCAUUAACCAGCACAUCAUAUGAUUCCAUCCUAGUUAUUAAAAUCACUUGAUGCUGAGAAGGUGAAAAAUUGGGACAAUCACCAAUGUGUGUAGCGGUAUUCUUUUAAGUAUUGAUGUCAAAUUACACAUAUGAAUGUGACUAUUUUUGUGAUCGAAUUUAAAUAACAUGUUGCAGUAUCGGAGGGGGUGUAUUGCUAGUUGCAGGUCUCUAUGGCGUGUUGUGGGGAAAGAAGAAAGAGGACCAAAAGAGCCAAGAAAGUGAUCAAAAACAAGAAAACAAGCCGGAAGUCGUAUAACAUGAUAUAGAUGGGAUGGGAUGGGAUGGGAGGGAAUUUAAAGUUUUGAUUGCAUUGUAUAUAGACAUGGGUGCUAUCACAUAGAUUUGUAUUUGCUAACUUCGAAACUCGAAGCUGUGCUAAAAAUUAUCAAUGUUUAAAUCUCGUGGAUAAGCGUAAGUUCCCACGGUGCAUAUAUGGUUAAAUUUGCAGGAUACUAACAAAUACUCUUAGUUUGAAAACUUCGACACGAAAAAGAACACCUGUUAUGAUAUGGAUAAUAUUUGGGUACUGACCGGUACUCAAAUAUAUUAAGAGAAUUGUUAUUAGCACUCCAAAAAUUUCAUUUGGUACUCCAAACUUUCUAUAAUUAGAAAGAAAAAUGCACUUGUGAAGAGUGUAAAAUGAGAUUUUUGGAGUGCUAAUAACAAUUCCCUAUAUUAAAUGGGUCAAUAGUAUUAUAACUAGUAUGUUGAUAUGGUGUUUUAGGGAAAUUUAAAGUAUGUUGAUAUAAGUUAUAAUAGUUGAGCUGAAUUUAUUUGUACAUUCUAAUGUAGGGGGUCAUACUAAUCGUCUCUAUAUUGUUUGAAUUUUAUCGAAUGGCCCUUGAAGAGGACUAGGCUGAAUUUUGUAUUUGUUAUUUCAUUUGUUAACAAUUGUAAUCUAUGAAAUUUGAACUCAAGUUUUCCUCUAGCCAAGUGAAAAAUAAUUUUGCUAGAUAAAAGAAUUAAUAAUGCAAUAAAAAUCAUAUGGGCUUUGGGUGUUGGGCCCUCGUAUGGGCUUUGGGUUUGGACCCCCCAUAUGGGCUUUGGGGUUUGGGCUAAAAAAUUUAACGAAAUUUCACUUUGAUCCUUACAAGUAUUUAUGUUUCAAUUUCAACCCUGUAAAAUUGUUUCGUUUUCACAGUCGGUCCAAUUCGACUUGUAGUUCAAUCGAAAGAGUUUCCCCUCCUUCAAACCCUUAACCCUCUGUAAACUCAAAAUCCCUUCUCUUCCCUUCCAAGUUUUCACACAAUGAAACGCUCAGCCGAUGGCGUUCCCAUCGCCGCUUCCUCCGCCACUGCCUCCUCCUCGCUGCCGCCCAAGAAACCUGUUUUCUUAACUAAAGCCCAACGCGAGCAAUUAGCCCUCCAACGCCGUCAAGAACAAACCGAAGAUCAAAAGCGCCACCAGAACCAUCUCCUCUCCAGUCUCUCCCACUCGCGCCCUUCAUCCGACGCUGCACCGCCCGUAACCACCCCCAAUUCUGACCGAGACCGAGAUCGAGACAGAGACAGAGACCGAGAUCAUAGGGACCGAGAGCGGGACAGAGACAGGGACCGAUACUCCCGUGACCGGGAACGAGACCGGGAACGAGAUUCCGAGCGGCGGAACCGAGACCGAGACCGAGAUAGGGAGCGGGAAGAGGAGGCCAAGGCUCGAGAGCGUGCCCGCUUAGACAAAUUGGCGGAGCGCGAGCGGGACAAAGAGCUGGAAGCCAUUAAAGAGCAGUAUCUCGGAUCGAAGAAGCCCAAGAAGCGAGUCAUCAAACCCAGCGAGAAAUUCCGAUUCUCUUUCGAUUGGGAGAACACGGAGGACACCUCUCGGGAUAUGAAUGCUUUGUACCAAAACCCUCAUGAGGCCCAGCUUUUGUUUGGGCGAGGGUUUCGGGCCGGGAUGGACAGAAGGGAGCAGAAGAAGCUUGCUGUAAAGUACGAGAGGGAGCUGCGUGAGGAGAUUCGGAAGAAGGACGGCGUAGAGGAGAGGCCUGAGGAGGCCGCUGCGCAGAGGCUCAAGGAGGAGGCUGCGGAAAUGUAUGACACUUUUGACAUGAGGGUUGAUCGCCAUUGGACUGAUAAGAAGCUUGAAGAGAUGACUGAGAGGGAUUGGAGGAUUUUUAGGGAGGAUUUUAACAUUUCGUACAAGGGGUCGAGGAUUCCGAGGCCAAUGAGGAGUUGGGCUGAGAGUAAAUUGAGUGAGGAGUUGCUUAAGACUGUGGAGAAAGCUGGGUACAAAAAGCCUUCUCCUAUUCAGAUGGCGGCGAUUCCACUUGGGAUGCAACAGCGCGAUGUUAUUGGCAUUGCUGAGACUGGUUCGGGUAAGACUGCUGCCUUUGUUCUUCCUAUGUUGACUUAUAUUUCGAGGUUGCCUCCCAUUAGUGAGGAGAAUGCGGCCGAAGGGCCUUAUGCUGUUGUUAUGGCGCCUACUCGUGAGCUUGCACAACAGAUUGAGGAUGAGACUAACAAGUUUGCGCAAUACUUGGGUAUCAAAGUGGUUUCCAUUGUUGGCGGGCAGUCAAUCGAGGAUCAAGGUUUUAGAAUUAGGCAAGGCUGUGCGGUUGUAAUUGCUACUCCAGGGCGUUUGAUUGAUUGCUUGGAGAGGCGUUAUGCUGUUCUUAACCAGUGCAAUUAUGUUGUUCUUGAUGAGGCUGAUAGGAUGAUUGAUAUGGGGUUUGAGCCACAGGUUGUCGGUGUUUUAGAUGCAAUGCCCUCCAGCAAUUUCAAACCUGAGAAUGAGGAUGAAGAACUUGAUGAGAAGAAGAUUUAUAGAACCACUUAUAUGUUCAGUGCCACCAUGCCCCCUGCUGUGGAGCGGCUUGCUAGGAAGUACUUGAGGAAUCCUGUUGUGGUCACAAUUGGAACAGCUGGAAAGACAACUGAUUUAAUUACUCAGAAUGUAAUCAUGACCAAGGAAUCAGAAAAGUUUGAGAGGUUAAAGAGAUUGCUUGACGAACUUGGUGAUAAGACUGCUAUUGUGUUCGUUAACACCAAGAAGAAUGCAGACUACGUUGCUAAGAGUUUGGAUAAAAAUGGAUAUCGUGUGACCACUUUGCAUGGAGGGAAGUCACAGGAGCAGAGAGAAAUUAGCCUUGAAGGUUUUCGGACCAAGAAAUACAAUGUUCUAGUUGCGACCGAUGUUGCAGGUCGUGGGAUUGACAUACCUGAUGUGGCCUAUGUUAUUAAUUACGAUACGCCUGGGAAUAUCGAACAGUACACUCAUCGUAUUGGGCGUACUGGCCGUGCAGGAAAGACUGGUGUGGCCACAACAUUCUUGACUAUGCACGACACAGAUGUAUUUUAUGAUCUCAAGCAGAUGCUUAUUCAGAGUAAUAGUCAUGUUCCUCCUGAACUGGCGAAACAUGAGGCCUCAAAGUUCAAGCCAGGUUCAGUGCCUGAUAGACCACCAAGGCGUAAUGAUACUAUUUUUACUCACUAAGAAGUUAGGAGUUUACCAGAGUUUUCGACAGAGGGCCCAACUUAUUCUCCGUGUGAUGGUGUUUGGUGGUUGAGACAUAUUUGCUUAAUGCUGGAACUGAAGAAGUGAGUUGCUUUGUAUGGGAUUGUGUUCAUCUAAUAUUUGUGCCGUACUGUAAUUGGCAAAUUGAUGUCAUAAACCUUUUUGCUCUAGAAUAAUGUUGUUAACCGUUAUGUUUGCUAGAAUUAUGACGAUAUCAGUUUGAAUGUUUACUUUUUCACUCAUCAUUGAGUUUUGCAAAUUAUUCGUUCACUUGAGUGGGUUGUCUUCAAAUACUAUAUUGUCUGUUGAUGUUUUCAUAUCACAUUUGUAUGCAGAAAUAAACAUUAAAGCUACUCUUGUAUGCUCUUUAUGUAUUAUGUGUGUAUUAUGUUCACAGUAUGGUGGUCACUUCCACCUUGGAGGUUCUGGGCAACAUAUCUCCGAGAAUCUGCUGGACCACCUUGCUGGAUGUCACUGUUUGGUUUUGGGGCUUUUCUUUGCAUGCCAGAUUUGUCGAAGCAAUUUGAUAUUAAGGUGCUGUUUUCUACUAUGGUAUGUGAUUUAAGUUAUUGCUGAUAUAUGGUAUUAUUGAGGAUUAACUGUGAUUAGCAAGGAAAUAAAUAUGAAGGAAGAGAAAAUAAAGAAAGCUCUGUUUAUGAAUCAUAACAUUAAGUUUGUAAGUUUGGGAUAGGAAUAGAUGGUUAUCUUUUAUAGUGUUAUAAGGUUUUGACAAACCAAUACCAUGUCGAAAUAAUUUAGUGUCGUUGCUAGCUACUGCUGUAGUUUUGGCUUUUGAUAGAAUGUAAUUUUGAGUUCUUGACAUAAGAUAAUGUACCGAUAACAAUGUUGAUAUUACUAAACAUGAUCAGGAAUCGAAGCAUAUAACAUUUGAAGCCCGUUCGUGUACAUAAGUGCAAUAUCUUUUACCCCUAAUGAGCUUAAUCUUCCAACUGAUGCUAACAUAUAUUCGUAUGCAUUUGGUCUACAAGAAAAUAUGUUGUUUCAUGUUUUUGGUAUUGAAAAGUGGUGUAUUGGUGAACUGCAUUUCGUAUUAUCACCUUUGCAUAACUGUUUAUUUACUCUGGUUUUGCAAGCCUUUUAUAGUCUUAAUCUCGUUAACAUAAUUAGGUUUUAGAUAUAUCAUGUGCAGAUAGUCAACCUCAUGCAUCUUAAUACAGAAAAUUAUCUUGUAUUGAAACUCAAUAAGCCAAAUAAGUCGACGAAAAGAGUUGAAUGGCCCCGAAAAGAGUACUUUGUUCCAUAUAAUUUACAUGCUGUUGCGUCUGAAAGUUGCUCAUUCUAUGAUCAAGGUUUGUUUCGACCGGAAACUAUUGCAUGUGUAAUCUAGGUCAUAAAUCUGUGUAUUUAUACAUGUUUAGUGGGCUAAGGUGACAUUGAUUAGUAGGAACGAUUAGCAGCUGUUCAUAGAUUUGGAUACAUUCUGCAGAUAAGUUGUAUAUAUUUGAGCAUAUUACAGUCCAGAUGACAUAAAUAGAUGAACAAGACGAGAAAGUACUGAAAAUUUCAGAACCAUUUCAAGGAGGCCUUCUUGCCUGAGGUUAUAACAAAUAUGUCAUUGUUAACUACACCUUUGUGAGACGAGCAGUAUUUUGCAAAACACGCAUCAAGGUGCUCCUAGGCGGCUUUUGAAGGCAGAGCGGUGAUGUUAACUCGAAUGGAGUAGGCUUAGGGCUGGUUUGGUAUUGAUGUGCUUUGAAAAAAACUACUUUUGCUGUGCUGUGAGAAUAAUCUCAUUUUUGCUCCUCACGUUUUUAGCUUUUUUUCACCUAAAAUUGUGAAAAUAAGCUAUUUUUAAAUAUUUACCAAACAUCUUUUUGAGCUUAGCUUUUUUUUAUACUCACUUUUUAUAAAAUCACCUUAGUACCAAACAAGUACUUCAACGUCCCAGCUUUUGGAGGGGGCGAUGAUGAGGAAUUGUUGUACUAUCAGAAUUUUGGAGAGCAGUCAGUGGCGUCCCCGAGUUCAUGGCCGUGGCACUUAGCGAUUAAGCAUCCGCCGGGUCCAGUUCCAUGUUUUAAGACAUGAUUAUUUGGGCUUGCUGAUUUUAUGUCUCACCAUUUUAUGAUUUCCUCCAAAUUCAAAGUAAAGAAACCAUAGCCAAAAGGAACUACUAGAUUCUAGGAAAGCGUAACGAGGAGAUUAUUUAUGCUUUAUAUUUAAUUUUCGGCCCUUCCUAAGCUUCGAAUCAUUAGCUCCGCCCCUGAAAGAGAGCUAAUGAAAUUCAGGGAGGGCCUUAGGGGAGACCAAGAAGUGAUGUAAAUAUUAGUAUAGCAUUAGCUAGUUUUGAACUCAACAACUUUACGCUACGAAUAAAGGAAUACAUAGAAUUAAACAUAGGAAAGAUUUCUUCGUAACGUCUGAUAUUUUUCAAAAAAUGAUUAACAUCUUCAUUCUCCCACUACUCCCCAAGUGAAAUGCCAUCAUGAAAGGCCUAAACCCGCUUACAAGGCAAGGUGCUAAUUUUCACUUAAAAAUCCCAAGUGCGACGAAAAAGCUUUCCAACCAACUUCGGGAAAUUUGGUGAUAAAUCACAUCAUCCGAAACUCUGUCUAUCUAAUAAUUUGGUACUUACUUACAUGUUUGUCUAAUUAGAUUUGCACUGCCACUUAGUAUUACGGUCUAGUGGUAUUUCUUUUUACUUGUAAGUGAGAUGUUUUAGAUUCGAUUCUUGUCAAAGACGAAUUUAAUCAAAAUUAUUAUGGUUAGCCCACAAUGAGGCUUGACUCACUCUCUCACCUUUUAGUGUAGAUAGUCGCAUGUAUUUAUAAAAUGAAAAAUAAAUAAAUAUUAGAUUGCACUAUAUUCUUCUUUGUUUCUGUUUUGCUUCCAAGUUAAAUUUCAAGUUUCGGAAAAAAGAUCAUCUCCAAAUCUCUCCCUCCAAAACCCAAGAAUCAAGUGAUUUGAGACUUUAAAAUUUGAUCCAAUAGCUAAAAACAGAUAAGUUAGUAAAAACUUUUACAAGCUAUAAUAAUUUUUAGCCAUUUGAUCAAAUUAAAAAAACUCAGAUCACUUGAUCAUUGGGUUUUGGAGAGAGAGAUAUGGAGAGGAUCUCUUUCCUCAAGUUUCAACCACCAUAAUGAGUACGGUUGGUUUUUUUAAUAAAUAAAUUCAUGUUUUUGAGCCAAGAGGAGGGCAAGAGUAAAAAAGUUCGAUCAUAAGUACUCAUUGAGGCAAUGUAUACCAAAUUUACAGAAUAUAAUAUUGGUAUAUGAGUAGAUACUUUGAGCUUUAGGACCUUCAUUAGAAAUCCUUGUAAACAAUUUCAUGACAUUUUCAUACUUUAAGAAAUGGCUUUAAGAGAUAAAUUCUUAAGUGGUAAGUAUACAACCUUCACAUGCCAUAAGUCUCAUGUCUAAAGUAACAAUAUACUUAUAGAAAUGUGGUUGCUUGGGAAACUCAGUGGGACAAAACCAAGCGAAGGAGAAAAAUUGAGGUAAAUUGGUGGACAUCUUACGGGGAGUGUUGUAUAUAUUAUUCAUUAUAUGGAUGUUCAAUUUCUAGGUUAAUAAGUAAUAUGUCAAUACUUGAACACCUUUUUGUGUAAAUCAUAUACUAAUAAAUAGGCACUCUAAUAAAAAGAAAAUAACACCUAGAUUUCUCCUCCCCAUCUCUAUAUUGUUUUCUAUUCCCUGUUGAUAAAGAAAAAAAACGAGAAACAGUCAUGCUGAUAACGUCUCACCAACUAACUUCAAUAUCACUUGUUUUCUCUUCAUUGACUUCUUUUAGAACAUAAAAUAUUUAUCAACCCAAUCUUAGUAUUAAAUAGCUUUUAUAAUCUUGUAAAUUUUGCAUAAUUGAAGUUAUUCUUUUAACUCACGUACAUACAUUUUACUACAACUUAGAAAUUAAAAAUUGUGUCUAAUAAAAUGAAAUUAAAAAUUGUUAUAUUUUAUGUGUUAGCUAGACAAUAUAUGAUUGUCAAAUGCUAAGAGUAGUUGGGUAAACAUUUCGUUUUUAGUUUUCACUUUUUGUGCCUGAAAUAUGGGAAAACAUAUGAUGAAUAAGAGAUUAAGCAUAUGGAUGAAUAAGGGAUUAAGAAAACAAAUUUUUUUAAAAGUGAAAAUAAUUUUACAUAGUUUUUUACUUUUGGUUUUCAUUGUGUGUACCUUUCUUUGUAAGGUUCUUCUACAUUUGUCUCGUCAUUCUUCCUCCACUCUCAUAUCUCCCAUUUCUCCUUGAUCUCCAACGCAAAGACAUAUUCAUGAAUAAUUCUCCCGCAAAUGGAUCCUUGUAAACCAGAACUAUAUAAAAAAUUACAACGAAGCAUGAUCAAUCGCAAAGCAAGAAGCAUACUUUACUUACUUCGUUGAAAGUCAAGCUUAUUAAGAAUUGCAACAUUAAAAGGAUUAAUAAAAUCGCUAAAAUCCAAUUUCCAUAUUCCAUCCAUUUUUGUAUGCAUGCCUAUCUGACAAUGUAGACAAGUGAAGUUAGCAAAACUGUACAAUACAGACUUAUGUGGCAUGUUACAUUUCGUAGAAAUUUUGGUCACUCCAUUAGACUAUGCAAAUCAAGUCGGCAAUAUUCUAUUGACCGGAAGUAGGCAAGUUUUUUGGAAAGAAAUCAUCUCCGGAUAUUUUCAUCUAAAAUCACUAAAUUAAGUGAUUCGGAUCUUUAAAAUUUUCUUACUCAAAUGCAGGAAGCAAAUUUGUUCUUACAUGGCUCUACACCAUUGGAUGCUCUUAUACAAAGUUUUGUCACUCCACAAAAUGUUGAAUGCACCCCAUAUUAAAAUUUAAUAUUAAAUGACUUAUUUACUCCACUAUGCAAUGACAAUUUUGACCUUAUUAGGUUUAAAAAAAAAAAUUAUAAAUACACCCCAAAUCACUUUUAGCGUAUUAUUUAUUUUCUCAACUAUCAAAACUCUCUCAUCUUCUAUUGUUGAAUAAAACUCUAACUAAUAAAACUACAAACAUGUUGAUUGAGAAAAAUUGUUUUUGAUGAAUGGAAUACAAAAUUGAUUUUUCUGAAGCUUUACAUGAGAUAAGACUUCACAUUUUUCAUUGUUUUAGUGAUUUCGAUGACAUCAAUAAUUAUUUAAUCUUGCGUUUGCUGCAUUAUUUAAACUUCUAUAUUCAUAUUCAUCUUUUAGGGUUCAUAUUAAUCUUGCAUACCCAGUAACAUGAGUCGUAUUAGUGCUAGAGUCAUAUACUACUUUUACAAAUUGAGGAUAGCCAUUCUCCACAUGAACUCGUACUCUCAAUCUUUAGCCGUUUGAUUGACGUACGUUUCUCAUUGAGUUUUUCUUUCUUUUUUCUUAUUCUUUUCUUGUCACUGGGAGAUGAUCAGUGGAAAAUGAGGAGAGACAUGGCCUAUAUUUAAAGAAAUCUGAGACCGAUUCAGUUUUGAUUUAUUAAUUAACUUCUAAGUCUAAAGACUUGUGAAAUAUAUAUAGAAGCAUUAUUUGUUAGCAGCACAGAUUUAAAUAUCGAUAUUAUCGGCGAUAUUUCGCCGAUAAUAUCGAUUUUUCCGGUCGGCGAUAUUUUAACUGGUUUCCGUGGGGUUUUCGGCCAAAUAUCGCGAUAUUAUCGAUAAUAUCGAUAAUAUCGCGAUAUUUGGAAAUUAUCGGCGAAAUAUCCAUGGACGGUGGAAUCGGAAUCCGAGGCGACGUCGGAGAAGAACGCCGGAGACCGUGGGGCGAUUCCCGGGCCGGUUUCGUCCCAAAAACCUUGCAAAAACACAAAUCUUAACAUUAAUUUCACAAAUAUACAUCAGAUUUCACAAAUAUACAAACGAUUCAAGGCAAGGUGAAGUCGGAGAGAUUAGGGUUUAGGGUUUCAUGGAAUCUCACCUGACGAAGCGGAAUACGAACGAUCCUUGCUCCGCGGCGCACCUCUGACUUCGCCUGAGCCACGAUCAACGACGAUCUCUGUGUGUGUGUGUGUUUGGGAGAAGAGAGAUCGAAGAAGAUGGAUCCAGAAACCCGAUCGAAGAAGAAGGAUCCAGAAACCAGAUCGAAGAAGAAGGAUCCAGAUCGCGGGAGAGACGAAGACGGAGAGACCGAGGGAGAGACGGAGACGGAGAGACCGAGGCAGAGACGGAGACGGAGAGACCGAGCAGAGACGGAGACGGAGACGAGGGAGAGACGGAGACGGAGAGACGGAGACGGAAGAGACCGAGGCAGAGACGAAGACGGAGAGACUGAGGGAGAGACGGAGACGGAGAGACCGAGGCAGAGACAGAGACGUAGAGACGGAGAUGGCGAUGAGGUGGUGUCGCCGUUGAUGUGGUGUGGAAGUGAGGGUGUGGGGUUGUUCACGGGGAGAAGGAGAGAGUGCAGAGAGUGCAGAGAGUGCAGAGAGGGGCGAAGAGGGAGAAUGAGGGUUGUUCACGGGGAGAAGGAGAGAGUGCAGAGAGCGAUGAGGGGGUGUCGCCGUUUAAGUGGUGUGAAAGUGAGGGUGUGGCGUGUGGGUUGGUUCACGGGGAGAAGGAGAGAGUGCAGAGAGUGCAGAGAGUGCAGAGAGAGUGCAGAGAGAGAGCACGGUAGAGAUGAGAGAGUGAGGGAAAAGAGAGAUCUGAGAGAAAAGAGAGACGGUGACACAAAAGCAAGGUGGGCCCUGGGCACACCUAUUAAGAUCAAAAAAUAAUUUUAAAAGUAAGAUAAAUGAAAAUACAAUUUAAAUUGGGGGUGGGUGUAACAAUCUACCCCUCUUAAAAGAAUUUCGUCUCUGAAAUUUAAAAUUACUUACUAAACUGAAAUACUAGAAAAUAGGAAGAAGAAUAUAUGUAUAAAGAGAAAUCAAGUCCAAAUAAUUACAUCAUAUUAAAAUUUGAUUAAUUUUUUUUUCAGUUACAUAUAUUCUAUAUGAUAAAUUUCUAUUUUAAAUCAAGUCCAAAUAAUUACAUCAUAUUAAAAUUUGAUUAUUUUUUUUUCAGUUACAUAUAUUAUAUAUGAUAAAUUUCUAUUUUAAAUCAAAUCCAAAUAAUUACAUCAUAUUAAAAUUUGAUUAUUUUUUUUUUCAGUUACAUAUAUUAUAUAUGAUUAAUUUCUAUUUUAAAUCAAGUCCAAAUAAUUACAUCAUACUAAAAUUUGAUUAAUUUCUUUUCAAGUAUCUACUUUUGAACUACUCACCACGUUCAUUCUAUGUGAUGCUAAGUCACUUAUGUAUCUUACCAUACAAUGUAUAAAGUGUAAAAUAUUGUACUAAUUCAUUAUAUAUAAAUGAUUAUGGUGUGUUUAAACUUAUUUUAUUAAUUACUACAUAUUUUCUACACUUACAAUGUUUGCCAGCUUGCUAUAUAAUCAAACUUAAAUCUGUUAAAUCCAUCAUGCAAUGCAUUUCCUUUCCAAUUUUUUUGUGAUAAACUAAUAGAUAAUUGACUAAAUAAACAUCCUGCAAAGUUUCAAUAAAAAUUUCCAAGUUUUUCUUACAAUUUCCGUGGUUUCCAUGUAAUUUUUAUCGAUAUCGAUAUUUUACCGAUAUUUCCAUCGAUAUUUCCGUGUUUUCGGACUACCGAUAUUUUCGAUAUCACCGAUAUUUUCUUCCUUGGUUAGCAGUAACGAGAGAGUCUUUUUUUUUUUUUUUUUUUUUUUUACUCGGAAAGACUCAGCACCACGAGUCAUUUUUAAGGCUUUUUAGAAGUUGAAUAAGAUGAUUUCAAACUAUACUAAGAUGAUUUCAAAUCAUCAUUUUGAAAUCAUUCGGUAAACUAAAUGCUCAGAUGAUUUGAAAUAUUUCGACAAAUUAAACGUUCAAAUGGUUAGAUUCAAUUCCUAAAAAUUAAAAAUGAGUGUUAUAAGAUUUGAGAAAUGUGGGGUGUAAAGAAAAUGUGGGGUGUAUGUACAAAAUAUAAGAUGUAUAUUGAGAAUGUGGGGUGUGGGGGUAUUAUGGGAAAGUAUGUAGGGUGUAUUAAGAUAAUUUUUAAGUGAAAAAGAAAAUAUGGGGUGUAUUAAGUAUGUGGGGUUUAUUCAACAAUUUGUGGGGUGUUAAUAUAAUUAGCCUAAUCUUAAUAGUGUUAUUGUUUUUAUUUCUGGUCAAUCCCGUAUCCCAUCCAUGAAAUCCAGGCAAAUUCCACCGAUGAAAUCCACUGACUACACACGUGGCAGCAGAUGCAGCAUCCUAGUAAGUAGAGUCCCAACCACAAGGGACAACCUCGUCAUACCAUACCCCAACAGGGAUACAACCGUCAUUUCACUAUCCAACAGGCCUCCCUCAUGAUAGCGUGCCUCAUGUCACAGUCCAUAUCAAAUCCUGACCUUUUCAACAACAUCAACGGCCCACAUGCACACACCUCCAGUGCGUCCACAAGGUAAUAAACUAUUCCCAGAAGCACUAUAUUACUCCUCGCAAAUUAGAACCAAACGAUGUCGUAUGAGGUGGAUGCUAAAGUACGCCGAACGUGAAACAAGGGGUUUGCGUCCGAAUCUCGCAGUAGGAUACGCCGUUGGUCGGGUAACGGAAACACGGGAAGUUGGUCCUUAGACCAAAAAAGUCAACCGUUAGGGGUAUAAUGGUCAUUCGGAUCUAGCUCAAGUGGGGCUUAACUAAAUAAAUUCAGACAAAUAAAUAAAACUAAACAAUUUGGGAUUAAGUUAAUAAAGCUAUUAGUUGGUGAACUGGAUUGAAUAAAGAGUUGAAGUCCGGACCACCUCAGAGAGAGAGAGAGAGAGAGAGAGAGAGAGAAGAAGAUGUUGAUCUGGUUGUUCUGAUUAUCUGGUGUUUGGAUCGCAGCUUUUAGAAGUACUGAAUCAUCACUUGUCUCAGGUGUUUGUUUAGAUUCCUGGACCUUUUCUUUUCUGUUUGUUUCUCGGGAAAAUUUGCAGGCCCACCUGGUUUCAUUUCUCUUAUUGUUGGAUUUACAAGGUACGUUUUUUCUGGGUUCUUACUUUUCUGUUCCAAAGGGGUUUCUGAUUCUUUGAAACGUUUUGUGGGUUUUGUUCGGUUGGUGGGUUGUAAGUCUCUUAUGGAUAAUACCUGAAUUUUCAUUUUUUGUUCUGUUUUUAAUUCAGGGGGUUUGCAGCUCCACAUUUUUAUGUUCUUUCUGCACUAAUUUGCUUAGUUUUCAUGAAUUUUUUGGUAUUUUUUAUGGUAAUUUUUGUAGGCUUUGCAUCAUCUACUUUUGAAUUUUCAGUAAAUGGAAAAUCAGCAAAUAAAAAGCAAUUUUUGAUGGUUUUUACCUUCAAUUUUUGGGGUGGUUUUGUGAGCUAAAUAGCAGUAUUUGUAUUUGCAGUACCUCUACAAGAAGGUUUCAUCCUUGCAAGUUGUUCACUGAUCUCCGAAAGCCUUAGCGGUGAAGCAAUGUAUCUUUGAUCAGUGCCAAACUUUUCAAACUCAAGCCUUUUGGAACUCUACUUUGGUGGUUUAAGGGUUUGCUCUCUCUCUCUCUCUAUAUAUAUAUAUUUAGUUAGUGUGUGUGUGACUUAUGAAGCUAACUCUUAGUUGAAGGAUUUGCGUUUAACUUCUAGGUCAACAUAAAUUAGAACUCUUUUUUUUCUUUUUAUUCAAGUUACAUCUAUCAUUUGGGUUCAUAUUUCAGAAUCUGGGUUUUGUUUUCUGAGGUUCAUUUGGUAGACCGUACAAAUAGGGAUUUCGGUUUGAAUUAGUUGUAGUUUGGUUUGUAGAAGAUCAGCUUUAAACCCUGCCACCAAAAGAUGUAUCUGAUUAAAGUUUGAUACUUUAGGCUGCUUUAACUCCAUGUGUGAAAGUGAGACUUUAUUCAAUGAGAAUCUCCUUUCCUUCCAGUGCUUUUCUCAGUCUGUCUUCUUCCUUUUUUUUUUAAUUUUUUUUAGUACAUCGAUAUUUUUACAUUAAGGGGAGGGGGAGUUUGGCAAAGCCACACAAUGGGCAGCCUAAUUUGUUAUCGAAUUCGCAAUCCACGAGAUUCGAUCCUAAGGCCUUUCCCUUACAAGUUAAGAGGAAUAACACCAGACCGUAGUACUGAGUGACACUUUUUUUUUCUUUUUCUAUUUAACUCUCUGUUAUUAAGCAUUCCGGAGAAUUUAAAUCAAUGUUUGAUUAAUUUGCAGCUGAACCCACACUUAUAGUUUUGGGGCCAGCCCCCUUGAAGUGGAUAUACUUAACAUCUUGGUCUGUUGGCACGUCAGAGUAAAUGUCAUUCCGCAGUAUAGUUCGCGACGUAAGAGAUGGGUUUGGAAGUUUAUCAAGACGGAGUUUUGAGGUGAGGCUGCCUGGUCAUCACAGGGGGAAAUCACAUGGUUCAGUCCAUGAGGUGCAUGACCAGCCUUUGGUAAUCCAAACUAGCCCUUGGGCUAGCCUACCUCCCGAACUACUGCGCGAUGUAAUAAAAAGAUUGGAGGCUAGUGAGAGUACGUGGCCUUCUCGCAAGCAUGUUGUUGCUUGUGCUGCUGUGUGCAGUUCAUGGAGGGAUAUGUGCAAGGAAAUCGUCAGAAGUCCUGAAUUUUGUGGAAAGAUUACCUUCCCAGUCUCCUUGAAGCAGGUGAGAGGUUCACAUUAUUGUCUUGCUUAUAACAUGGACUUUGUUGAUAAAAGUCAAAAUGCCCAAAUAUUUUUCUCUUAAUCUUGUUACCCUGGUUUUUCUGUUUAAGUUAUUUGCGUCAGCAUUUAUCCACUUAGAUGCUCUCUUUUGAAGAACGAUGUUUAUGCCUUCUUAAAAGGUAAAAUGAUAUUUAUGAUAUCUGUUAGCUGAAACGUUGUUGAAAUCUCUGCCUUUCACAGCCAGGAUCUCGGGAUGGAACCAUCCAGUGCUUUAUCAAGAGGGACAAGUCUAAUUUAACUUACCACCUUUUCCUUUGCCUUAGCCCUGGUAAGAUUCUCUUUAGAUGGUUUUGCGCAUAUAUUGUACCACGUUCAAUUUGACAUUUCAUCUUCUGUGGUUGUUUUGGAUGAUCAACUCCAAACUAUUCUGUGUAUAGUAUUGUGAAUAUCUUUUGGUUAUGCAUUGCCAUUGCACCAAGUUUUCUUAUAAAUCUUGUAGUGAUCAGGGUGUUUUUUUUAUAAAUUACUAGUGUCUCUUCUCCUGCUGUGUAUUUUUCUGGUCUUGCAAAUCAUUUACUUGUGCACUUUGCCCCUAUUUUCCGAUGACUAGUGGUCCAAGGCCCUAAAGCCUAGCUAGGUGGAGAGGUCUACCGAUACCUCACUAGUUCUAAGUUCUAAUUUGGUUCUGUCAGUUAUGCUGUCCUGUAUCAAGACAUGUUCUUGUCAUUGAGGUUAUUAGCAUGUGCAAGGCUGAAAGCUUAUUUUGAUGCUAAGUGGUUGACCAUCGCCGUAGGAUUAAUACAUAAACAGUGCACUUAUCCCACUUUAUAAUGCAAUAAGAAUUAUCUACUUCUCCCUAUGUGUUGUUUUUUUUUCAACGUAAACCUGCUGCCCUUACCCUACUUUGCCACAGUUGCAUAAAGGGUUUAUGUAACAAAAUCUUUAUUAGCAAAGGUUGAAUAUCAUAACUCGACCUUGAACUUCAUUGACAAACAUCUUUCCUUGAUUGCAUUGCUGCGUUCGAGUUUAUUUUAGGCUGUUCUCUUGAUCAAUGCCAUGCUCUUGCAGCGUUGCUUGUUGAAAAUGGAAAAUUUCUUCUUUCUGCAAAGCGGACGCGGAGAACUACUUGCACAGAGUAUGUGAUCUCCAUGGAUGCUGAUAACAUUUCAAGAUCAAGCAACAAGUACAUUGGGAAAUUGAGGUGGGUUUUCUUCAACUUUCUUUUGAGCUGUUAAUAUCUGUGCUGAAAUUCAUCUAUUAGCAACUCUGUAAAAAACAACAAUGUGAACGACUUAAAAACUUAAAAGAUGUGUCACUGUUAAUUCCCCCCCCCCUCCCCCCCAAAAAAAAAAAAAAACUUCAUAGUGCAAACAAUUUUUCAAACUUUGGUGUGAAAUUGGAACUGAGAAAAUGGCCUUAUUUUAAACUUAUUGCGCAGAUUUGAGGGAUCUAGUCUGAAGAAAUGAAUGGCCUUGUUUUAAGCUUAUUGCCCAGAUUUGAGGGAUCUAGUCUGAAUUAAAUUCAUUUAUUUUCUUAUUCACCUGUUGCCUCAUUGAUAAAGGAUUAGUAUGGGGGUUCUUCAAUGUGAUUCAAUAUUGUUCCUUUGCUUGGGUUUGCAGUAAGCGGCUCUGUCAGAAAUAUGUUUUGUUUGAUUAAUAUAAAUGAAAAAGAGUUUUAAAAUGGUUAAUUGUUGAUUUUUAUAAUUAGCUGUUCUUUUGCCUUGUUGAAAUCGUCUUGCUAUUUCUGCUUCUUUGGUUGCAUUAUAAUUUCAUUGCUAUACCUUAAAUUUAAAUGAGAUUUCAACGUGAAUAACACUGAAGUUAGUGCAUUCUGACCAUGGAUUUGGAUAAAUCGCAAGGGUUUUCUUUCUAUCUAGUGUUUUGGUGCAAGGAACUUGUAAGAUUGUCUUCUAUUUACUAAAAAGAAUGAAGAAUGUGAAUGUGCUGAAGAAGAUUGUUCUAAGAUUAUCUUCUCUAGCAUAUUUUCAUUGACAUUACUAGCGUCAGUAUAUCUCGGAGCUGUAACAGGGCCUCGCUUGUAGGAAUUUAGUAGCAAGUAUCAACUUGUUUAUAUUAGGGGGCAAAAUCACAAAUUGGACAAUUUUAAGUAAAAACUUCUAUCCCAUGUAUUUGCUGUUCUCUAUAAACCUUCGAUUUCAGCCCACUUGCCAUGAUUUAUUGAACUCUACUUAUUUCAGUCUGUUUAAUUUGUAAUGUAUCAACUUCACAUCAAUUGUCACUCAUUUGAAUCAUCUUUGCUGCUUUGCAUGCCGUCCCCAAUUGGUGCUUCCUAAGUUCUCAUGGAUGUGUAUAUGUUCAUAUUUUUAUCAAUUUAUUCUAAUUUGGUAAACAUGUUACUUGAAUUUUGAUUACCUCUGGUUUAGAGACUUUAGACUAACGUGCAUCUUCCAUUCCCCUUUUCCCCAUAUUUUUCAGGUCUAAUUUUCUAGGCACCAAAUUUAUUAUUUAUGAUACCCAACCUCCCUACAACAGUGCUCAGCUUCCCCCACCUGGGCGAAGCCGCCGGUUCUACUCUAAAAAGGUUUCUCCCAAGCUCCCCACCGGCAGCUACAACAUCGCACAGGUGUCGUACGAGUUAAAUGUGCUUGGCACAAGAGGGCCACGGAGGAUGCACUGCACCAUGCACUCAAUCCCUGCUGCAUCCCUUGAGCCUGGUGGCAUUGUCCCUGGCCAGCCUGAGAUUCUCCAACGCUCCCUUGAGGACUCAUUCCGAAGCAUUUCCUUCUCAAAAUCAAUUGUUGAUUCAAGUGAGUUUAGCAGUGCCCGAUUCUCUGAUAUAGUUGGGGCCCAUUGCGAAGAAGAUGGAAAGGAAAGACCAUUAGUUCUCCGGAACAAGGCACCAAGGUGGCAUGAACAGUUGCAGUGUUGGUGCUUAAACUUCCGGGGAAGGGUGACAGUUGCCUCUGUCAAAAACUUUCAGUUAAUAGCGGCUGCACCUUCUGCUGCUGGCGCACCGACACCAUCUCAGCCACCACAGCCAACCUCGUCUGACCACGACAAGGUCAUACUUCAGUUUGGUAAGGUUGGGAAGGAUAUGUUUACUAUGGAUUACCGGUAUCCAUUGUCUGCGUUUCAGGCUUUUGCGAUCUGCUUGAGCAGUUUCGACACCAAAUUAGCAUGUGAAUAGGGAGAAAUUAUGGCAAGAAAUAGAAAGCGUAGUUGGUAAUUCUUUUUUCAUCUUUUUCUGGCUUCUCAUAUAGAUUGUUGUUGUUGUAUCAUGACAUUGUUUAAACUCAGCAGACUGGAAAUGCAGAACAACAAAAGUGCACGCUGCAUGAAGCCCCCGUUUUUUUUUUUUUUUUAAUUUUCUUUUUAAUAUUUAGUAUAUUGUUCUGUAUUUUUAUCUUUCUUUCUUUUGUGUUUUUCUUUACAAAUUUGCUUUUCUGUUAAAGACUUGUAUUAUUAUAUAUGUUUUGGAAAGAAAAAUUAAUUUAGAAUCAAGAGAUAAAAAUAAGGGCAAGUUGUAGGAAUGCUCACAUUUCGACAUUGGGUUCGGUUGCAAAAAUGAUCUGUUUUUGGUUAAGACCACAUUGAUCAUAUUGAUGAAACAACGAUAAUAAAGUAAGGACAUGUACAAUUGAUCAUUUCUGUAACUUUUUUUUUUGAAACAAACUAAGAUACUUUUUCAUUAAACAAAGAGACUAAUACAAGGAAAAGAGUUCAAAAGACAUCUCACAACCGAAAUACAAGUCUAGCAGGAAAAAGUAAAUACAACACAAAGCCGAAAAAGCAUAGUUAAAUGACAACAGAAACCCUAAUAAUAAAGAGGAAACCAGUAACCACCACCAAAUUUGACGCGCCUCCAUCGGAAGGCCACCACCAUCAAAAACAGCAAUCGGAUCAAAGGAAAAUGGGGGUGAGCGAGCCUAAUAGGAGCAUAUUUAUGCGACUUAGUUAGCUUGUUCUUGUGCAUUUGUGUUGUUAUUUCUUAGUUAAUUAUGUAUUUUAAGCUAUUUUCGUGUGUUUGUAGGUCAUAAUAACAAAGUUGGCAAGAAAGUGCAUUUUGGAGCAUUUUUUGAGCAUUUUUGAGCCAAUAUUGGAUAGUGCAAGCAUGGAGACAUGAGGAUGGACGUUUUUGAAGAUUUGAAGGCUAGAAAUCAGCAUGUGUGUGCAAUUGUGUUGACCUACAACUCCAAACAUCCAUCCGCUACACCCAUUACAUCCACUCAUUACCAAACACUCACCCACUACACCCAUUACAUCCACUCAUUACCAAACAUCCAUCCACUACACCCAUUACAUCCACUCAUUACCAACAUUCAUCCACUACAUCCAUUACAUCCACUCAUUACCAAACAUUCACCCACUACACCCAUUACAUCCACUCAUUACCACAACAUACACCACUACCACCUUAAUUAGAUGGUGGUCAUCUCCCUAGCCUAUAAAUACAUCCACCCUUCACCAUAACAAAUGGGAGGAGAAAAGAUCCAUCAAAAGACACUACAUUCACAUCUCACAACUCCAUACACUUACACUUUCAUUCCUUGGCCGGGAGAACACAAUCCACCCAUCCACCAUUCACCAUAACUCACCUAUAUCCAUCCACCACCAUAAUUUACCACUCAUCCAUCAAACCACAUCUUGUGCCGCAACAAAGAGAAGAAGGAGGAUCCUUGGACGUGCUUGCCAUUCAAGUUGGAUUGUUGGAGCGUUUUUAGGUGUUUUCAUUUUUUUGUUUUCAAUGUCUAAAUUUGUUUAUCUUUGCUUUGUGAGUAUGAGGAACUAAACCCCCUUAGCUAGGGGGGAAUUCGAAACCAUGUUCAUGCUUGCAAUAUGAUUUGAUUACCUUCAGUUGUGAUUUCAUAAGUUGUGAAUUCAAUUUGUUUAACUGCUUGAUUGAUAACUUAUUCAUGUAUGUUUAUUAAGAGUGCAUACUUAGUUUGCAUGCAUGAAUAUGAUACUAGAGUAUAAGGGAGUUUCACCUAAUAGUUACAAACUUAUAUUCACAAGUAGUGGAUGUCGCUUAUAAACGAUCGCGUUAAAUGAAUUCUUGGCAGGAGUUUCAUGCUCAUCAUAGUAACUAAGGUCACGUCAAUACUUAUAGUUUUCAUAAUGCUUAAUGAUCUUUGAUUGUAUCUUUAUUGUGCUGUUCACGUAAAGAACUUUUGAAGAAUGCUUGAAUUGUUGUAUGCGCUUUCCCAUCCAAUUCAAUAAUUUAAGGAGAACUUGAAGGUUAAUUUAAGCGGACAAUUAACCUGGGGUGUUGAGUUUCAUGAUUUAUCGAAAGAACAACUGAAAAUUGGUUUAUGUGCAAGUAUGUCAUAUGUGGAGAAGAACCUCCUAGCUAGCCUUCCAUCAAUUCAAUUUACUCAAAUUCGUGCAGAUUUCAUUAGUUCUUUAAUUUACUUGUUUUGUUUUCAAAUUCUUCAAAACCAAAACCCCCUUUACUUUAAAGUGUUUUAUUAGUCAAAAUUUGUUUUUAUUUGUGUUUUUAGGUGUCCUAAAAGUGUGUUAGAGUCCAAAUCUGCCCAGUUUGUGUUUUUAGGCAGAUUUGAGCGUUUUUAGCUUGUUUUGAGUCCUUUGAGUUUGUUUUAAGUUCUUUAAGUCUAGUUUAGUGUUUUUAAAUUUGUUUAUAUGUUUUUAAGUUAGUUUAGAGGUUUUAGCAAGCCCUCAUAAUCCCCAGUUUAGAACGAUCCCUACUUGCAUUUAUACUACAAUUUGACAACAAGAGGGUUUAAUUUGUGUGUUAAGUUAAUUUUCGCAUCAAAUUUUUGGUGCCGUUGUCGGGGACUAGCAACUUUGCUAAUCCCCCGUUGUUUCUUUUUCAUGUCUUUUGUUUAGUUACUGACUUUAUUUCUAUUUGUGUCUUUUAUUUGUACUUAUGAUAUUUGAUUUAGUUUUGUUUCCUUGAUUUCAGGUACUAGAGAAGUAAGACAUGGAUUUUGCUACCAUUCAAGCUCAAUUGGCAAAACUUACUUCUCAGUUGUCACAAUAUGCCGAAAGGACCACAAUGCAAAGUGUCCCUACAUAUGGUAUCCUAUGGGCAAGGAUAUCCAACUCAUCAAUGUUCUCAAUUCACUGCGAAUGAAGAUACUUGGGGUUAUCAAGGCCAUAGCCAAUCAUGGGACAACACGUUUUCCAACGCUUACAAUUCGGAUUGGAGAGAUUAUUCAGAUUACAUGUGAGGAGAACCUCAACAAUUCCAACAAGAUGGGUAUUGGCAGCAAGAAGAGGAGUUAUAUUCAAGACCUAUGCAGCCACCACAACAAUCUGCCCAAUUCAAUUCAGGUACGUCUUUGGAUAAUGAUAUGUUUAAUAAGUUACUCACCUCUUUGAACCAGGAAGUAGAAAAUGGAAACAAAGAGAUGCAAAAUCAAGCCAAGAAGACGGGUGAAUUGGAGAAGCAAAAUGGGCAGAUUAUGGAGUUCAUGGCACAAAUUCAAGAGCAAAGUGAACUCUCCAACUCAACUAUUGAAAAUUUGAAGGAAGAUUUUGAAAUCCAUGAUGCUAUCACUUUGGGAAAUGUUAUGGAGGUUGGAGGUGAACCCAAGACAUCCAAACCAAGCCAAAACAUGGAUGAACAACUGAUGCUCGAAGAAUAAGAGAAUAACAAGGCCAUGGCAAGGGAAGAACCACUCUUGCCGCAGCCCCAUAUGCCCUCUAUGUCGUCCACUACAACCAAGGUAAGCCUAAAUUCAAUUUGUCCUGACCCCGUUUCAUCAAAUGUCCUUAUUCCUUGCAGGAUCAUGCAAUCCAAGGAAGAAGAGGGUGAGAAAGGCAUCUUCGAAACCUUUCCAAAGAGUCAAGAGCAAGAAGUGGAUGGGGAAUGUGUAGAAUUCAUCAAAGAAGAUACACUUGAGAUGAAAAUUCCCAAAGAAGUUGGAUUUUAUGGCACGGGACAAGUCAUAACUCUCAAAACACUAAAUCUGGCCAAGUCCCAUAUCCCUGCAACCUUCAAAGAUGUGGUGUUCGUAAUUGAGUUUAUGUUGGAGCAAGCAAGUAAGUCAUCUUCUUCAACUUUAAUUUUAUUAUAUACUAACUUGCUGAUUUUGAUGAUUCGGGCACCUACACUAGAAUUUAAACCAUUGCCGGAUCACGUCAAGUAUCAUCGUCCAUUCAAGGAUCAAUUCCAUGCUAUGGGCCCUAUCCAAGUUUAGAAAAAGUUUCGUCCGGCUGGAAGACGUUAAAGCAAGCGCUUCUUGGGAGGCAACCCAUGUAUUCAAAUAAGGAAGAUUUUUGAAUUGCUCCACGAUUGGUUUUGCAUUCCUAAAAACCUUCCCUUUUCUGUAGUUUUAUUUUGCCAUGAUUGUCAUUUUUAUUUGUUGCUUGUUUAAUUGUUUUUUGUGUGGGUUUAUUUUUAAAACACUGAUAGUUAUGCAAGGUAUUUUUACAUUCAUUUUCAUAAAAAAAAGGAACAUUAAGCAUAAAAAAGCUACAAGAGGGAGCUUUCAUAAAGGCUGCUUAGGAGAAGUCUCAGUAGUUGGCGGAGCCCCAGAAGGAGGAAGCAUCGGAGGUUGAUCAUUUGGAGCUUCAUUACGCGGUACAGCCCCAGAAGACGAAGGCAAAUGCUGUUGGAACAAACCCACAAACCUCUGAUGAUCAAGUAAAAUCUGACCAUCAGAUUCCUGCAUCUGGUCAAUCUUCCUCUUCAUGUUUGUAGCAUAGUUAUGUGCGAGCUUGUGCAACUGUUUAUUCUCAUGCUUGAGCCCUCUAAUCUCCUGUUUGAAACUCAUCACUUCAGCCGCCAACGAUUCAACUUGACGGGUUCGAGCAAAUAAGCGUUAUGCCAUAUUAGACACAGAACCUGCACACUGCACACUGAGAGCCAGAGAAUCCUUAACAGCCAACUCAUCAGACCGUUUGGCAAGUAGUUUUUUAUCUUUGGGAGUGACAAGGUUCCUAGCCACCACCGCAGCUGUCAUAUCAUUCUUCAUCACCGAAUCCCCAACGGUAAGGGGACCAGUAUAGGAUAUGAAUGAUGGGUGCCAUAUAUUGUCUGGAGAAGGCGGGACUACCUCUUCACCAAGGUUCAAGUCAAAAUGACGAUCAAAGGGGCCAGACAUUUUCAAAGGUGUUAAAGAAAUAAGAGGUCGGACAAGUCAAGAUCGUAGAAGUGCAAGAAGGGAGUUUCUACAUGUAGAAAUUCAAGUGUGCUUUGAACGUCCUGCGUACCUCUAUAAAAAUCAGCACUCGACGGGAUUUUAGAGAUCGAAGAGGCGAGCUCAGAAAUCAAAGAGGCCAACUCAAAAAUUGAAGAGGCGCUAACUUUCUCAAAAGCUGGGCUUGCUCAGAAACCACAGGCCAAUCUUCUUUUCCAGAUUUGUCCGCACUUGUCACAUGCAACCUCUGCACUCGACGGGAUUUUAUUGAUCGAAGAGGCGAGCUCAGAACUCGAAGAGGCAAGCUCAGAAAUCGGAGAGACAUCUGCUUUUCCAGACGUGUGAGCAUCUGUCACAUGCAGACUCAGCUUUGCGGAAAUCACAGGCAGUUUGUUGAAGCGCCGAUUCCAGAUAUCGAAGAGGCACUUGCUUUUCCAGACGUGUCAGCGCCUGUCACAUGCACACUCAGCCUUGCGGAAAUUAUGGGCAAUCUGUUGAAGAUCUCUUGUGAAGUAGAAAUCACGUGAAGUUUACUAUUAAAUCAUCCAACGGUUGCUGACAAGAGUGAAAGAAUAGUACCGGUUAUUAAUUCCUAUAAAUGUCACCAUUCACCCUCCAUUGCAAGGCAGACAUACAUAACCCUUCUUCUUCUUUGAGAAUGCAUUUCCAACAAACCCUCUCGAGUCACUUAGUGUUCCUUAUUCCUUGGGGUACCUCUGCAAACAACUUAUCCAAAGCAAAAGUAUUUCAUAUCAUGAAGGUUGAAAGCAAGAGUAUCUAAUAUCAUGUUUUCUCCUUGUCCUUCUCCUUGUCGUUGUUUUGGGACAAGGAGAAAGAGAGCAAUCAGUCAGCACUUGGUAUCAAUCUUCCAAUCUGGAACCGACUGCCUGGAACCCCUUCCUGAUUGCUUACCUAGCCUUGCUCUCGAGUACUCAUCUUCAUCAUCUUAUGCUUCCUCUUCGUCUACCACAUAUGCCUUGGGGAACAGAUAAGGGAAGUGAAAAUGAUACCUCGAAGCAUGUGGAGACAAUUUGCCAAUUCAUCCUCAGCUAGGGACAAGGAGAAAGAAAGCAAGAGGUGGGCACUUGGAAAGAUUGAAGAAAGAAACAGACCAACACCUCUACCUCGUGCCUGCCUGCCGUGCAGAAGAAACAAGCAGAGAAGAAUGCAGACUGCACAAUCAAAUCAACCCAGCAGAAUGAGUCUGAUUUGAAACCAAGGAACUCUCAUAUUCCUCGCUCAGAAUUCCAAACCAGUUCGAGAUCAAAGCUGUGGAAAGUCAACAAGAUCAUCUAUCUCCAAAACCAGAUUUGCGUUCUUAAACUCUACUCUGUCUGGUUUUUACUUUGCCAUACUUGUCAUGUUUAUUCGUUGUUUGUUUGUUUGCUUGUUUUUGUGUGAGUUUAUGCUUGAAACAUUGAGGACAAUGUUUGAUUUAAGUGUGGGGGGUAACCAAGUUGUUUUGCAUGAAAUUCGUAGGAGUUUAUCACCCAUUACUUCUAGUGUUGUUCCUUGCUGUUUUUUAAGUGUUUUUAAGCUGUUUUGGAGUGUUUUAGUGUGUUUGACAUAAAAAUCCGAAAAUCUCAUAAAAAUUUGAAAAAAAAAUUGUUUUGAAAAACCCAAAAAGAGUUGUUUUUGUGUGUUUAUUUGUGUCUUAGGGUACCUUCCAACACAAUGAUGAGGAUUUGGUUUUUAAUUACAUGACUGUUAAAGAGAGUUAUAAACAUGGAUGAAAAUUUGAUUUACUCUUUGGUGUAUGCUUAGUUGUGGUUAUAAUUUAUGAAUUCACAUGCAAUCAUAAAGGAAAAAUCUGUUUUUGUAACAUGCUUGAAGAAAGGAACUCAAAUGAACGCUACAACCUUGUGAGACUUGAGCCUAAACGUUUAUUUGGAGAGUUAAUAAUCUGUGCAUCAUUGUUUUCUAAAGUCGUUGCAUGAUCUCAUUAUUCUUUGCUUGGUUGCUACUUAGAAGGCGUUUCAUCAUUUAGUUCCAAAUGCUAGAACUCAUGCCUAUUUCAUUCAAAGCAUGCUAUUGAUUUGCAUAACACAUAUUCAAGAUGAAGUUGUGUAGUGACCACCAAAGCCAAAUUGCCGUGCCCCUAUUUCAUUAUGUGUUUAAGUUUAACCCGUUGAGCCUUGUUAAGCCUAUGUUCUUUGUUAAACCCACACUAUCCUUACCUAGCCUAGUUUUAGGAUCAUCCAUACCCUUGUUCUUGAAGCAUAGUAAAGCAUGACCUUAAAAUGAACCUUUUUUAUCAAUGUAUUGCAGAAAAGCAAGUGUGGGGGGAAGUGAUUCUUUGUGUGUGUGUGUGCCAAAGUCCUUAAUAAGACACGGGUAGAGAAAAAAAAAGUAUGAAAAAGAGUCUAAAACAUUGAAUUCGGCCCUAAGUGUUGCAUGAAUCUUCCCUUUGUAUGUAAAAGUUGAUUCUGCAUUCUAAAGUGAAUUCCAAGUGUCUAUUUCAUUGCUUUGCUUGCUAUCGCUUUAAGAACGUUUGUUAUUCCUAUCCUUUCUUUGUUAGCCAUUACCCCCAAGCCCUGUUACAACCCUUGACUUCAAUCUUGAGUGUUGUGCGUUUCAAUUUGUGGAGUUUGAAAUUGGUAUGAGCAUAUGGUGUCACUGGUUCUCGCAUCUAAGUAGUAGCAUACCAUUCAUGAGAUCAUAUCUAAACAUGCUUAAUAAUUCCAGAAAAUUGCUUCCUUUGUUAUAACAUAUAUGAGUCUCAGUCUCUAGUGUAGGGUGUGCAGUCAGAAAAUGUGUGUGAAAAUAGAGAGUAUCUUGUAAGGAAUUGAGCAAAUUCUCUAAGGCAUGUUACUACAUUCAAAACAUUGUUUUAAUUGUUUAUUGUGAACUAGUAAGUAGUGACUGUGAUUAAGUUUGUGCUCAAGUGUGAAGAUAACCAAAAUCUGUGGGAAUGAUGAUUUUUAACAUGUCAUGUGCAUUGGAAAUCCCUGAGGCAAAUGUUGGAAGGUUAGGUUGUGUUUUAUUUGUUUUGUUUCGUUUUGUUUCUUUUGUUUUGCUCGAGGACUAGCAAAAGCUAAGUGUGGGAGAAUUUGAUAGGAGCAUAUUUAUGCGACUCAGUUAGCUUGUUCUUGUGCAUUUGUGUUGUUAUUUCUUAGUUAAUUAUGUAUUUUAAGCUAUUUUCGUGUGUUUGUAGGUCAUCAAAUAACAAAGUUGGCAACAAAGUGCAUUUUGGAGCAUUUUGGAGCAUUUUUGGGCCAAGAUUGGAUAGUGCAAGCAUGGAGACAUGAGGAUGGACGUUUUUGAAGAUUUGAAGGCUAGAAAUCAGCAUGUGUGUGUGCAAGUGUGUUGACCUACAACUCCAAACAUCCAUCCACUACACCCAUUACAUCCACUCAUUACCAAACACUCACCUACUACACCCAUUACAUCCACUCAUUACCACAACACUCACCCACUACACCCAUUACAUCCACUCAUUACCAAACACUCACCCACUACACCCAUUACAUCCACUCAUUACUAAACAUCCAUCCACUACACCCAUUACAUCCACUCAUUACCAAACAUUCAUCCACUACACACAUUACAUCCACUCAUUACCAAACAUUCACCCAUUACACCCAUUACAUCCACUCAUUACCACAACAUACACCACUACCACCUUAAUUAGAUGGUGGUCCUCUCCCUAGCCUAUAAAUACAUCCACCCUUCACCAUAACAAAGGGGAGGAGAAAAGAUCCAUCAAAAGACACUACAUUCACAUUUCACAACUCCAUACACUUACACUUUCAUUCCUUGGACGGGAGAACACAAUCCACCCAUCCACCAUUCACCAUAACUCACCUAUAUCCAUCCACCACCAUAAUUUACCACUCGUCCAUCAAACCACACCUUGUGCCGCAACAAAGAGAAGAAUGAGGAUCCUUGGACGUGCUUGUCAUUCAAGUUGGAUUGUUGGAACGUUUUUAGGUGUUUUCAUUUUUUUGUUUUCAAUGUCUAAAUUUGUUUAUCUUUGCUUUGUGAGUAUGAGGAACUAAACCCCCUUUAACUAGGGGGAAUUCGAAACCAUGUUCAUGCUUGCAAUAUGAUUUGAUUACCUUCAGUUGUGAUUUCAUAAGUUGUGAAUUCAAUUUGUUUAACUGCUUGAUUGAUAACUUAUUCGUGUAUGUUUAUUAAGAGUGCACACUUAGUUUGCAUGCAUGAAUAUGAUGCUAGAGUAUAAGGGAGUUUCACCUAAUAGUUACAAACUUAUAUUCACAAGUAGUGGAGGUCGCUUAUAAACGAUCGCGUUAAAUAAAUUCUUGGCAGGAGUUUCAUGCUCAUCAUAGUAACGAAUGCCUCGUCAAUACUUAUAGUUUUCAUAAUGCUUAAUGAUCUUUGAUUGUAUCUUUAUUGUGCUGUUCACGUAAAGAACUUUUGAAGAAUGCUUGCUUGAAUUGUUGUAUGCGCUUUCCCAUCCAAUUCAAUAACUUAAGGAGAACUUGAAGGUUAAUUUAAGCGGACUUAAUUAACCUGGGGUGUUGAGUUUCAUGAUUUAUCGAAAGAACAACUGAAAAUUGGUUUAUGUGCAAGUAUGUCAUGUGUGGAGAAGAAUCUCUUAGCUAGCCUUCCAUCCAUUCAAUUUACUCAAAUUCCUGUAGAUUUCAUUAGUUCUUUAAUUUACUUGUUUUGUUUUCAAAUUCGUCAAAACCAAAACCCCCUUUACUUUAAAGUGUUUUAUUAGUCAAAAUCUGUUUUGAUUUGUGUUUUUAGGUGUCCCAAAAGUGUGUUAGAGUCCAAAUCUGCCAAGUUUGUGUUUUUUGGCAGAUUUGAGCGUUUUUAGCUUGUUUUGAGUCCUUUGUGUUUGUUUUAAGUUCUUUGAGUCUAGUUUAGUGUUUUUAACUUUGUUUAUAUGUUUUUAAGUCAGUUUAGAGGUUUUAGCAAGCCCUCCUAAUCCCCGGUUUAGAACGAUCCCUACUUGCAUUUAUACUACAAUUUGACAACAAGAGGGUUUAAUUUGUGUGUUAAGUUAAUUUUCGCAUCAGAGCCACCAGCGCUGUGAACGCUCCCAUAAUCCUACCAAAUAGUGCAAAAGCACUUUAACAGCCACCCAAAAUCCAAGCAUGUCACCGAGGAGAAGCACUCGGGCUUGAGAAGCAGGCGUUGGUAGUUGUGUACUCACGACGGAAGAAAACAUCGGAACAGGAAGGUGUCUACAGAUUCCGAUCUGAGACAAGCUCAGAGAAUUGAGAUAAAGCUCAAACGAACUAAGACAAAGCUCAAAGAAAGCCAAAAUGAAAGCAGAAAAAAGCACCGCAUGAAAAAAAAAACAGAGGAGGGAAUGCGUGAUCGGGGAAGAGUGAGGACUUGAGGGUAUGGGUAGUAAGUUGGGUUGCAGCAGGAGAGAAAAGGGUGGAGGGGAAAGGAGGAUGACCAAAUGGCGAGGGAAAUGGGCUAGAUGGGAGAAGAAAAGGGGAGCAACAAGGGAAAGUCGGCCGACUCCAACUAGAAGAAGGAGUCGGCGGCGAAGGCUGGGAAUUUGGGGGGAUCCUGCGAGAGAGAAAAGCAGGAGUAGAUAGAGUUUAAAUGACAAAGUUGAGACAAAUAAUUGAUCAUUUCUGUAACUAAAUGUUAAAAUUUGAUCAUCUCAUUUAAAUGUCAAAAGAGUCAUUUUCACUUUUACAUAUUUCUAAAUUUUCUAAUUUGUUGAUCAUCUGAUUAGAUGAAUUGAAGAUAAUUAAACGAUAGAACUUAACAAGUAUGUGGAAGAUGUAAAAGAAGAAUAGCGUGUGGAUAGCAACGCAAUACAACAAGGGCUAUGAAAUAAGGUAUAAAUACUAGGGGUGGAAAAAAUUCCCAAAAAUCCCGAACCAAACCGAAAAAAUACCGAUCCCAAACCAAAAAUGUCCCAAACUGAUUUUCCUAAAAUUUUCGGUAUGCUAUCCCGAAAAAAUACUGAAAUUUUGGUAUGGGAAUCAGGAUUGUCUUCCCAAUAUUUCAGUAUUCCCAUACCAAACCGAAAUAUAUAUUUUUAAUUAUUGUAUAUAUAUAUAUAUACACACACACACAGAGAUAAUAAUAUAUAUAAAUCAUGUGUGGCACAAUAAUGAAAAAAUCAUGUUACUUUAUUUUUCAUCCCUGCAACAUAAAGAUAUGAAGGAUUAUGAUAUGUGUUAUGUGUCAUUCUAUUUCAUCGAAGAUAGGAGUCACCUUUACUGGAAGUAACACAAACACCAGUGUCAAAGUUGUUGAAGAAAGUAGAGAACGUAAACACCAGAAGUGUAAUGUGUAUUCCACAUAAUCACAAAAAGGUAUACAACUUAUGUAAUAGGUUUGCCUUCUAGUGUAUUAUUAAAUGGUAAAACAACUAUGUUCUAUAGGUUAUAAACUUAUAAAUGCAUCUCAGUAUUAAAAAAGAAGAUAUCAUAUAAAACUUAUCCGCGGUUGCACUGGUGGUUAUUUAAGAGUUUAAUGUUGCCUACCGAUAUCGUUUGAUCAAUUCAUGCAUUAUUCCUUCUACCUCCUCAACUUCAUGCCAGGUAACUCAUCAGGAGUAUGAAGUUGAAACUUGGAAGAACAAUCAUGAAACGAAGGAAAACAAGAAGCACAAUAAUGUUUGAAGUAUUUACUGAUUAUUUCAGUGAAAAUAAAACAGCUAUGAGAUUUGGGAAUACAGAAUCACCAAAAGCCCAAAAAUAUUUCGAGAUUCCCAAAAAUUAGGAUUCCUGAAAUUUUGGUUUCAGAUCAGUCUUAAAAUUGGGUAUACCGAUCAUUUUGGUUUGGAAAUUGGAACUAAGGUUUUGGUUCUGUAUCCCACACCAAACCACCCCUAAUAAAUACUAGGGCUCAGUCAUCAUUCUCAAAGUUUGGGGUUAGUUUCACAAUGGCGCCAUCUGUUCUGGGCGGCUCAAAGUAACCAACCUUAUGGCGCCAUCUGUUGGGUGACCUCAAGUCUUACUAUAGUCCUUCCCACAUUGAAUCUUCGUGUAUAUAAAUCUGCAAGCCCUACACUCUCCCUUCCCACUCUCACGUAGUUUCAGUCGCCGCAUCUUUCUCGCCCACACCCGCUCGGCCUCUCUGUUUAGCCCUAAAUCACCGAUUUGGGGAUUUGCCCUAAUUUACCAAUGUAGAAUUACCCCCAAAUUUCCUUCCUUUCAUAGUUCCGAUUUUUUCUUUCAGAAAUUCCCAAUUUGUAGAAUUAACCCUAAAUUUCGUGUCUUUGAUAGUUAUGCUUUUUGUUUGGCGUUUGAUGUUAAAUGGGAUUUGUGGGGGAAUGAUGGUACAUGCACUGGGCUCUGAGCAGUUCAAAAUCGCUUUCAAUGGUUGCUCAGAAAUUACUGUUUUUGGUACUGCUAGUUUGGAUUGUUUAAGGUGUAUUAUAUCUAAAUGCAUGAAAUUUAAAUUGUGUUUUUGGGUAGAUUUUCUGUUAACUAUUGUUCUUGUUAUCAUGCAUUCUACUAAUCUCCAUUGCAAUGCAAAUGAAUGGUGGAGUUGUCAUUGUAGGUUGCUGAUUUGGGAUUUUGCAGUAAUGAUAUUUCUGUUCUAAUUUUUGGAUGCCUGAUGAUGGAAAACUCAUUUUCUGAGCGGUUACGCGGGUUUUUUUUACGAGCUUUUUGUAUCAUUUUUGCUGUACUAGUCUCUCUCUCUCUGUCUCUCUCUCUCUCUCUCUCUCUCUCUCUCUCUCUCUCUCUUUCUCUCUCUCUCUCUCUCUCUCUCUUUCUCUCUCUCUCUCUCUCUGUCUUUAUGGCUUGUACAGUUGAAGAUGUGAAAAGGCUCAUGGUGAUAAUCCCGCAGAUAACUGUCUAUGACCAGAUAUAGCUAUGAGAUCUGAAGGCUUGUUUACAGGCAUUUUCUUUUCCCUAACAGAUGUGUAUUGAAUUUUCAGUUGUUUUGUUUCGUUAAUACAACAACAACAACAAAACUUUUUUCCAUUAAAUGGGGUCGGCUAUAUGAAUCUUAUAACGUCAUUGCGCUCGGUUUUGUGUCAUGUCCUCCGUUAGAUCCAAGUACUCUAAGUUUUUUCUUAGGGUUUCUUCCAAAGUUUUCCUAGGUCUUCCUCUACCCCUUUGCCCUGAACCUCUAUCCCGUAGUCACAUCUUCGAACCGGAGCGUAAGUAGUCACAUCUUCGAACCGGAGCGUAAGUAGGCUUUCUUUGCACAUGUUCAAACCCAUUUUGUUUCGUUAAUGAUUUCUGUAUAUGUAUUCUUACUAUUGUAUUGAUCUGAAGUUUUCUGUUAAUAGAAAACCGAAGAGCACUUUUGGCGUUGCGGUAUUUUACCCCUAUAAAACGAUUAUUGGAGAUUGUUUUGGUUAGAAGAUGGUUAUAGAUUUUUGAUUUACUUUAUCUUCUGGUUCAAAUAUGAUGCCCAGUGAUGGGAGAAUUGAAAACCUAAACAGUGGUAAGCGUGGUUGAUUUUUCAUUAGCCCGUACUUACCACAAGCACCACCUCUCUCUCUCACUACAACAAACAACAACCAAGCCUUAUCCCACUAUACGUGGGAUUGGCUGGAUGAAUCAUUGAACGCCAUUACGCUGGGUUUUGUGCCAAGUCUUCCGUUAUCUCUGUCUCUCAUACAUAUAAAUAUAUACAUACAUUCACACAUACAUACGUUGGUGGUGCAUGGUGGAGUACGAAGGCUUUUGAGGAACGCCACUAGCCGUGAACUGUAUAUGACUCGUUCAAAGGUGUGAGAUCUGAGGGCACGAACCUUUGAAGUAGUGAUGCUUGUCAAGUUAUUUUUCAAGGUUAGAGCACGAGCCUUUGGUGUAGUAAUGUUGUGCUAAUGAUGAGUUAUACUCUGUAUCUAGCCUUUCUUUUUCUUGAAUUAUUUUGGAUCAUUACCAUGUUCUCUGAUAUAGUUUUUUUGCUGCUUCUGAAAGGUUUAUUUGCCUAAUGAUGGAAAACUCAUUUAUGGAGCGGUUCUGUGGAUUGUUAUUAGGAGCCUUUUCUAUCAUUUUCCUAUACUAGUCGCCGUCAUCAUCAACACCACCAUUCUUCUCUCUCUCUCUCUCUCUCUCUCUCUUCUCUCUCUCUUCUCUCUCCCUCUCUGGCUUGUAUGGUUGAAGAUGUGAAGAGGUUCAUAGUGAUAAUCCACAGUUAACUAGCAAUGACCAGAUAUAGCUAUGAGAUCUGAAGGCUCUUCAGUUUUUUGCCUUUUUUUAUUUAAGAUAUGCUUGUUGAAUUUUAAAUUAUUUUUGUUCCCUUAGUUAUUUAUAUAGGUCAUUGCAGCAUUGUAGACAUUAUUUUAGUUUAACUGGAGCACUUUUGGCAUUGCAGUAUUUGAUUACUAUAAAUGUACUGUUACUUUUGUAUUGAUUUCAAAUUUUCUGUUAAUAGAAAACCAAAGAGCACUUUCGGCAUUGCAGUAUUUUUGUAUAUAAUGCGAGCUCCCUUCAGACUCAAACCUGCUUGUACAUUGUUACAUAUAAAGCUAAUAAACUGUCGUUUGGAAAAAAAUUCACUCUUUCAUUGUUACUGAGUGCUUUUAUUUCCUACAAAGCUAUUAUUGUAGAUUGUUUUUGUUGAAAGAUGGUUAUACAUUUUGAUUAACUUUAUCUUCUGGUUCAAAUAUGAUGCCCAGUGAUGGAAAGUUGAAAACCUAAAUAGUGGUAAGGGUGGUUGAUUCUUCAUUAUCCCGUACUAACCACAAGCACCACCUCUCUCUCUCUCUCUCUCUCUCUCUCUCUCUCUCUAAUAUAUAUACAUACAUACAUACACACACAUACGUUGGUGCUGCAUUGUGGAGUAUGAAGGCUUUUGAGGAACGCCAUUGCCCAUGAACUGGAAAUGACUUAUUGCUAUGUGAUCUGAGGGCAUUUUCAUAGAACUCACUAUUUUCAAUUACCUAUUUGGGGAUAUAUCCCUCCUUGCAGUCCAAAUUUUGCGCCGCAAGUUACUUUGACCCCACAUGUGCGUUUGGGCCCCAAAUUUUGUUUCUUUCAUAAUUAUGAUUUUUAUAUGGGCUGAUUGUCUGUUCUGUUCUUGUUUCAAACUGUUGUUUCAUAAAAACCUGUAUUUUUCUUGACUGGGUGAUAGGCCUUUGAUAUUAAGUUGUUUUGAUGAUGGUUUAUUUUCAUUUGUGCUAGAAGUUUAUAAUGGCAUAGUUCUGAGUGGAGUGCUUGUUUAAUUGGCAGUUGGGGUUGGGUUAUAACUGUUAUGUGAUUGUGGGGAAUGAUGGUACCUGCAGUGGUCUCUGGGCAGUUUGGGAUUGCAAUUGUCGAUGGAAAUGCAGCCUAGAAUGCUAUUUAUGAUCCCUGGAGUAAUUCUACUUUGGGGUAUAUUUCAUGUUAUUGUUGUCAUCAUUCAAUUAACUUAUUGUGUCGCAAUGGAAAUUACUGGUCAAGUUAUUUAUGACCCCUGAAUUAGUGAUGUUGUGCUAAUGAGUUAUACUCUGUCUAUAGUCUUUCUUUUUCUUGAAUUAUUUUGGGUCAUUACCAUGUUCUUUGAUAUAGCUUUUUUGCUGCUUCUGAAAGGUGGUUCAGUUUUUAUUUGCCUAAUGAUGGAAAACUCAUUUAUGGAGCGGUUAUGUGGAUUGUUAUUAGGAGCCUUUUCUAUCAUUUUCCUGUACUAGUUGCUGUCACCAUCAACACCACCAUCCUCUCUCUCUCUCUCUCUCUCUCUCUCUCUCUCCCUCUCCCUCUCCCUCUCCCUCCCUCUCCCUCUCCUCUCUCCCUCUUUCCCUCUUUCCCUCUCUCCCUCUCUCCCUCUCCCUCUCUUGCUUGUAUGGUUGAAGAUGUGAAGAGGUUCAUAGUGAUAAUCCACAGUUAACUGGCAAUGACCAGAUAUAGCUAUGAGAUCUGAAGGCUCUUCAGUUUUUUGCCUUUUUUAUUCUUAAGAUAUGCUUGUUGAAUUUUAAAUUAUUUUUGUUCCUUUAGUUAUUUCAAUAGACAUUUCCUUUUCUGGUCAUUGCAGUAUUCUAGACAUUAUCUUUGGUUUAACUGAAUAGCACUUUGGGCAUUGCAGUAUUGUGAUUACCAUAAAUGCACUGUUACUUUUGUAUUGAUUUCAAAUUUUCUGUUAAUAGAAAACCAAAGAGCACUUUCGGAAUUGCAGUAUUUUUGUAUAUAAGGCCAGCUCCCUCUGGAGUCAAACCGCUUGUAGAUUGUUUCAUAUAAAGGUAAUAAACCAUUGUCUGGAAACUAUUGUUGUAGAUUGUUUUAGUUGAAAGAUGGUUAUAGAUUUUUUAUUAACUUUAUCUUCUGGUUCAAAUAUGAUGCUUAUUGAUGGAAAAUUCAAAACGUUAAGAGUGGUAGGCAUGGUAUUGUAGAUUCUUUUGUAUGCUUAUAGAUUUCUUUCUUAGAUUCCUCUUUUAUCCAAGAAAGCAGUUAUUGUAGAUUCUUUUGUAUGCUUAUAGAUUUAGUACGCACAAAUCUGUGUAAUGUUUAUUGUGUUCUAAGUUUACAAAGCCACAUGCUAAAUUACUCUUCUUUUUCUUUCUUUUUUUAAUUCUUGCUUGUACGAUUGAAGAUCUGUUGAGGUUUAUAAUCGAGCUUGUGACCGUGAUGACUAGAUACAUAUUUUCAAGGUGUUUCUGCAGAGACACUCAUUAACAUGGUAUUUGAAUUUAUUGCUAUAGUUGUGUUGUAUUGAUUUAUACAUUCUCAAUAGUUACAUAUUUUACCCAUUUAGUCGUACAGUCCAUUCCUCUCAAAGGUGCCCUUGCAAUGUUAAUUCAACAAAUUUUAUGAGGCCUCGAUCAACUGAAUAUAGUUAUGGUGUCUGUAAUAUGGUUAUCUUUAAGUCUAAGUGUAUAUGUGGCUUUGUUUUUUUUUCGCUUGGUUGGUGCAACAAAUGCAAAACUAUGAAGCAGUGGUUUUUGCAUAUAUGCUGCAGUAUAGGCUUACACCUUUGCCCAAUGAUGCAGACUCCUGUUCUGGGUAUGCUUUUGAUUUUCAUUAUGAGCAUCUCCACCUCCUAUAUUUCUAUCGUCAAUAGUAGCCAUCUGCUCUUUAUGGUGGUGGUGGUGGUGGUGGUGGUGGUGUUGUCGUUGUUGUUGUUGUUGCUGCUGCUGCUGCUGCUGUCUUAUAAGAUGUGGAGAGAUUGUAAAUGAAAAUCAAAGCUCAACAUCCUUAACUAUAAAUUCAGGAUAUGAUAAGGACUGAGGGCUAUCUUUUGUUUACUUUUACUACCCAAGUGGUGUUGUGUAAAUGAUUGUUUUUACCUACCAUGGGAUAGAGGUUUAGGGCCGAAGGGGUAAAGGAAGACCUAGGAAAAUUUUGGAAGAGACUCUAAGAAAAGACUGUACUUGGAUUUAACGGAGGACAUGACACAGAACUGAGCGCAAUGGUAUUCUAGGAUUCAUAUAGCCGACCCCAUCUAGUGGGACAAGACUCUGUUGUUGUAUUAUAUUGCUAAUGUAUUUUUCUCCAUGUGCACCACACAUUUUCAUGAUUCUUGAUACCUUUAUAUGAGUAAAGCUGUUUUCUGGAAUUGGUGCCGUUAUGAGGGAGGAAUUCGUCAAGAACAUGUUAGUUUUAAAGACUGAUGUCCUUUACAAGAUGCUAUACUUGUCUUGAUCAUACAUGGGUGGCUUUUUAAUGAUGCUUUUAGUCACUCUUUGUUAAUAAGCCCAAUGAUGAAAUCUCAUUUUGUGAAGCAGUGCUUCACUUUAAGCCGCCAUUUACUGUGCCACGCUGAUCAUCGCCAUUUGCCGGCUCCUUCUUCUUCUUCUUCUUCUUCUAUUGUUGUUAUUAUUAUUAUUAUUAUUAUUUCUGGUGAUGAUCCGGUGGUGUUCGUAAAUGGUGACUGGCUUUCAGUGAUUACUGUUUAUGAAGUUUUAGUAGUGGUCUGAGGGCUCAAAAUAUCAUUAGGUUUUAUUAUUCAAUGAAAGGCAAAUGAAUCUCCAGUAUAAUUUAAAUGUGUGGUAAUCUGUUUAUUAAUGAUCUGUUGAUGUAAAUAUUAAUAAUUUAGUUUGAAUACAGAUAGGGACAGAGUUUACUCCAAACUAUUUGCUAAUUCUUGCCUUCCUCUUCCGCAUGCAUUACUAAUCUUCUUUUCUGGGUUCAAGUUUCCUUUUGGCCCUUGAAUUGUAUGUUUUGGAUUUCAGGUUAUUUCGGUUCGAUUUCUUUUAAUAGAAUGUGUGAUUACGGGGCUUGAGAGUUUUCUUUUCUGUUGCGGUUGUGGCUGCAUCGUAUGAGUGAUUACCUCUUUCGUUGGGUGGAGACGGCGACUCUGUUUUCAACCUCUGUUUGGUUUUCACAUUGCAAUGUAAGUGUAUCGUACUGUGAUGGAAUCUCAUAUAUGGUCGGCUUUUCAAUAAGCCCUAUGAUGGAAUCUCAUUUUGUGAAGCAGUGUUUCACUUUAAGCCGCCGUUUAUUGCGCCGGACUGAUCAUCGACAUUUAACUGCGGCUGCUGCUGCUGUUGCUCCUCCUCCUCCUCCUCCUCCUCCUCUUUAUUAUAAAUAAUAUUUCUGGUGAUGAUCUGAUGGUGUCCGUAAAUGUUGCCUGGCCUUUAGUGAUCACUGUUUAUGAAAAUUUUGUUGUUGAUGAGGUCUGAGGGCUCAAAACUUAAUUCGUCUUGGUGUCUGGUGUCUCUUGAUAUGUAUUGGUGUUUUGCAUUGCAAAUUUGCAAUCCAAGUGUAAUUUGAUGCAUCCCGCAUGCUGCUUGAUGGUUUAUGAUCUUUGGUUGUAAUUGUUGUAGUGAAAUGAAAUGAAAUGAAAGCGUGUCCAUAUCAUGCCUUUUGGUUUGAUUUUUCUUUUCCUUUUUGUGCAAAGAACAGCUACUUGUCUUGUUUAUGCCAUUGAUAUUGGGAGAGGAGAGAUUCAAACACGACCUCGAAUGUAGGGUAAACGCUUUUUAGUUUUUUAUUAAGUGUAAUAUUCAUACGAGUGAAAUGUUAAAACUAUUAAAUUGUGUCGUAAUAUUGUGUUUUCUACCUUAAAAGAAAGGGGAAGUUUGAACUAAAUCAAGUGGGUAACCGUUAUAUGAACUGUUUCUAACUUUGUGGUUUAGAAUUAGGGAACUUUAAUUCAAAGUUUCUGAUACUGUUUAUUUUAACGAAAAAUCAUAUUUUUACACUAAAAAGUUAAUAUUGUAUUAUUUACUUUACCUUUUAUUUGUUCUUAUCUUUAAAAUUCAAAGUUUUCAAAUUAUUUUAUUAGUUUUCCUUUAAAAUUAGUGAACUUUAACGAAAAGCACCCGGUAUUGUUCAUUUUAAUGAAAAACCACAUUUUUUCACUAAAAAGUUAAUUCAGGUACUAUUCACUUUACCCUUUAUUUUGUCCUUAUCAUUAAAACUCAAAGUUUUCAAGUUCUUUUCAUUAGUUUUCUUUUAAAAUUAAGAUGGUUAUAAGACUUUUAAUUUUUCUUCCUAUUCCUGCUUUUUCGAUUUCCAAUAGUCGUCCGCAUGUGCGUUAGCGACAGUCAGCUCUUCAUGGUUGGGAGUUCAUGCAGCUAUACAACUGAUAGUCACCCAGGCGCAUGGACAACUACCUUAGGCUGUUCUGAUAUUCUUUUUUCUAUCUUUGAAGUGGAAGUAGGGCAAUGUCAAAGCCGGAAAAGGAUCCUCGUCGGAUUCUUUUCUUGGGGAUCCUAUGAUCGUGGUUGUUUAUCGUAUAUCGUACGGUCAUAAAUCAUUUGAAAUUUAAAAUUAUAUAUAAAUAAUAUCUAACGAAAAUUGACUGCACGAUGUACGAUGAACGUCACAAUCACGGGAUCUUCGAAAUUCCCGGCAUCCGUUUCCGGUGAAAGCCCCCUUACAACUUGGAUCUAGGUAAGAAUGUGUCAAAAGUCAAGAUACCCGGCAUGGUUGACGGAUAGGGGUGAAUCGGCUAUGGCUGCUAUCUGGUUGGGGUUAAGAGAGUGUGCUUGUGUAUUCAGGGCAUGGCUGGCUUUGGGCUUAAGUUAAUAGCAGACUUCAAAUAAGAAAGAGGCCUCUGUCAGGGAGGGGGCAGUUCUCGUGAGAGCAAUUUGUAUGAUACGGAUACAUUACUAUAGUGGUGUCAAAUGCCAACUUGUGCUAUUAGCAUAGCACAUUAACGUGGUGGUGUCUCCAUGUCGUACUUGUCCAUUUCCUAAGGCUCAUUCUCAAUGAAACAGUUACCUUUUACCGUUCCAAAUUAUUAUACUAUGUUACUAUCGACGUUGGGUUCUAAAUUUAUUUUGUUUCCAGAUAAAAUCAGCCUUCUACAUCACUUAGUCCACAAGGAUUUGCAAAGAUUUACAGAGUGGAUAUCAAUCUAGUAGUAUUUUUCUUCUUCAUGCUAUGUAGAGACUUCAAGUUCAGAACGUCUCAUUCACUUAUUUUAAAUUGUCAAUGAUAUUUAUUCUUGACUGUUUAUGUAAAAAUUACUUUUGCUCCUAAACGGGUUUUAAUAAAAUGCUUUAUAAGAAACCUGGCCAAAUUUCUAUUGAAAAUAUGAGUGCUUGAAAAAAGAAGCGUCGACAAAGUGCUUCCCCAAAAACACUAAACUAUUUUUGUCAUUUUGGAAGCAAUCAUGCAACGUAGCCUUAAAUUAUUGAAUCCAAAUGAAUGAUACGUGAAUGACAUCAUCAAGAAUAUAAAUAAUUAAAAGGCAUCAUCAAAUAUUUUAAAAUAAAAAAAAACAAUUUGAAAGAAGAACACUAGCGAGAGUGGUACAAACGUCCGAAAGAGGAUCCUCGCCAGAUCCUCUUUGUGAUGAUUCGGAGAUCUUCCAAUCACAUCUGUUUUUUUGUAUAUCGUGCGAUCAAUUUUCAUUAUGUAUAGUUUAUAUUCAAUUUUAAAUGAAAAAAUUUACAAUGAUUUCUGAUCGCACGAUAUACGAUGAACGAAUGUGAUUGAAAAAUUUUCAGGAUCCUCACAAAGAGGAUUUCUCCACACGUCCCACUCCAUCCAUCAAAUCAUUUAACAAAUUGACCAAUUCCAAAGAGAAUCAAAAGCUCAUGUUCCUCUCGAACCUCUCUUCAACUGGAAAACUACAUUUACUUGUGGUCCAAGAAACAACCAACCCAUAUAUAAUAUAUGAAUGAAAAUGAAAGCUACAAUUUGUUUAUCUUUGUUACCUUUUUCCCCUUCUUUAACAUGUGCUUAAUUGUUUGAAGUGAUCAAACUUAAUUAUAAUAUUUGAUUGAGUGAAUGAUGGGUUUCUUUCUUUGUUUAGAAAUAGACACAAACAGAAGCUAACUGCGUUUCACAUUUUACAUUUUUGAUGUGAUUUUUCUAAAUAUUGAAACUGUAUUAAUUUAUUUCUACAGUUUAAUAAUAAUAUUUGAUUUUUUAUUAAAUUAAUGAUAUAAUAAGCACGCUACUGAUUGAAUUCAUAUUUAAAUCACAUUUGUAACACACUGAUAAAGAAAUCAUCAAUAUAAUGAAAUAAUACACACUUAUUCAGAUAUAAAGUAUAAAUGAAUAUAAUAUCAAAUAUAAUGCAAGAAAAUUGAAACUUAAACGCCUCACGUUUAAAAAGUAAAAAUUGUAAUUAGCCUAAAAAGAAAAAAAAAAUAGUAAAUAUUGAUUUCUUGAUAGGAAAAGGAUCCACGUUGGAUCAUUUUUUUAGGAAUCCCGUGAUCGUAAUUGUUCAUCGUAUAUCGUGCGAUCAUAAAUUAUUUUAAAAUUUAUAAUUUAUAAUUAAAUAUAAAUAGUAUUUAAUAAAAACUAAUUGCACGAUAUACGAUGAACAGUCAUGAUGAUAAAAUUUCUAAGAUCGUUAAGAAAAGGAUUCGGUGAGGAUCCUUUUUCUUCUUGAUACAUUAGGGCACAGACAUAUCCCAGAUUUGUUGUAAAAAUGUGAGGUGUGUAAAGAGCCAAAGCAUGCAUAUAUGUAUAUUAUAUUCUGGACUGGGGGGACAACAUGGUGUUUCGCAAUUUAAUGAGACGGACCGGUAACUUGUGGCUGCGUAUGAUCAUAGGUCCACCACACCACGUACACACCUAUAGAAGGUUUUCAAGGGAAUAGAUCUCUAAUUCUUUAUUUAAAAUAAAAAUUAGUUAUGUGAUCCAUAUUACUUUAAACUUCAAUAAUCUAAGUUCAUUUUUUAAGUUGGAUCUCAUAAAUCAUUCUUACAAAAUAUUAGUCAAAUAAUUUUUUUUAAGAUAUAUAAUUGAGUUCAAAGAAAUUGACGAAUACAUUGUUUUAUGAGAAACAAGGAAUUUCAUAAUGAUAAUUAAAUAGUUAAAUGAUUUCGAAUUAAAUUGAAUUUUUGCAAGAAUAAUCUAUGAAUCAAGACUUACAAAAUAGACGGUUUGGAUUGUUGAAGUUCGAUGUGAAAUAUGCCUUAUUAUUAAUACCCAUUUUUACCUAAAAAUGGAAAUUCCUUUGAAUAAAGGGGCUGCAUACAUAUAUUAUGAGGAAUUACAUCAAUAACCACAACUCGAUGAAAAUGCAAUAGAAUUUCGAGUGAAGUUUGCUUUUUUGUCACAGCCCUUCCCGAAAUAUUGGAAUAUUCAUUCUCGAGGACGUGAAUUGAUGGUUUUUCCUUUGGACAGGUUGAGUUAUUUGGUGUUGUGGUGUGUAUGUGAUGGGAACUAAGUGAUUAUAAUUGAACUGAUCCCUAAGUUUUGGACCUAAGUGAACUAAAAAGGGAUUUGGUUUUGUUUUGGUUGAUUGGUGACUUUUGGACCACACACAUUACACCCCACUUUCUCUCUCUCUCUCUCUCUCACCCUCCCGUACUCUCUCUCAGAUUCACACACACUCUCUCUUGUACGAACGAGACCUAAAACCCUUGUAAACGUGAUGGAUCGAGGUGGAGAAGGGAACCAUUGUGUUCGUGAGGACCAUACGAGUUCAAAGGUACCAUUUUUAGGUAAGGAAACCUUCGAUUUCACGUGGAAACCCUAUCUCCGAUUUGAACACUGUUCAUGCAAACGUUAAAUCUUGUGUUUUUGGAAAUUUCAAGCUCACAGAGAGCUUAAGAAGAUCCUUAUGAGGCUCGGAGUACUUUGUUGGAGGUUUUUGGACGUCGGGAUAUCGAGAUAUGCAAGUUUAAAGUUUUGGCCAGAAGUUCGGGGAUUCUUAGGCGAGAUCCAAUGGUUUUGGGAGCUUGAAAUUGGUAUGAUUUUAUUCUAAAUGUUGUAAGCUUCGUUUGGGUACAAAUUUCAUUAAAUUUGGUUGAGAAACGACGAAGAUAUAAGGAUUUGAAAAAUUCCCAGUUUUCCGGUGACAGUGACGGUCGCUGGAGUCUGAGGUUGAAGACGACGGAAUAUUCCGUCAAUUCUGACGGAAUAUUCUAACACCCUCAGUUAAGUUUAACGGAAUCUGUUAGGAUUUAACGGAAUAUUCCCUAAUUGUCGUUACAGUUUCCGUCAGAGUACCCUGCGCGUGGCCGCGCGUCUUGCCGUGCACUCGUUGGUGCGUGGCGGCGCGUGGGUGGAUGAAAAAUUAUUUUAAAAAUAUGGGGACGAUCCUGAGAUUGUGUAAGUCAUUUUGGUAUAUUCAUAUACCCAAUUUGAGAUAUGUAUGAAAAGUUAUUACAUAGUUUGGUAUAUGUGCAUUAAAGUGACGUUUAUAUAAUUGCUUCUCCUAUAGGCGAGACCUAUCUGAAGGACGAGCGUAGCCAGGCUAGGCAUGGGGGUUACGACCCGGCUUCAUUUCAGUGAGUGGGCAGUUAUUUUCAGUAUAUAUAUAUACACACACCUGACGUUUUUCCCAGAAAAAGUAUUUAAAGGAAAUGUGAUUUAAAUGCCAUGCUAUGCCAAUGCCUAUAUUUUAUUUUAGUAUAUGCAUUAUCAUAAUUAUGCAUAUUGUCGCAUGGUGCUGUGAAGGCCCAGGUAAGCUCAGGUGAGUUAUGUUGAUUAUAUGAAUUAUCAAUAAUGUGAUAUGUGAUUGAAUAAUGUUGAGCUCAUAAAACUGCAUCUAGGGUGAUUGUGUUUUAGCCAGAGAUAUGAUACAUGCCUGUUUAUUAUGUCACCUCCCGCACCAUAUGCUCAUUUUGGAUCCAAUUUAGGUGCACAGUCUUGUCGUACAGACCUUAUUUAUGGUUCCGACUCAUAGGUGACUAGCGAUUAAUCGCUCGGCUAUUAUGUGAGAGUAGUAUUGAGCAUAAUUAUAUUACACCCAUUAUCGUCGUACAAACCUUUGGAUUUGGUUCCGACUCUUGUGCAGUAUAUUGCCGUAUAGAUCAUUGUAGUGACUCCGGCUAGAUUGACUUUUGAGCUAUGAAUUCAGCCGUUCAGACUACCACAGGGGUUUCGGCUAACAUAUCAUAUUUCUAUGAAAUCAUUCUUACCUGGAUCGUUACUUUGUUAUAUUUUGGCAUGGCAUACAUAUGAAUAUGAUUAUGUGAAGCAUGAUUGAAAUGAUAUAAUCACACACAUAUAUUUAUGUAUAUUCUUAUAUAUUAAUUUUGGGAAAAAUUAUACUUGUUUUACGGCGAUGGGUUAGUAUAUUCAAAGGAAAAUAAGGUUUUCAUGUAAAUGUGUUUUACUGACCCACUCAACUUUGUUUUUCGCCCCUUCAGGUUUUAGUUAGCAGAGUUUGGUGGCCACGAGGAAUUCAACGGUGUUCUGACAGAUCCCGAAAAAGUAGGAUUCACCAUCUGGUGUUGUAUCUUAGUAAUUGUCCGACUUGACUGCAACUAGACUUUCUUAUUGCUUUGAAAGUGUAUUUAUACACUUAAACUCUCACUAAUAUCCUUUCUUAAUUGGGAUUGUAAUCGCUUGGUUUUAAAUUGUUAGUAUUUCUCUUACUCUUUAUCACUUCCGCUUUGCGCUUAUGGCUGCGUCACUCUCACGUGACGGCCAGCACGUCUCAACUCCGGUUGGGGUGUGUCAUUUUUGAUAUUGAGUUUGAGGGUGAUAGUGACCAAUACUUGAUGGAAGCCAUGUUUUCAUGACCUUCUAUUAAGGUUAGAGAUAAAGUAAGUACUAGUUAAUUUAACAAAAAUUUAGUUGAGGCUUAACAAAUCAGACAAUUUCAAUAGGUUGGGUGUUUGUUUGGAAUGUUUAAAAAGAUUGAGACCAAUUUAGAAUGAAACUAAAAAGUUGAGGAUUUAUCCUUUAUAUUAUCAUGAAAGCUGAAAUUGUUAUUGUUGAUCAAUGUAUAGCAAUCAUAUAAAAUGUAAACUAAUGUACAAACUACAGUGCUUGGUUUGGGACUAUUUUUUAAUUUAUUUAUUUUAUCAAUUGUAAAAUGGGAUUUUAACUUGGGACUUCUUUUAAUACUAGUUUUGCCACUUAAUAUUACAAUCUAAUAAUAUUCAUCUUCAUUUGUAAGUAAUAAGUUUUUGGUUCAAUUAUCACCAAAAGCGAAUUUGAACCAUAUUAUUGCUAUUCCAUUAUGAGGCUUAGUCCACUCUUCCACUCCCUUAGUGUAGUAAAUAUUGUUCGCUAAAAAUAAAAAAAUACUAGCUCUUAAGUCUUGUUUAAGUUAUAUAUCAUAAUAAAAGUGAUUGAAAAUGUUCAUUUCAAGUAUCUCAUCAAUUUUUAUUAUAACACUUAAUGUACCGAAUUAUGUUUUCAGUACAUUGAAAAAUCUUUCCAAAACUAGAACCAAAAGCACCAAUAAAGUAAACAUAUAUACUUAACUUUUAAAGGUUUCUUUUGUUUUUGUUUUUUUAUAAUAUUUAUAUCCAAACGUGGUCUUUUUCCUCUUAAAUAUGUUUUGAAUCCUUGUUCUUGAAGUUUGGAAGCUGUUAGAAGUGGGCAAUUAGCAAUUUAGUAUUAGUUAAUUUGGAAUAUGCAUGGCUGGCUUUUUCUUGGGGAUGAGUAAAAUGGGCAUGUCUUUUAUGAUGAACUCCAUCCACGGCGUUUCUAAUUGUAUCAUGUGAAGAAUAAAAGUGAAAUAUUCCAAGAACCAGUUGGGAUGCUUUUAACUUUUCUUUCUUUAAUUUAAAAGAAUUUUGAGAUUCGAAAUUAAACUUUUUUCAGAAAUAAAUGGUACAAUAUUAUUCCACGUUUCAGUUCGAGCAGAUACAAAUGAAAGGUUUGGAGUUACUUGGACAUGAAGCAUCCACUUCUCUCGAAAAAGUAGACAAACAUACUAUUAAGCUCUUGUCCUUUUUAUCUUUUUUCUGAAACAAAGUGAUAUAUUUCCAACACCAACGUGGGGAUAAAAAGGACCAAGUCAUCGAGAAAAAAUAAUUGACAUGACUGCGAAUAUGGCUAAAGCAAGGGUUAGGAAAUGCCUAUCAAACAUGACGGUUUGGUUAGGUUUGGUGCGGUUUUCUUACACUUUAGUGAAGAAAACCAAACUAAAGCAGUUAAAUUAGUUUCAAAUCCAUUCAUGAGGAGAAACUUUAGAAAACCUAGAUGAAUGAUACCAUAUAAAAAUAUGACUCCUUAUAUUGAUUUGUGCAAGCUAUAUUUAGGUAAGAAUCCUCACUUACUAUAAUAAGGAAUUACAUUCCUAUAAUUCAUAGGAUACUCACAAAGAUAUUCCAAAUUAACUCAAUGAUUCAAUGAAAUAUCUUGGAUCUAUGUUAAAUUAGUGGAUAAAUGUAUCACUCAAAUGAAUUUAGUUUUAUGAUGUCAAUUAGGAUAGUCCUUGAAACAAUAAGGAAUUACAUUCCUAUAAUUCAUAAGAUACUCACAGAGAUGAUUCCGAAUUAACUAAGUAUACUCUAAGAGCAAGUCCACCGGGACUUGCUUUGCCCAGCCCCCAGCACAAAAAACAGCCUGGCCCUCAGUGAAAUUGCUCUAGCCCACAAAGUUGCCUGGCACCCAGCCCAUGCCAGGCAACAGCCCAGCCCAAUUUUGACAGACCAAGAAGUUGGCCUAUUUGGCUGGCGCGUGCAUGACAAGUGCGCCUGGGCGCGAGUAGCCGACAGGCUGCAGAGGGGCUGUCAGCCCACUUGUGUUCCGGAUCCCAUCGGCGACGUGGCAUGCUCAUAGCCGUUGGAUUUCCAACGGCUAGUUUUUCUAGACCGUUGGAUUUCCAACGGUAACAAAAAUUUAAAUUUUACUUUUAAAAUAGACCGUCCGAUCACAGAUCAACGGUCUACGUUAAUUAACUAAAUUAAAAUUUAUUAAAAAAUACAGAAAAAAUAUUAAAAAAUACAGAAAAUUUUAAAAAAUUUAUUUAUUUUUUCUAUAAAUACCUAACUCUCAUCUUCCACCUUACACCACAUUUCAAUAUUUUCUACACUUUCUACCAAAGCUUUCAUAUACUUUUUGUGUGAAAAAAAAAAUACCAAAAAGCUUGUGGUUGAAGAAUAAAGUGUAUUUGAUGAGUUUAUGUAAUUUCAUUUUAGUGUGUUUUUUUUAUAGUUUAUUUGAUGAGUAUGUAAUUUUAUUUUAGUGUGUAUUUUUUUUUAAGUUUAUUUGAAAUUUUAUCUGAAAUUGGUUAAAAAUCUUAUCCAAAAUAAACUUAAAAAAAAAAACACACCAAAUAAAUGCACUGGGUGCCAGCGCAUUUUUUUAGGGGUGGAGAUGCCUUGGCCUAUUACUGUUCACUCCAGCCUAUUACUGUUCAUUUGAGUGGAUAAAUGCGCUGGGUGCUGGCGCAAAGUCCUUAGGGGUGGAAUUGCUCUAAUAAUUACCUAUUAUUUAUUUGACAAAAGGUAUGUAGAAUUUCAAGUGGUAAUUGCACAAAACUUGAAAAGUUCAGUUACCAUAUUUAAUUAGUUUUGUAUUUUAUUUUUUAUUGGCACUUUCAAUGCUUAUUAGCAAAUUGAUGUUAUUAUUAGUUAAAGUGUCUUUUGAAGAUCUGGUUAAAUCUCACUUUGUCUUCUAAAAAUUAAAGCGACCUACAUUAUUCUUUCACUGAUAUUUUGUGUCCUACUUUGCACUCUACAGGUAAAUCUGUUAAAAAUCCUUGUUAAAAUAUUGGCGUGACACAAACGGAAUUCAUUAUUCGUUGAAUAUUUGUAAGGUGGGUGCCAUGCAUGCAUGAAAAAGUAAUAAUAAAAACAUUUUUCAAAAAGAAGUUGUUGAAUACUUCACCAUAUUGAUGUGCACGUUAUUUUGUUGUUAUGGCAAACAAGAUUGAAUUAGAAUUAUAGAGGGUUUGACUUCAACUGUCAUUGUCCAAACACAAAGGAAGAAAAUAAUAGAAAAUUAGUAGGAAGAGAAAAAUAAAUUGAAAUAUCUCAAGUGCCAUGCUAGCUUAUCUGUUUCCAAUCUCCAAUACGUAAUAAAAAACAAAAACAACUGUUAUUAACAUUUUAAAAUUUUAUAUUUUGUACUUUUUCGAGUGCAUUAUUUACUCUAAAUAUAGAAAAUUUGGAGUGUAAAUUAAAAUUUUUAGAGUGCUAAUAACAAUUUUCAAAACAAAAAUGGGAUAUUUGUCUGUAAGAGCUCGUUUGUAAGUGUUUUAGUAAAAAUAUUUUUAAAUCAAUUCAUAGUAAAAAUUCAAGUGGAUCAUAGUACAACACUUUAAGUGCUUCUUGCAAGAAGCACAUAUAUGUUGCUUCUUCCAAAAAACACUUAAAGUGCUUUUGAAAUCAGAAAAUCAAUUUCAUAAAAAGUGAUUUCAGUUAAUUUAAAGGGUAAUAAUAGGGAGACCAAAAUUUUAAACUAAAUUGCAAAUAAAAUGAUGUGUCAUCAACAGCAAAUAAGCACAUUAAUCAAUAUUUAAAUAAUAAUCUGAUCAUUAAUCAACACACUAUUUGAUUUGUAAAUUUAAUUUUAAUAAUUUGAUCUUUCCAACAUUAUCCUAAUUCAAAAAUACUUCUACACGAGCUUUAAAUGUUUGUGUACUAAUCGACGAGUUUCUUAUCAAUAAUACAACUAUUAUACAAAACUAAGUAAAUAGAUUUUCUCUGUCUCUCAUCAAUAAUUUUCCCAUCACUUUGGAAAAUUACGUUCUUAAUCAUCGAGGUGAUCCUGUGAUCACCUCGUCCUCAGCGGAUGGUGAGCAACAACCCACACGUGAACUGGUUUUCUUAAUCAAGAUGCCUAAAAGUGAGGGAUUCUCUUAUAAAAAUUCUGGUAAAUUGCUGUCCUUAUCUUCAGAUAACAAUGAAGAGAAAUGAAUGGGUUCGAAUUAUGAAAGUUCAUACAAUGAAAUGAUGUUGUGACAUCAUAUAAUGAGAAAUAAUUCCUUACAUGCAAGAAACCAAAUAAUGUUCUUAACAAAAAGCAUGCUCAAAUUUCAAACUCUCUUUUCUUCCUUGUACCACAUUGAAGUUGGGGCAAGGCCCUUCAGAGGCUCAGUCUUUGUUAUUAUUAUCCUUAUGUACACAUUUUCUCAUGUUAUCCAUCUAAAAUUUUUUUGCUCGAAUGAGAUUAUCGAUGAACUGUAUUUUUGUUUGAAAUUAGCUGAUGUAAUUUAUCAUUUACUUAGCUCGCAUGAGGUAUUAAUAGAGAGUGUGUGAGAGGUACAAAGUUGUGUAUGAAUACUUGUACCCUAAUUUUAUUGGAACACUCUUUUUUGGCUUAUUUUUAGCUAAGCUCUCUGAAACUCCAUUUUAUUUCUACUUUGCUAUCUGUAACUCAAAAGUUAUUACUUUACUUCUUGAAAUUCAAAAUUCAUUUCACUUUGACUUGUGAACUCCAUCUUCUCGUUGAAACUUAUAGGUCGUCUUCUGAAACAUAUGUGAGACCCAACACACAAUAAGACUAUGCCACAUAUGCAAUAAAUUUGAUUAUAAAUCUCCAUCGUUAACAUUCAACAAUAAGAGAAUAUUAAGUUUAAAAGAAGUUGAAGAGAUGAAAAAAAAAAUUAAAAAAAAAUAGAUUAGCCUGGUGCACUGAAAAUCAAUACCACAUAAGAAAUUAACAGAUCUAGGGCAACGUGGAGCAAAUUUUACGACUUUCAAGCUUUAAAGGGCAAAAUGAAAUAAAAAUCGAGUUCCAGAAGGCAAAGUGAAGCGACCUAUGUGUUUCAGAAAGUAAAGUGGAAAUUUUUGCGUUACAUGAAAGUGCCGCCUAAGUCUUUUUACAGCGACCCACUCUUUAAGUUCACUUUCCUCCUAUCCUCAAACAAACAAGUAGUAGGAGUUACUAUCUCAAAGAAACGAACAUAUGUGUAUCUUAAACUCGUGCUUUUCGUAUAAAAGAAGAAACCCAAGUCUAAAUUCGUGUUUUAUUUUGGUUGAAAAACUUAAAACUAAAGUUGGAAAGUUAAAAGAAAAUAGAAUCGAGGGCAGUGAGCCACAUGUAGAAUGGAGUUGACGUUUACUUCUACCAACCAGGGGCAGCUCCGUCAAUUUUGCUAAAUUAAAAUGACAGACGUCAUCCCGUCGUCUUCUCCGUUGGGGCCCACUCAUCCCUCGGCCCCGCCCUCGCUCACCCUCAACUUUCUAGAAGGACCAAGUCAGCAGGUUAAAUCCAUCUACCUCUCCAAUUUACGCGCCAACAAAGACCCAGCUGUACCGUCCACCUGUACACCCCUUCCGCUGAACGAGUCCGUCCUCGUCCCCCAAGUGGCACCGCGCCCCCACCCUCGGCGAACUGUAACAAACCCCCCUCUAACCCCAAAACCAAUGGCCCAGAUGCAACUUGUUCUCUCAGAUAUCCGCAAUUAAAUCUUAAAUAAAUUAAAAUGUUAAUAAAAUAUGUUUAAAAAGCGUUUGGAGCUCCCAAAUUAAUCCAUCGUGUCCGCUCCGUGUAAGCUUCGCUUUCCCCGGAGCAAACAAGAAAAGUUAAUUAGUACAAAGUAAAGUAAUUAAGAGAGUGAUUAAGUUUUUCUAAUUAUGGUAAAACUCUAAUCUCACCCCCUUCCCCUCCAUAAAACGCAGACCCUCUCUCUCCCUUCUGUCCCUCUUACUCUCUCACCUCUCUCUCUCCUCCCAACACACUCCUUCUCUCUCUAGUCGUUUAUAAUCUUAUCAAAUGGUUUGAAUUUGGAUUGGAUUGUGUGAGAAAUGCCAGCGACGGAAUACUCGUCAGCUGGUUCCAACCAAAUCGGACGGUCAAUCUUCGGCCUCAGACGCGAUCAGUUGAAUUCAAUGGAAACCCACGGCCUUUCAGGUGGUGGUGGCGGUGGUAGUGGUGGAUUGAACCUCGAUUCCUUCCAAACCCACGUCGCCGAUUGCUUCCUCCAACUCUCCUCCUCCCACGACCUCCUCUCCCUCCCAUGGCUCCGAGACCUCCUCGACUCCUUCCUCCGCAUACACCAGGAGUUCAAAACCCUCCUCAUCCUCUCCACCAAAACCCACAUCUCCAAACCCACCGUUGACCGCUACAUCUCCGACUACUUCGAGCGCAGCGUCAAAGCCCUAGACGUCUGCAACGCCAUCCGCGACGGAAUCGAGGAGAUGCGCCAGUGGCUCAAGCUGCUCGACAUCGUCCUCGUCGCGCUUGACCGCGACAGGACACUCGGCGAGGGCCAAUUUCGCCGCGCGAAGAAGGCUCUCGUCGACCUGGCCAUCGCAAUGCUCGACGACAAGGACUCCUCCAACACCACCAUAGCCCACCGGAACCGCUCCUUCGGCCGAAACAACAACACAAAGGAUCAUCACCAGCAGCAGCACCGGUCGCUCGGCCACUUCCGAUCUCUGUCCUGGAGCGUCUCGCGGUCGUGGUCGGCCGCGAGGCAGCUGCAGGCAAUCGGGAACAAUCUAUACGCCCCUAGGCCCAAUGAAAUUGUGGCCUCCAGCGGGCUCGCGCCGGCGGUUUUCACAAUCAAUUCGGUUUUGCUGUUCGUAAUGUGGGCCCUGGUGGCGGCGAUCCCCUGCCAGGACAGGGGACUGCAGGUGCAUUUCAACGUGCCGAGAAGCUUCGUGUGGGCGGGGUCAAUGCUGUCUCUGCACGAUCGGAUUAUGGACGAGUCGAAGCGGCGGGACCGGAGAAAUGCCUGCGCAUUGUUGAAGGAGAUUCAUCAGAUCGAAAGGUGCUCGCGGGUGAUCGGCGAUCUGGCAGACUCGGCGCACUUCCCGCUUGCGGAGGCGAAGGAGAAGGAGGUGAGGGAGAGAGUGCAGCAACUGUCGAGUCUCUGCGAGGGGAUAAAGGAGGGGUUGGAUCCUCUGGAGCGGCAGGUGAGGGAGGUGUUCCAUGCCAUUGUAAAAAGCCGAACGGAGGGGAUGGACUCGUACUGAAGAACUAAUAACCCCGAAUGAUCAUCGAAAUCAAUUGCCAAUUGAAGAAGAAGAAGACGAUGAGAUCAAUUUUGGCGCCAAUAAAAAUUGGGUAAGGAGGAGAUAUGACUUUUUUUCUUUCUUUGUAUUUAAUCAUCACUGAAUGGAUCAGCAGAUCACCAUAUAUAUUGUGUAUAGAAAUUAGGGUUUAUGCAAAUGGACCAACUUCUCCCUUUAAUUUGUGUUGUUGCUGAUUUAAUUUACCUUUGUAUAAUGGAAUUUCUGAGCAUGCUUCUGGCUGCUGCUCUUUCUCAUUUUUGUUCAGUUGUUACAUAAUCUUUCUUCUGUUCUCUGCUACUUACCGAUUACGAGAUACCAUUUGAGGAAUUCGAAUUUGUUUGUGGGUCGGAGAGAGAGAGAUUUGAGCCGUAUUCUAAUCUAAUCUGAACUACGGGGAAGAGAAUUCAAACAUAAGGGGGCAAUAUGCUGCCCUGGCUAGCUUGGCCACGCCUACGAAAUCAUUUGGAUUCUAGUUUAUUUGGGUUGAGUGUGUCUCAUUUUCCACCUCGUCGUUCCCAGUGCACAAGGCUCUCGCUUUACGCAGGGUCUGGGAGAGGUGAAUGUCGGCUAGCCUUACCCCCAUUUUAUGGAGAGACUGCUCCCAAGUCUCAUUUUCCACCUCAAUGUCGGAAAAUGACUCCAUCUCUCUUUUGUCCAGAAAACUGUACAGCGGAUUAAUGAUAGCAAAUUAUAUUUUGAUUGUUAAUGCAUGGUGAAUAGACAGAAGAAAUAAGGCAAAUCUGCUGUUCGAUUGUGGUUGGAAUUUUCUGCUUGCAAUAUUUCAAUAUGCAGCUUCAAGCACAGAAGGAAACUCCAAGUUACUCCAGAUGAAAAGGGCUGAUGUCGAUUCUGCUGACUUCCAUAUGCAGUAAGGUUAGGCUUUUAUGUAUUUCUGACUAUUUCUGGUGAACCUGAGAUUGAUUGGUGUUGGGUUAUUUAUGCAUAUGUUCCCACUCUUAUUGCAGGAUUUUGACUGUGAUUUGGUCGUGCGAAGACGCCUGUAAAGUUCAUCUGUUCUGAUCCUUGUGUAGGGUUUGAUUUUGUCAAUUCUCUUGGUUGAGUUCCAACUCUUGCCCAAGAAGAUGUUACCCUGAUUGCUUCGAUCUCAUUUUGUUUCCCUCUAAUGGAAAGAAAGGUAUGUAUCCAAAGUUUCUCGACCUUGUUUCGUUACAACAUCUGUUCACAUGAAAGUCAGAAGUUUAUUUCAUCUCAACUGAGUCCUCUGUUUUGAAGGUUACUUUUCUCUCUUUCAUUGUUUCCGUUCUUACCGUCUUCCUCUCCGCAAAGCUUGCCUUAUCUGUCUCUCCAUUGUUUUGAAAAUAGUCGGUCCAAAAGACUAGUUUUCCUACUGAUGUUACUUGGUGUACAGGGUUCGAUUUGAUCUCCACCUAAGGUUGUUAAGUACAGAGUGGUCUAGCUAAAUGCCUGCUUCAACACAUUGAAUCGGUCCCAUCCUGUGGCGGUUCAUCAGGAUAGCAGGUACUACUACUGAUAACUUGGACAGCAUGUUAUCAGUCGCCUGUACAUGCGAGAGCUUUUCCUAACCGUUAAUGGAUCAACGCUCAGGAUUCGCUCACGCAUGAGUGGGCGACUGAACAUAUUUUGACUUGCACUAGAUAGACUUAACCAAUCUUGUGCAUCGAAUGGAGCCGCUUGGAAUCGGUCUUUGUGAAGAUUUCCUCUAGCUGUUUAGAAAAAUAGGUUUUGGGUCAUCCUGUCACCGACUUAUCCUGAAUUCGGAGGGGGAGGAAUAAUAAUGCAGUUGGUAGACUGUAAACAUCACGACGACUGCUGAGAGCAGUUUAGCCUCUUAUCUUGCGCACCAACCUCGUCGAAACGAGAGGCUGCCAGAGGAAAGCAGUGGACCCUACAAAAACAAGAGUCUUAGAACUUCAGUGCCACCGAUUUUGUGUUAAGUCUUUCGAGUUGAUUCUAACAACAUCAAAAUUUUAUCUUACUAAAGGAAAACGAUUGUAUAAUCUUAGAACAACAAUGCAAUCGAUUUUGCGUGAAAUCUUUCAACUGGACCCUAAUUUUCUAAAUUAAGAAUUUGUAAGAGUAGUUAUCAAUGAGCUGUUGUUAAAUGUAGGGUUUAAAUGCUAAAAGCAAGUUUUUGUCUUUUGCCUUGGUUGUAUUGAUUGAUGGAGCUGAUGUGGCAUGUAUUGGGAAGGUGGGUUCAUGAAUUUAUGAUGCAGAUUGGAGAUUGGAUUGGAUUGGAGUUAUGGGAAUGCAUCCUACUUGGGUUCCUUGCUAGCUGUUGAGCCAUAAAUACCAAUAGCCUCUUUUGCCCUUAAUUGUUUGCAACUAAGAUCAUCUUCAAUCUACUCAAAAUUCAAAUCUUAUAUUUAAGGUCAUCUUCAACCGAAGGCUAGCAAAAUGAUUCGUUUUAGCCCUCUGGUCUUUUAAGAUAUUAAUAUUUUAAUAAACAAUACAUGGUCAUAUUUGCCUCCAUCUUCCACCGAGGGUCAAAUAUAAUUUAUUAUUUAAAUUUAAAAACCACAACAACUUAAAUUUAAAAACUACAACAACUUAAAUUUAAAAAACUACAACAUAUGUUUAAAAACUAUAACUUAAAUUUAAAAACUACAAAUUAAAUUAAAAUUUUGUAAAAUAGAAGUUAUAGAAAAAAAAUAGAAUUUAAAAAUAGAAGUUAUAGGAAAAAAAUUUGUAAAAAUAAAAAAUAAAAAUGGCUAGCUGACGUGAGCUAGCCGUUGCAUUUGAAAAUUUGGCCUAGCAUUCUUGUCGGAUAUAACCGACAAAAAUAUAUUAUAUUGCUAUCGGUUAUAUCCGAUAGGAAUGCUCAGAUUUCUGGUCCAGCCCGGGUUUGGCUGGAUUGGGCUAGCCUUUUGGCCCUUUCAGAUUAUGUGGGGCCCACGAGUCCUCUGGCCUAGUCCUCGGUCGGAGACGGUUUUCGGGCUAUUUUUGGCCAUCUGGCCCUCUGAACCUUUCAGUUGGAGAUGGCCUAAGUUGACUAGUAAUAUGACCGGAAACUUGAAAUUUAUUAUGGUUCGUUCAUUAUGUGGCUACUUGACAAAUGAUUUUAUUUAGCAAGUGGCUUGUAGCUCAGUUGGUUAAAAAUAUUUAUUUUUGUAAUGGAAGUCUUAUGUUCGAAUCUCUCUUUCCGUAAUGUGAAGUAGAUUAUCUUAUCGUUUGUAAAAAAAAAAAAAGGAAAAAAAGACAAACGACUUUAUUUAAUUACAACAACAAUAUAUUUGUGCUAAGGUACACAAUUGAUGGACCAUAAUAGUUUGGUUGGCAACUUGCCAUCCACAAAAAUCGAUCAUAAAACAUUCUACUUAUAAGUAAAAAUAAAUAUUACUAGACCGUAUAAUUUUAAAUUUUUUUUAAAGUUGAAAGUGGUAUCAAAGGACUAAAAAUUUUAGUUUUUAAGAAUUGAGUUAAAUGUUUCGAUUUUAUGAAUCAAUGAAUAUCGAACUUUCUCCGCAAAGACUUUAUAGCGUAAAUGUACACAAAAGAUCUUUGCCUCUUCCCCAUAAACUUGAUUUCCCAAUCUUUAUGCAAAUUUGUAAGCCAAAAUAAGUAAAAAAUUGAAUAUCAAUUAUAACAGAGGAAGUGAGAGUCGGAGGUCUCUUAACUCUACACACAGAUUAGAAGCUAUAUUUUUCUGGUUCUAAUCCUGCUGAUUGCUAGCACCAGCAGGGACACAAUAAGGGCUGAACCUGCAAUGAUAAAAGGAGAGCACAGCAGAUUAGACUUUUCCAAACCAUCCUUCUUCCCCAUAUCCUCACUUGAUUCCUCAUCAGCCACAUCACCUUGUUCCUCCGUUUCGGAAGAUUCAUCCUCUUCCUUCUCUUCAUUUUGUUCUUCAUUCUUUGAUACUUCUUCGAUUUUGUUUUCGUGACCUUUUUCGAUGGGUUCUUGCUUUGGUAGCUGCUGAACAAUAUCACCUUCUUUACGAACUCCGUCCGUAUUCUUUUCGUGUCCGACUUGUGCUUCUUCUUGUGUUGCUCUUCUGUCUUGUGCAAGUUUUGAUGAUUUGCCGCUCUCUGGUCUACUUCUAACGUGUUCCUCAAUCCCCGCCUUUGGUGUUUCUAUUUCGGGCUCUGCAGUAGAGUAUUCUUCAGCUGUUUCAUGCUUAGCAAUUGCCUGAGCUUCUUGUAAUGACCUUGUAACUUCAUGAGUUACUUCACUGGUUUUAUCCACAUUCACUGGCUCUUCAGCAUCCUUGCUGAUCCUUGGAGCCUUGUCCGCUACAAUUUGGUCUCUUCCGAGUUCCUUUCUUUCAACUUUCUCUUUCUCAACUCCAUCAGCUUCUUUAACCUUUGCAACUUUUAGCUCUUCACUGUGUUCCGAAACAGAUUUUGUUUGGUGUUGCAUACUUUGAGUCUUUGAAUCUUUAGCUUCUUCCUGCACUACGCCUCUGCUCGCAUCCUUUUCGAUAGCUCCAUCAGCUACAAUUUCUUUCUUGGAGCCCUCUUCAUCAACCCCUUUCGCAUCUGUUCGAUGAUUUUCUUCUACUUUCUUUUUCUCAAGCUCACCAAAUUGGUCCUCAAUUUUCCCCCUAAAACCAUAUUUUUCAGAGACUUCUCCAGCCGCAGGAGGUUUUGUGAGCUGCUGUCUCCCUAUAUCCACUUCAUCUUCUUUCACUUCCUCGAUCUCAACCCCGCGAAUUCCUUUCACCGAUUUUGGCAUGACGAUCGUGAGAGUUGAUUCGUGUGCAUUAAACUUGGCCUUGAUUCGAUCCAAAACCACUCUAUCCGGAAUUCGAAAGACUUUUCGGAAACCCCUCAUCUCCACCUCUUUCUUGUACAUUAUCCAUCCUGACAUAACCUUCUCUUGAACUGGCUUCUCCCCACUGAUUCCAAUCUGAGUCCCAUCUUCGUUUAUGUCGAUAUGUACACGCUCUCUUCUAUAACCUGCAAAAAUUAAUUUCUUAAAUAAAAACACACAUGUGAAUACUACGAGAGCGCUCACAUUAAGAUAAAAUGAAAAGAUACCGACCUUUGAGAUGGGCAGUGAGGAUGAACAUGGUUUCGGUUUCCUUAGACACGAAAAUAGGACCGGAUUUGUCCUUGGCAAUCCGAAGGUUGGCAGACGAAACAUGAUCGUCUACGCUGUGGGUGAUCUUGAGUCCUAAUUCUAGAUCCAUUGGUGGUUUUUCGUGUUAGAUAUCAAUUUCGGAAACUCAAAUUUUUAUUUCAUAAAAAGGGGUAGAAGAAUGUGGUUAUUGAAUUGAGGGAAAUGUUAGGUGAGCAUAUGAACAAAGUAAGCACAUAUUCAUUGCUUGUUAAUUAGGGCUGCUGCAACUGUUUAAAUCCUUUGCUUUCAUGAUAUUAUUGUUUGCCUUGGCGGGAAAGCUAACCUCUGUUUUUCAUACCAAAAACAUGCAAAUGUCCCUUGGGUUACUGUUAGACCUUAAAAACUACCAAGCCUACAUGGCGCGUAGGCCGAGUAAUUAAAAAGCUAACUAAGUCAUUCGGUUGUGUGCGGGGCAUGCCAACUCGUCGACCGAACUCGGCCGGGGAGUAAAAUGUGUUGAUGUUGCGUUGGGCGCGAUGCUGACUUCUUGAUCUUGCGACUAUGGCCGAGCAAGGAACACGUCUCAGCCUUCAGGUUCCAGAGCCUGAAGACAAGACUGCUAGUUCUGUGAAGUUCAAUAUCAAAUUCGGCCUUCAAAGUGCCGAAUGUAGUAACCUGUAACACCUCACUUCGUCGAGAAGGCUAAUAAGAUGACCUCUGCCAAUAAGGAGUCGAAAAUCCUUCUCGACCGAGACUUGGAUAGAUAACCAAUCGACCCCGACGCCGUGCUGUUUAUCCAAACUGAAGGUGCUCCGGGGUCGGUUGAUUUCACGGCAACAGUGCUGUUUAUCCAGACUGAAGGUGUCACCGAACUGAAGUUGUCACUGGUUGCCCUCAUAGUGCUGUUUAUCCAAACUGAAGAUGUGUUGGCAAAAAAGGAAAAUAAAAAUCUCAAGGUUAUUGAGAGGUUUCGCGUAGAGCGAGUUUGCGCAAGGCAGUUUGUGUGUUGAGUUUGAGGGGGCAUCACUUGUUGCAACGCACCUUGUAUUUAUAGCAUUCAUAUCUUCUACUGGGCACAACCAGAUAAUUUUGUAGAGUCUAACUACAACUCUAAUUCACGGAAAUGAACUUGAUCCGCAUCAGAAACCAAGGCAUAUCCUUCAAAUUGAUCCGUGGGAUUUGUUUCUAGACUUUUCAAACCUAAUAAAAGUUAGGCUUAUCACAUCUCAUAAAAAGCUUGGCCCACCGAGGCUUCUUAUCAUCAAAACUCCAUCAGUAGCUUUUAAACCCAUCUGACAUCACCAUGCAAAAAGGCCUAGUCUACCUAGGUUCUUUAUCCCAUCAUUAUCCAAGACCAUGAUUUUAAGAUCAUCAAAUCCCAUAUGUUGAUCUCCACUCCAAGCUAUUUCAAUCUACACAUCCACUGCUAGACGUCCAAAUCAAUUUGAACCGCACCGCUUGCUUCAUUAUCUAACGCCAUAUAUAUCCCAAUAUCCCACCAUCAUUUUAAUUGGGAUUUAGACAAAUAUUAGGUUUAAAUAAUUUAAUAUAUUACCAAGAGAUAAUAUAAUGAUUAAAAUCACAAUAUUAUUUCUCAAUAAUAACUAAAAAGGUAAAUUACAUAGUAACCCCUCAGGUUUGAAGUCUAUUACAGCCCCAUACAACAUCUUUAAAACAUUUCACUUUCAUACCUUAAGUACUAUUUUAUUUCAAUUUCAUACAUACGUUACAUUUUCCAUCCAUUGAUCCGUUAAGUACUGAUGUGGCUGGCAAAUGCGUGUCAAGUGGCAAUUUUUAUUUUAUUUUAAUUUUUUUAAACUAAAUCUUCUAAAUAUUAAAAAAAUAAAAAAAAAUAAAAACUAAAACCUUAUCCCCCUCAUCCUCCUCUCUUCUCCCCGCAACCCCCAAACCUCUCCCCCAUUUUCAUCUUCUUCCCUGCAACCCAGAAAGAAAGGAAAAAAAAAAAACCCUUUAAGUUCGUCUUUCCGGCCCCCUCUUCCCCUCUCUUCUCCCCCAUCUUCAUCUUUUUUCCCCCGACCCCCUACCUGUAACCCAAAAAAAAAAAAAAAAAAACCCAGAUCCCGUCUCGCCAUUGUCGUGUUCGUGGAACGGGUGUGGAUUUAAGGAGUGAGGGGUGUUUAGAGGAGAGUGAGGGUUGUGUAGAGAGGAGAAAAGGGUGGGCGGUGGGGUUGCAGAUGAGAGAAGAGAUGGGGUCGGGUUCUGGGUGACCUGUAUCGCGGAAGGGGGGAUGAGGGUUCUGGGUUGACCUGCAUCGCACCGCGGGGGGGCUGGGGUGACGAGCGUCGUACCAGGGAUAUGGGGUUACAGGGAUCUAAGGGAUAGAUCUGGGUUUUUAGUUUUUUUUGGGGGGGGGGUUAUGGGGAUAUGAAAUAGGUUUUUUUUUAAUUUUUUAAUUUUUAAUUUUAAUAUAUAUAUAUAUAUAUAUAGAAAAUUUAGGUUUUUUUAAUUAAAAAAUUAGUAUUUAUGCCACAUGGUGUGUCACGUUGGCAGCCACGUCAGCACUUAACGGAUUAAUGGAUGAAAAAUGUAACGGAUGUAUGAAAUUGAAAUAAAAUAGUACUUAACGUAUGAAAGUGAAAUGUUUUAAAGAUGUUGUAUGGGGUUGUAAUAGACCUCAAACUUGAGAGGUUACUAUGUAAUUUACCCUAACUAAAAAUCAUUUCAACCACUUUGUCAUUCAAUGGCCUAAAAUCCUGCUCAUUCAACGGCCUUGAUUACUCAGGCCGAUAGUGUAAAAUCGGGUCCAAACAUUGCCCCCCCCCAGUUUCCUUAACUUUUCGGCUCGUAAGCCAAAUAGUUAAGGAAAUUAAUUAUUCGUAGCCAACAAAAUCCCAUCACAUUACUGAAAAAGAAACUUUGUUCCUUGGCAAUAACAUGUAUGUUCUGCCAACGCUGUGGUCUUCCUCGACUGCCACAAUUCUAUACAAGGUUUGGCGACUUUGCCAGAAAAACCUUGUAAUUACUUUGACCAUCCAACUCAUACGGUCGAAAUGCAAAUGGGGCCGAGAAAAACUGGGCCGAGAAGAACCUGAUUCUUGAUAGCUCGGCGUGUCACCCACCAUGAAUAUUGCAAUCCCUUUUUCUGAAACAAUCACAUGUGGAUAGCUUGACCAAGUUUGGCCUGUCAUUCAGCCAUCCACUCAUCAACAUUAUUAUAUACAUAUAUAAAAACCAAGGCCAUAAAAAACAAAAUCAAAUCUUGGCUUAUUGGCCUAUUCAGUCUAACUUGGAAUGAUGUUGUUAGCCAUGCAUAUUUCUAUCACAUUUUAUUAUUUUCUGACUCCCAGCUCCACCAAAUAGUCUCUGCUAAGAGCAACUUCAGUGUGGGCUGGUGCUCGGGGGACGGGGGACAAAAUAGGGCCAGAUAGCCAGGCCUUGAAGCUCCAAUGUGGGUAGCCCGAGGGAGAGUGGAGGCUCGAGCUCCGCGCCUAUGAGGAAUUGCCAGCCCAAGAGCCCGAGUGGUUGUGAUGUCAUCCUAGCGCAAUGACAACAUUCUGAAGUAACUCCCUAAAACCAACUGUCUUAUUCUUCUUCCUCCUCUUUUGCUGCUACAUUUCAAUGGAAGACGAUAAUGAUGAUGAAUCACCAAUUAAAUCACUUGGCUUACAAAAGACCGAGACUAGGACUAAGCUGUGGAAGAGAGCAAUGCGCAGCUUGUGCAAGUCGACGGCUUCAACAUCGUCGUCGUCGGCGUAAUUGGGGAACCGGUGGGGUGAGAUGUUGCAGGUGGUGAAGAGGUCUCGGAGGUCGGAUGGGUGUACGUGAGAUGGGUUUGUGGAUAUAAAAUUGGGACCAUGGCUUGCAGGGGAAAUGGCGAUUUGAACUUUGAUGGUGUUUUUAUGGUUUUUUCCAUCUGGGUUUUACGUCUGAUGCUCACCCAUUUCAACUCCAUACUUUUGACGGACAUGGUGGCAGCCGCCGUAGCCACCACUGCACUGACCUCCAUUCUCUUUCUCUUUGCUUUUAUUCUGCGUCGAUAGUGGAAGAUAAUGGGUAUACGUAAUUGUCUUUUCGGGUAAUGACACGUUGCGCAACGAGAACGAUUAAAAAUCUGAUCGAAAUCUAUCCUCAAAGAUUCUGAAAAAGUAAGGACACGUGGCACGACGACAUUGGAUAAAAAUCUUAUCGAAAUCCAUCACCAAUAAUUGUCUUUUCGGAUAAUGACACGUGGCGCAACGAGAAUGAUUAAAAAUCUUAUCCGAAAUUACAAAUAAAAAAUUAUUAUGUAUUAUUUAAAAAAAAAUAUAUUUUAUUGCCUAUUGCCAGGGCUAUUCAAGUGCAACGGUGGAGAUACAAAAUGCAGUUACUAUUCAUUAAGGGCAGUUACUGUUCAUAGGGUGGAUUGAAUAGUGAAUAGCUUAGGGGAGGGCUCCCACGCUGGAGUUGCUCUAAACGCAUCGAAUAACAUCCUUGCUGAAGAAAUUCGAGGAAAACCAAAACAAGUGUCUCCAUUGAGAUUCAAGGCCGUGUAGACCUACCGAAUGAUAAAUCCAACUUCAUCGAAUUUUUUCCUGAUCAUUUUCGGCCUUUGAGAUCCAUCGCCCAACUUGCUUACUCUUAGCCUAAAUAGCCAAAAGUUUUUUUUUUUAGUAACCACAUGGUAGAUGCCAUACAAGUAAUAUAUGCUGCCACGUCCAUUUGCUCCUACCAUCGAGUUUUUGUACGAGGUUAGAAGGAUGUUCGCAAGGACUCUCUUGUGCACUCAAACCGUCAGUUCGAAAACUAAACCCAAUACUCGUACAUUCCCUGACCGCUGAGCACCUCCGAGUGACACCGAAAAAUAUAUGGUCGAGGAAAAAUGAGCAUCCACUGCCGAAUAAAAAUUUUACCAAAGCUCUACCGAAGAAGUCUAUCACCAAAGCUAUGGUUGAAGAAAUAUAUGGUCGAGGACAAAAUCCUCCUGUUGACUUGGGUGAUGCAAACCACCAAAUUGAUUUACGCCGACUUCGACCAAAGCUCAUAUAUGCUCUGAUAUUUGUAUAAAUAGGCCUCAUGCCCAACUUUACAACUUCCACUUAGAUAGCCUUUUACUGUAGACGUGCCAUGUUAUGGAAAAGACCCCAUGAUUUUACCACGAUAACCAGUGCCGAGCAACAGUUCAUGCUCGCCGAGCUCGGCAAAAAAAUUGGCAUAUAAGACCUUGAAUCUGCCAACGCCUAUAUGGCCGAAGUUUCAGGAGGUUACUUCGGCAAAAAGCUGGCAUAUAUAUGUGUGUGUGUAUAUAUAUAUUUGACAAUAAAAGUGGUCUUGUCUUGACUGAUCAACGGUGCCACAUGGGAUAUUCCUUGGCCCAGUAUAUAAGACCUAUAUAUCACCUGUUGUUGAUACGUAUUCUAACAUAACUUGGAAGCAAAUCAUGAUCCUCACGUCAAACAUGUCCAUAGGCUAAAGCUUGCUGCCUCUUUUGUCUUAAUCACAUCACAUCAUCAUAUUACUAUUUCACCUUUAUCCCAUGCAUGGAUUAAUUGCACGAAAUUAAGCCAGUAGUAGCUGUACUGCCGCAUGAGCCUGCCAUCACCCAUAUGCCGAAUAUCCCCAAUUAAUUUGAAUAGUAGGAUAGAGAUUUCUGCACUGAGCAUCAAUUUUACCAAGUAGCUAUUUAAUUCACUCAUUCUCGGCGAAAUAUUUUUUACCGUCGAAAUAUACCACAUGUGCCCCCUUUAUUUUCUUAAGCAUCGGCUUCUCGGCCUAAUGGUUAAGAAAAUAAUUUUUUCACCUUUUUUUUUUUUAGCAAAAUAAAAUGAAAACGGCUGAAUCAUAAUCAGGAGGAGGCCAGCGAUGCUUGAUUCCAAGCCGAGAUCUUUUAUAUCAAAAUUUCCACUUUGAGUUUUUCUAAGGCUGAAUAGAAUAACAUCUCCAAAUAUGUUUGGCUUAAUGAAAUAUUUUUUAUCAUCGGCCGCCGAAUGUGUUGAACAAUUAUUAUGCCCCCCAGGCAUAAUAAUUCUGCCAAUUUCUGUUUUUAACUCGAACAACUUAGCCGAACAAGAUUUCUCCAUAUCGGCUUUAUCACCAAUAAUCAUAUCGAUUGGCGUGGUUUUUCCGGCUAGGCCUAUGUCUCGGCCUUGUUUGUCAUUAGAGCACUCCUCUAACGAAUCAUUUUCUAAAUCGACUUUUGGCUCAUAAACUUGAACUCUUUCUUCUAGGCCUACCACACUUUCAGUCUCGACCGAGACAACAGGUGGCCUAGGUGUUUCUUCGGCUGUCUUGGCAAUUUCUUGUGGCCGAAUUUUUAUUAUGGCCAGAGCGAAAAAUUUCCCCCCAGUCUUUUGAUCCAACCAUUCUUCAAAUGGAAUUAAUUUGAACCUAGGACAAAAAGACGUUUUCUUAUCGAACCACUCAUCAAAUUGAGCUCUAUCUUCUUUUAACCAUUGAUCUUGUAAGCUGUGAUGAACCUUCACCUUUAUCAUUUGAGAGAAAGAUUUUUCCCUUUCUUCAUAUGCUUCAAUAAUCUGGUCAAGGUUUGUUAUACCUCUCGGCAUUUUCCUUUAAUAAGCGCCAAAUCUCACCCUCACUAAGAUCUUGAUAUAUCAUGUGAACUUCGUAGUUUUAGCAUUGUGUCCCACUGGGCGUGCCAAAAUGUUGACCCUAAAAACUACCAAGCCUACAUGGCACGCAGGCCGAGUAAUUAAAAAGCUAACUACAUCCUUCGGUUGUGUGCGGGGCGUGCCAACUCGUCGACCGAACUCAGCCAGGGAGUAAAAUGUGUUGAUGUUGCGUUGGGCGCGCUGCUGACUUCUUGAUCUUGCGACUACGGCCGAGGAAUGAACACGUCUCGGCCUUUGGGGUCCAGAGCCUGAAGACAAGGCUGCUAGUUCUGCGAAGUUCAAUAUCAAAUUUGGCCUUCAAAGUGCCAAAUGUAGUAACCUGUAACACCUCACUUCGUCGAGAAGGCUAAUGAGAUGACCUCUGCCAAUAAGGAUUCGAAAAUCCUUCUCGACCGAGACUUGGAUAGAUAAUCAGUCGGCCCCGACGCAAUGUUGUUUAUCCAAACUGAAGGUGUUCCGGGGUCGGCUGAUUCUAAGGCAACAUUGCUAUUUAUCCAAACUGAAGGUGUCACCGGUUGCCUUCACAAUGUUGUUUAUCCAAAUUGAAGAUUUGUUGGAGAAAAAGGAAAAUAAAAAUCUCAAGGUUAUUGAGAGGUUUCGCGUAGAAUGAGUUUGUGCAGGGCAGUUUGUGUGUUGAGUUGGAUGGGGCAUCACUUGUUGCAACGCACCUUGUAUUUAUAGCAUUUAUAUCUUCUACUAGGCACAACCAGAUAAUUUUGUAGAGUCCAACUACAACUCUAACUCGCGAAACUGAACUUGAUUCGCAUCAGAAACCAAGGCAUAUCCGUCAAAUUGAUAUGUGGGAUUUGUUUCUUGACUUUUCACACCUAAUAAAAGUUAGGCUUAUCACAUCUCAUAAGAAGCCUAGCCCACCUAGACUUCUUAUCAUCAAAACUCCAUCAGUAGCUUUUAAACCCAUCUGACAUCACCAUGCAAAAAGGCCUAUUCUACCUAGGUUCCUUAUCCCAUCAUUAUCCAAGACCAUGAUUUUAAGAUCAUCAAAUCCCAUAUGCUAAUCUCCACUCCAAGCUAUUUCAAUCUACACGUCCACUACCAGACAUCCAAAUCAAUUUGAACUGCACUGCUUGCUUCAUUAUCUGACGCCGUGCAUAUCCCAAUAUCCCACCAUCAUUUUAAUUGGGAUUUAGACAAAUAUUAGGUUUAAAUAAUUUAAUAUAUUACUAAGAGAUAAUAUAAUGAUUAAAAUCACAAUAUUAUUUCUCAGUCAUAACUAAAAAUCAUUUCAACCACUUUGUCAUUCAAUGGCCUAAAAUCCUGCUCAUUCAACGGCCUUGAUUACUCGGGCCGAUAGUGUAAAAUCGGGUCCAAACAGUUACUUAAUUAAGGCCUUCAAUCAAGUUCAAAGCAAUGCGUGUUCAUAUUCAUCAUCUGAGCCAGAAAAUUUUGUGACCAAGUUAAAGAAAGAGAGGGAGGGUUGAACCCGGGAUGCAGUGGAUUAAAAACGAAGACCUCAACCAACAUAAUAAUCCACUUGCAAUUCAAGGAUACAUUUGAAUGAUAUCAAAUUUGUUUAGUUUUUGACAAGAUUAUAUUUUGUCUACUCACAAAAGGAGUCAUUUAGUUCGGCGCUCCAAACACGCGGUUGUUUUGUCAAGACUCAUUGAAUGAGAUCACGAAGGAUGGAUGAGUGGAACCAGGAAGGGGGUGGGUGUUGGCCUGAAUAUUGGGUGUAGGCGUGGCUUGAAUAUUUUUGUGUCUUGGUCGUAAAGUGAGAUGGCAUGGUCUCACCAAUACCAAGAUUUUUCUGCUAGAAUACAUGGAUUCAAACAAAUGGACGAGACCACUGCUUUGGCCAACUGACCUAGUAUUCACGUCAUACAAUAUUUGAGUGGAAAAGUUUUCAAGUUCGAACCCUCCCUCCCUUCUUGAUAAAAAGGGAAAGUAUUCGAGUAAAAAUGAUUGAACACCAUUAUAAUCUGUUCAAAUGGAUUUUAGUGCCCAAGGAAAGAAAAGGACUGAAGUUCACAACUCAUUUUGUUCAUUCUUGAACAAGAGGAAAGUCCACCAGAAAAGUGUUCAUCAUUGCAUAUAUAUAUAUUUCACUUCGGGCUGCAGCAUAAUCAUCUGUGAAGAUUAUUUUGGUAGACAUUGUGGCUUUCUUCUUGUCUGCAAAUCACUUUCUUAUAAAUAUGCAUAUUAGCUCGUUAUAAUCACAAAACAAAAAUUUAUACACAUUGGUCAAACUAUAAUUUGUCUGUCAGGAGAGACGACUCUUCUAAACUAAGCACUACAGUGAAACCUCAAUUUUUUUUAAUUUUCUGACGUCUUUCAUGUUUCAUGUUGUGUAAUUAAUAUGCAGAUUUUAACUAUAUGCCCACCACCUCCACUCAUCGAGCCACAGAUCCACAAGGGGUGGUUCAGAUGGAAACUUUUCCUUGAAAGUUGGACAAAUGGAUCACAGGUCAUAGGAGUUACCCAAAUGGUGUAAAACAUCAUUCAUUUAAUCAGUUGUGCCUUUGUUUUGUGGUUGUGGAGGGAUCCAAAGUCCAUAUCCAUGUACCUCCUCAAAUUCAAUUGGGGUGGGAUAACUUUAGUCAAAGUGUCAACUAGGUCAUUGGUCUUGUGACUUUUGAAAUUUAAAAUUCCUCCAAAAUUAAAAGUGGAAAUGAGCAGGAUAAAAAGUGGAGAGAAAAAAAAAAGAAAGAGAGAAAUUAGCAAUUGAUUGCAUGCAAAAAUUAAAGGAGCAAAAAAUGGCAAUGAUUUCCAAAGUAGGGACUUUAAUCUAAGAGCAUCAUUACACUACACUACAUGGUGUAUAAUCAUCAAACCACCAUUACAAAUUACAAAACUCUGAUGAAGAUUAACCUACCUACCUCAGAAAUUCCAUUUGCUAUUUUACAAACUACAUAACAUACCCCCCCUUUUCUCUCUCUCUCUCUCUCUCUCUCUCUCUCUCUCUCUCUCUCUACAGCACCAGGAAAACCACACAAAACAGAGCCAAUUCCAUUUGAGCAGCAAAUAACCCCGCCAGCGCCUGCAACCCACAAUCCAAAAGAACCCAAUCAAUAGUUUCCAAAAAAAAAAAAAAAAAAAAAGAAACCAAUCAACAUCCCAUCAAUAUUCAAAAGUAACAAAAAGUAGAAAAAAAAAUUUACAUACACUGAUACAUAUACAGUUUUCAUGUAUAUUAAUAAUAACUUAUGCUUUGUAGCCAUGCUUUACUAAUCACUAUUUUCUUAUGUGCUAUUUUUUUUUACACAAACGAAAUUAUUCUAAGCUACACUAAAGAAAUGAUGAAGAGUUUGAAUUCGGAACAAUGGAUUAAAAAAUGAACCACUCAUCAAAGCAAUCCACCAAUUGCACGCCGAGGUUCAUUUUAUUAAUUUUUUUUAUUUUUUUUGAAGAAAUGAACACAUUUUAAUGCUUCAGUUGAUGAAGAAGUAAUAAGUAAUAACCAACUACAUGAUGCAAAUUGAAUGUUUGAGCAUGUAACCAAAAACUAAAAUAAUCAACAAUGGAAAUGGUUACCUGUCUCUGGUGGCCAGAGGUUGGUACAGGGCGUAUUGUGGUUGAAUCCACUUCACCAGUGGGCAAAGGAACAGCAGGAUUACUGUUAAUGAAUGGGAUUCCACCGCCGCCGCCUCCUUUAUCUGUCACUGAAGAGCUUACGCUUGGUUGUGGGCUGGGAGCUAAUGCCACUUGGCGAGGAUGGAAUGGCCAUGGGAAUACUGGAGAUGAUGAAACUCCACCACCACCAGAUUUCGGUGUUGGGGCCACGGUUGGAGGAAGCUGCGGAGAGAUUCUUGAACUUGAACCGGAACUCUGCGGCGGCGGUGCGGAGGAGGAGGAGACUGUUAUGGCCAGCUUCUGGGUGUUUUGGCAUGUUUUGAGCAGAGAGCCAUUGUUGAAGGCAAAGUAGAAGAAACCAGUGCGUGAUGGGUGCCACUUUGCAAUGUAACAAGAAAAAUUUCAGUCAGAAAGCUCAGAUCUUUGAGAAAAUCAUGACUUACCCAGAUGAAAAUUACUAGUUUUGAAGCUAAUAUACUGAAAACCCAGGUUCGAACACACAUUUAAUCGAGCUAAUUCUCAAGAAUCCCACAGAAAAACAGAGCCAUUUUAGAGAGAGAGAGAGACAGAGAGAGAUACCGUGAAGGAGGUGGAGUCAGGUUUGCUGAGAAGAGUGGCUUGAGUGAAAUUGCAGAGAUCGAAGGCUCUUUGGUUCUGGAAAAUGUAGAGGUUGUACUGAUACGUGUGCUUGAAAACUGAAAAAUGCUCAAGAAAAUAUUGAAUCAAAAACAAAGAAAAUAAAGUUGUUGAAUUUGUUUGGUUUUUGACAAAUGCAAAGUACUUACUGACGGAGUCUCCUACAUGAACAGUUGGGUUUUUCCACUCUGAAACUCCAUCAACUAGUAUUGUCGUGGAGUGAGAAUGCUGGAAGAGUAAAGCGAGCAAGCACAGCACGAUGAGCAUGGAGAACUUCAUGGAGAGCUUCUCUUUUGAAAUUUUUUGUCACCACAAAGUAUAAAGAUGGUUUAUUAAGAUUAGACACAGGUUCCAGUCCUUUGUGGCCUUGCCCUUUAUCUAUUUAUUUGUCUAAUAUAAACGGCUUCACUUAUAUGGUAUUCUGAUUCAAUAAUAUAAUGAUGGUUAUAUGUAUAUCUUUGUAUGAUAAUAUAUUAUUCAAUCGGGAUAAUAUCGUGACAGUGAACUUGUUUCAUGUAAGUUGCUCUAUUUUUAGCUGUUUCAACCAUGCUAUUUUGGAUCAAUAAUUUGAGACCACGUUUUUUUAACUUUCUCACAUAUCACUUUAUCAUUAAUAAAAAAUGUGAUAAUAUUAGGGAGUAGAUUCAUUCUUUGAGCCAUUGGAAAGAUUUUUCAUGUGCCGGCAACACGGCCUUAUAUACCAAGUAUUAUAAUACAACUGAUUAGAUACUUACAAAAAAGAAUUUCCAAUUAUUUGUAUUAUAACACUUAGGGGUGGUUCGGUAUGGGAUCCCAAAUCGAAAAUGGUAUUCUGAAUUCCAACUGAAAAUUUUCAAGACAGGAAUUUGAACACCAAUCUCGAAUCGAAAUUUCGGUAUUCCCAAAUUUCGGGAUUCGCGAUAUGUUUUUAGUAUUUUGGGAUUGGAUUUUUGGUUUUGGGCUUAUGGGUUGAAAUUUGAGAUUUUUGAGGUAUGAAAUUUGGGCCUUUGGCCUAAUUUUUUUUUUCCAAUUUCAUAUCAAUUGAAAUUUAAGCUUUUAUCUCAUACAAAUUUGAAAUUUCAUACCAAUCAAAAGACCAUUUCAUUCGUAACAAGUCAAACUGAUGUUUCAAAGUUCCAAACUACUUAAAUUUCAUACUUCUAUCCCUAAUAUAAUUUAAGAAAAACUAAUGAAAAAAGCUUGAAAACUUUGAGUUUUAACGAUAAGUACAAAAUAAAGGGUAAAAUGAAUAGUAUCAUGAUUGACUUUCUAGUGUAAAAAUAUGGUUUUUCGUUAAAGUAAAUAGUACCGUAGGCUUUUCGUUAGAACAUUCAACAUGCAACAACCAAAAUAAAUAUAUAUAUUUUUUCAGUUCGGUUCAGGAUUCCCAAACCAUUGAAUAUGUAAUCAUGAUUCCUGUACCGAAAAAUUUGGGAUCAGUUCGGUAUGGAUCCCAAAAAUUUCAGUAUUAUCAAUUUGAAAAUUUUUCGAUAUGGAUCGAGAUUUUUUUUAGUUUGGUUUAGGAUUUUCAGGAUAAAUUUCUAGCCCUAAUAACACUUAUAUCAAGUUAUAUUUCUGACAUACUUAAAAGUUUCUCGGGCAUAGACAAAGGAGGAGUGUUUUUAAAAACUGUUGAAAGAGGAGAGUAAGUGUAAGCACGGAGGCUGGUAAAAUGUCGGUAGUGGUUUGCUUUUUCCAUAUGAAGAGUUUGAAUGGAUGACAGACAUAAAUACGGUCUCAUUAUUUUUCACAGUAAAAGGUUGAAUCAUUUUGUUGGUAUAAAAAACCCUUUUAAAGAAUAAAGAUUUAAAGAAAAGGAAAAAGAGAGGAUUAAAAAAAAAAAAAAAGAGUGAGAAAGAGAAGGGGUCUUUUGGGUGGCUCUGAUGGUUAAUGAUGGAGAUUAUUAUUCUAAAAUGAUUAGCUCUUUGAUUAUGAACCUGCAGUCUGUAUUUUUUCAAUCCAAAUAAAUUAAUGUCUUGGGAGGUGGAGGACUGCAAAUCACUUUCUUUUAGGAUUUUUCUUUUAAUUUCCUUUUUAUUCAAUCCAUAAAUAAUGUAAUUAGCUCAUACUUUGAUGCAUAAAAUAAUUUUAAGGGAAUAAAAUCUUUAAAGCUCUUUCUUUUCUUUUAAUAUUUGAUCUUUUCUGGUAAACAUAUUGCUUGCUGCCAUGUUUUCCAUGUUGCAAAGGCAAAUGGAAAGCAACUUCUCCUUACCAGUUAUAAGGAACUUUAUAGGUUUGUUGAACUCAAAAUUUCAUCAAACACCCCCUAUAGCCUUGAUGAAAUUUAUAUUUUGGUAUCAGGAGAAACUACUUAGAUGUCAGUGGAAGGAAUUCUCCACGUAACGUAGGUCUGUUAGUGUUCUUGUUUGUUCUUCGACAUUGCAAUAAAGUGGUGUAUCUAAUAGCAGUUUAUGUCUUUAAAGAAAAAUGUGUGUUUCAAUGGGAUACUUGGGAGCCAAUUUGGCUCUUCAAAUCAUUAUUGCUUCAACUGCUUUGAUUUUUUACUUCCUCCCUUCGUAGAUAUGAAGAAAGAGGUAUUGUUCGAACCAAAUUUGCGAAAAUCAUGAUCUCACAGCAUUCAUCAUCCAUGCAUGAAAAAUGUUGGUCACAUAUAAUGAAGAGAUUUUUCAGUGUGAUCGAAACAUGAGGUGGUACACUACGUGUCACUAUACAAAUAGUGGAAUAUGUGUGUUAAAAAGUUUAUAACUUAAAAAAUACAAUUUUCCAUCACUUAUAUAAAAACACAUGAUGUACUAUCCGGGUUCUGGUUAAUAGGAAAAAUUUAUCCAUAUAAUGCAAGUGCAAGUGCAUAAAAAGAAGGGAAGUGGCGUGGAGGCAGAGAGCAGAGAGCAGAGAGCAAGCAUGGCCGGCAUCAUAUGCAGCAAAAGGAACCUUAAAUUUGAUCUGUAUUUGUCGAUGAGGUCUGUGGGCCAACUCCUACUUUAUAUACGCCGAAAACAUAAAGAUAACAAAAGCACUUGGCAGGGAACUAAAAGACAAACACUAGAGUAAAAAGGACUUUGAAUGGAUAAAAGAGAGAAAUACAUGUAAGUUAAAAAGAGAAAUUAUUAGGAAUCUGUACUUGAUUUUACGAUAGUUUAAUAUUAAAAAUAUGAAAUGAUUAAAAUAUUUUUAGAGAUGAGAAUGUUGACUUUGAUUGAUGGUCGUGUCGUGACGCGUAUGACUCAUUCAUUUGACGUAUUCUAAGAGUACUCGACGUUACGAACUCGUGGACGCAAGCGGAAUCGAAGACAUAUCUAAAGGUAAUUGAAUCUAAAUAAAGUAAUGUAGGAAGAAAAAAAAUCAAAGGAAAGAAAAACAUAAAAUAAAUAAAUAAAAUAGAAAAUGAUACAACGGGUACUUCGCUACCGAUUGUACGUGGAAACAGUCGCUAGAGAGGUAGUGAACACACCCCGUAGAAAUCGCUAGCGAGAUAGUGACUAUACAAAAAAUCAGUCGCUAGUAUCAUACCAAUCCUCCAUUUUCAAUUAUUUUUCUUUUUUAUUUAUUUAUUUUUGUUAAUAUUUAUUUAUUUUAUUUCUCUUACUAUAACAACAAACUUUUAUAUUCAUAUUCUUCAAAAUAUAUUUUUCUGUGAAAAAUCCAUUAUAAUUCAUUUUAAACACUUGUAAUCAACGAUUUAAAACCUAAAUUUAAAGAUAUUUGAAUUUAAUAGUGAUUACUCAAAUAAAGUAAAUAAAUUGGAAUAGGGAAAGACAAAUACCACGGUAUUGAUUCUCGCCCAGACGUACUUAAAUUGUUCUAUCUAUUUAUUUUCACCUUCGCCUCACCGUAAAGUUUUAAAAAUUAAGGUAAGAUUUUCCGUUGAUAUUCUUAAGGGUAGAACCCCAUUUGAUAAUGUUUUGGGUCUCACUAUUGUAUUUUUCACUUAUUUUUUUAGUUUUCGGCUUAAAUAUUCUACUAAAUAUACAUUUGUUGCUCAAUAAGUUGUAAAACCACUUCCAAAUGUCUUAUAAAGUUUUCUUUAAUGCUCAUGGAAAAUAUUUCGCAAUAAAUUGUAAAACCGCUUCCAAAUUCAUACAUAAAGUAUCGUUCAAUCUAUUUAUUUUCACCUUUGCCUCAACGUGAAGUUUUGAAAUUAAUGUAAGACUUUCCAUUGAUAUUCUUGAGGGUGGAACCCCUUUUUUCACAAUGUUUUGGGCCUCACUACCACAUUUUUCACUUAUUCUUUUAGUUUUCGGCUUAAUAAUACAUUUAUUGCUCAAUAAAUCCUAAAACCGAUUCCAAAUGCCUUAUAAAGUUUUCUUUAACGCUCAUGGAAAAUAUUUCGCGAAAAAAAAAUUUGCACUUUCACAAAAAAACAUGGAUUAACAGUCACGAUUUGUAGUUGGUUUUGCAAAUUCAUAUAUAAAUCAUCGUUCGAUUUAUUUAUUUUCACCUUCGCCUCAUCGUGAAAUUUUGAAAAUUAAGGUAAAACUUUCCAUUGAGAUUCUUGAGGGUAGAACCCCCUUUUUUACUAAGUUUUGGGCCUCGCUACUAUAUUUUUCACUUAAUAUUUUAGUUUUUUUUUUCGGCUUAAAUGUACAUUUGUUGCUCAAUAAACCAUGACACUGAUUUCAAAUGGCAUUUGAGUUUUCUUAAUGCUCACGGAAAAUAUUUCACAAAAAUAAAAAAGUUUGCAUUUUUAACAAAAAUCGUGGGUGUUAGAUAGGCUCGAUGUACACAAAACAAGGCAGGUCUAAUACACAACGAGACGGGCUCCACUCACAGAAAAUGACACAGGCUUCUGGCACGCAAAACAAGACGAGGAGCACAGAACGAGACGAGAAUCGCACAAAUCGAGAUGCCUUAGGAAGUAUGAAACAAAUUAAGUGGUUCAGUUUUACACACUUUCAACUGAGCCAUCUUCAAUGACAUGAUCGACUUAAAAAGAUGAAAGGAAAAACAUUUCCUCUGUUUAGAUAUACACCAAGGUUUUGUUUAUAUCUUCCUAUCAAUUGCAUUGAGUACACUUUUCAAUUUUUUCUUUCUUACCAAGGAGGUUGUCAUUCUCCUUUUCGAAGUAAGAGACCAAUUUUUAUGAUACACUAUGAGAGCAAUGAAUUAUAAUGCCAAAAAUUUAGUGCUAAUCCAUGGGUUGACUAAACAUUUUCAAGAGCUUAUGGGUUCAAAUAUAAUUUCCCACUGAAAAAUUCUGGAGCAAAUCAAUGCAUGACACAGCAAAAUUUAUUAGUCGGAUGCGUGUUCAAGAAUUCAAGAGAAUCUAGCAAGUGGAUGUGAUUCACUUAAAAGGCAAUCUUGAUGUAUGUAGAGAUACUCCUGUCUGUAUACGAAUAGGAGGCCAUAAAAUGAUGAACUAAUGAACAAAGAUAUUUCCGCUAUGUUUCUCCUAAAAAACACGAACAAGGAUAUUAAUGAACUUACAUCGAUGAAACACGAAAUCAGUACUACUAAUCAAUUUCUAAUUUACUUCUAUAAUUCUGAAUUACAACAGAAAUACAUGCAUAUAAAUCGAUAUUCGCUAGCAAGAAACUAUAAUGCAAGGUCAUCUUUAUAUAAACAUAACACUGAAGAUCAAUCUUCAUAUAUUUCCGGAAAGGUGUCAUAAGCCAUCUAAACAUAAUAAGCUAAUUCUGGAUCCUGAUCCUCUACUUCACCCUCAAAUCAAUAAUCGGGGGAAAAGAGGCUUUCAUCACCUCUUAACUACAUACUUAAUAAGGCUCUCUACUUCUAUCUCCCUCAUUGACGCCAUCUUUUCCUAAUUAAGUCAUGACCUUCGUGACUUGGGUUGCAAUCUCUCUCAAAAAACAAACCACGAUCCACGGUAGCUCUUAAAAAUGAUAAUAUCAUUUGGUCUAAUUAUCUACUUCUGACAAUCAGAUUCCAAGUCGAAUAUUUCCAUACUUUUUCCUCCUAGGUCUUGACACGAUCUUGGUUUCCACGUCACACAUCAAGCAUAUACAAUCUUACCACUGCAAUGAGCGAACUCUCCGGAGCACAUGGGGUGGUCUUCGCUUCUCCACAACCGGAAUGAUGUUUUCCAUUAGCUGCAACAAAAAUACACAAGGUCAAAUGGAUAAUAGCAAACAACUAUUACAACCACCGUCCCUCAUCUUCCAAAAUCCUAUUCCUCUGGAUAAAAUGUUCAACUAACGUCGCUCAUGGGCCAAACUGAAAUGAAAAAUCAUCAAUUACCAGAAGUUUCAAAACGGGCAACUGUAUUAUUUUCUUCCUUAUACAUGGAAGUCUAUAGUAACUUGUUUUCUUGUCUAAUUACAUUACCACAUGCAAAUAUAAAUGGAAGUCUAUACUUAGACUUCUAAUGAAGGCCAUUCUUUGUUAUUAUAACAUAUUGAUUGUCUUGACUACAGCGAACCCAAAGCUUAAAUUAAAUAGAGGACCACAACCGUAUACUUUUAGGAGAGAAAUGUUCCUUUUUGUAAUCAUAUUUAUCAUUGUGAAACUUUCCUAUUUCUUCCCUCGUGGAAGUAGGCAAAGACCCAACCAUGCAUAUUAUUUGCAUGUUGUUCUGUCAAGCAUGAAAAUCCAUCCCCUCAAAGGUUGGAGAUAUGCUUGGCUAAGGUAAACUGCUAGGCAAUAAGUACACUAAACAUAAUUCCAAUUGAUACGUUUAUAUUUAAGUUAACAAAGUCUAUGCCAGUUAUCAAAUUAUAAAAUGAAACAAAUUUGUAACAACUGGUGUAUGCAAAAGUUCUGAGUUAUAUACAUCAAAAUAAUUUUUUUUUAAUAAUUUAUAUGCAUCAAAACAAUGUUUAACCUUACACAAUGCACUCAUGCUAUAUCUGCCUGAAUCAUGUACUGCCUGCUAGAUAGUGCUUAAAUUGUACUCUACAUUCAUGAGACUUUGCAUUUGGAUUAUCAUGAUUCCAAAUAUCAUUAAUAUUUUUGUUUCUGUUUGUUUACUGGGAGGAGGGUGGAUAUUCUUGUAGAAUGUAAAGAAUUUAGACUGUACAUUAAAAAAAAACGUAACUAGGGGUCAAGUUUUUUAUUUUGGGAAUGACAGAUGAUUAUAUACAGAUUAAGAAAUUCAGAAUAUACAAAAGUCACAGAUGUCGAGCGUUGAGAGGCCAUAUAAACUCCAUUAAUAUUUCAAGAUAAACCAACGCCUCCACUAGGGAGACAUGAAAAAUUUUUAUAUCUAAAAUCUAAACAUGCCACAUCUAUGGCUGCAAGGUAUAAUAAACAAUAAGGGUCAUUACUGUAGACAUCUAGCUUUCUUUACCUCUUCAGGCAUAAGUACGAAAUAAUGGAGAUGAUACUUAUUUGGGUGCACUGGAGAAAAAUUUGUAUAAUUUUCCAUGUAAUUUUCUAUAAUAUCUGCCUCAUAUUGUAUUUUUCACUUCAUCAAAUUUGUUGUUUCUUAUCCAAAAAGAAGAUCACCAUAUGCCAACAACCAAGUUCCUAAUAAAAUACAAUCCCUUGCAGAAUCAAUUAACUACAUGCACCAGGAAUGAAAUGAAUACCUGCUUAAGUCUUCCCUGAGUCUGCUCAGCCUGCAAUUAAAAAAUAAAAUUGUUACAAAAUAGAAUAUAAAAAAAAUGUUAAGGCAACCAAGGAGAGCAAGUAAAACACACACGUCUCAAUUUGGUGGCAUGUUUAGAUAUUACUACAGUUAGUCACUUUUUUGGGCUUGGGAAUCUGUUUGCCCGACUGGUUAGGCCCCUGGCACUAUUUGUGGUACUUAGUGAAGGCUUUGCAGUUUGUUCUUAAUAAAGUUCCUUCUUUCAGAAGAAAAACAGGUUAAAUGCAGAGAAAAAAGUGCGAGGUCUUAACAUCAACUUGAAAACCAAAACACCAAAAUUAGAUAACUUUAAAAGAAAAUGAUUUAGCUCCUACGCACACUCAUGAACCAAGCAUCAUGCACAAAUACAAGAAAUCCAAACCCAUCCUCAUUUUAAACCAAUACGCAGACCAAAAAAAGGGGCAACUGAACCAACCAGCCAAUUAUUAAAUGUUCAAAUUGGUUUGUCUGAUCUUUUACAAGCUCAAACUUAUAAAACAAGCCAAAAAUCUUGUUCGCAACUGGCUAAUUAAGUUUCCAAGGAAGCUUGAACAUGUUAAAAAACAGACAGGCUUGAUUAUCUGUCUCCUGGGUUAAGAAAAUAUUUAAAAUUUCAUACGAUAUAACGGAUUGAACUCAUUUGCCGGACUUGAACUCAUGUUAUAAUGGAUUGAACAUGUUAAAUGACGUAGUCAAGUACUUAAAUCAUUUAUCUCUACACUUUGCAAACAAAACAUUAAAGUAUACACUUCAGUGGUUUCGUAUGCAUGUAUUCAUAUACACUACAUGAAUAUGUACAUAUAUUCAUAAGAUUUAUAUAAAAAUAUUCUAAUUUAUAAUCCUUAGUAUUCAUGAAGCUUGGUCAUGAAACAUUACUUCAGCUUGGGUUAACUAUCAGGCUAACUAACUAAUCAAGCCAAGCCCGACAGGUUUGUUCAUUUACAGCGCUGCUGACAAUGAUAAUGAAAGUCUUCAAUGGGAUGAAACAAAGCAAAGUAACAAUAUUUGGUUAAAGUAUGACUACAUACUGCUUUAUACACAAUAGAAGUGGAAUUUCAUCACAGCAUACGAACACAGUAGUCAGACAAGUCAAAUCAAAUUGGUGACCGUUUGGAGUUGCAUAUUUGUAAUUGACAAAACGUCUGCAACCUCAGCAAAAUGAGACAUGUGAAAGGAAAAGUCGUUUUGUUGGAAAAUUUAACAAAGUAACAAACUGUCAUAACUAUACCGAAUGCUGAUUGCGACUCAAACACAGCUCAAUUUGGCCCCAAACUCUAAUGCUACCAAAGUACUGAACUUCUACUACCAUUUCAUAGUGGAAAAGCGCAUUUCUCACCGCAAUUCGGUGGCCAACUACAGUCUAAAGCACAUUAGAUUCAUAAUUCGAUUACCUGUUCUUUCAAAAGCUGCUCGUUUUCCUCCUCUAACCGGACUGCCAAUGACUCCAAUUCAUCUUGAUAAGCCUAAAAUCCAAAAACCCCACAAUCAGAAAAGUACAAAUAAGCAUGAAAAAACAAACAAAAGAAAUAUCACAUACACCAUUUCAUCAAAAACCCAAUUCCACACCUGCUUUCUCUCUCUGGACCUGGCCGCCGAUUCCCGGUUCUUGAUCAUCCUUUUCUGUCUCUGCUGCGACGCCUUAUCCAUCGGCUCCAUAACGGCGCGCCCCCUCUUCCGUCUCCCCACUCCUCCUCCACUCCCAGCAGGGUCCGCCACAUUUCCAAACCCAACAAUCGACCCUUCAACCUUAUCAAUCGACCCGAACGGGCUGAGCGGGAUCUGAUCAAAGGAAAAUACUCCGCUGCUCAAUCUCUCCGUCUCGGGCGGCGGCGGCGCAAGCGGAAAAUCCUUAAUGUCGUUCUCUUCCACGGCCCCGGCCCUAGCCAAAAAGUCCUCCAGAGUCAUCAUCUCAUCGGGAACCUCCUCUUUACACUCCUUCCGACAUUCGCCGGACACAAUUUCCCGCCAAACUUCGUCAACAGUUUUCGGCGGCGGCGGCGCAGUGGAGCUAUUAAUUUCUGCGGAGGAGUCGAGUAGGGUAAUUUGAGCGUUGAGGAGGGUGGCGUCGGUCAUAGGGGUGGGGUUGGAGUCGUAGAGGAGACCGUCAACGGUUAUGGAGCCGAUUGGAAAGGCCAGCGUCGUACUAGUGUUGCUGUUCUGGUAGUUGUUUAGGGAUUGGGGGUGCGCAGAGGAGGAAGACGGGUGUGCAGUGGUGGUGGUGGGCUGGGGCUUUGUAGCGGGGGAGAAAUUGGAAGAAGGGCGUCGGGAGAGAUCCGAGUUUCGUGAUCUCGACGACGACGACGACGACAUUAGCUUCGACGACGCCAUCUCUUCCGUCGCUGAUUUCUCAGGCCCCUCGGACUGUCCGCUAUCUUUCUCUCUCUAGAAUCACUCUCUCUCUCUCUCUCUCUCUAGAAUUGGAACUUUUAGGGUUCUGAUCCGGUGUUUUGUUGGGAUCAGGCCCCGCACCGAAGCUCAGUGAGAAGAACCCCUUUCAACGAGCGAAGCGAAGCAGUUUGUCACAUCCCAGAACCUUUUUUGGUGCGGAUAUUUUGGUGGGACCAAGUAUUUAAUACAAACCGAGAACCGAGAUUAUGAUUUGCAAGGGUUCGUGGGUCCCGGUGGGACUUACGUAGGCCCCACAGAAUAGCGCAAUCGGACUGGCGGUUGUAGGGGAUAUGUGUGUGGUCGCGUGGUAGAUGAGUUUAGCCGGAUGCCUGGAGUAUGGUUGUUGACCCGGCCACAGUCAGGGAUUGCUAUCGUCACGGACGGCAGGGACGGCUGUGAUGCAAGGUUGUGUGGUGUCGUGAGCAGAUUGGUGAGUUGAAUUGCACAUAUUCGUCCAGCGUGGCAUGCGGACUGAUCUGUGGGCUGGAGGAGAGAGGUUUAACUUCAAUUCUCAGGCUGGGAGGGGUCAAUGAAGCAAAUUUGGCCCAGGCCCAAUUAUGAAAUUUUUUUCCUAUUCUAAUAGCUCGUUUACUGAUUUGUAAUUAGAAUUGAAGGAAUUAAAGUGAGAAGGAAUUAAAUUGACGAGGUGUUGGAAGCUGGUGGAGAAAUCAGACUGGUGUUUACCACCUAUCAAAUUUAUUAACUUGAUCGUCGAAGAGUUUUUAACUAAUACCACACUUUUGCCUAGACCUUUUUACGAUAUUUACUGUCUUGCAGGUUAUGCAUGAGUCGAACCAUCGUCUUUUGGCAACGAGCAGAUUUUGGUUCAACAAUUGGUAUUUUUAUUCAGAGAACUUCCGCUCUCCCGUUGAAUGAGUGUCUAACACCAUGAAUGCUGAUGGAGGCUUUUAUCCAACCCUGCAGCAAGAAACAUUGCAAGCAAUCCCGUGAAUGUUCUGGAUUGUUUGCGGUGCUUCUAUCUUUGUCAAUAAAAACAAAGGAAGAAAAGAAAAAAAAAAGAGAAAGUUAAUAGUUAUAAACUUGUACGCAAUAACUAAGCAUAUAUAUGGGGGACAAAUGCCAAACCAAGUGCAUGAGAUAUGCAUGAUCCCCUCCAUCACAUAUUGUUCAGCUAUCCACGUUAAUUCAUCACGCUCUCUCUCUCUCUUUUAUCUCUUCAUUAUUAACCUGUAAACUGCUGUACCAGAUGUCAUCAAAUUAAUAACUCCACGUGAUCCACGUUUUAUUAAAUUACAUUGUAAGCCACAUGAUGCGGUGAUAAAUUAAGACUUCAUGAUUUAAUUUUUUUUUUUAAAAAGACUAAUUAUCAACUACCGUAUCAUGUAGUUUAUAAAAUAAGAUUUGAAAAAAUCAUCUCUCUAGUAUUACCCUAUGCGUUUAUGAGAUGCAUAUCUUUUAAAUCACAAAAGCAAUAUUAGUUAGCGGCGUUCGUUCUAUCUUGUACAAUAAUCGACAGAUUUCAGGUUUGCCUGCCGACCUACCUUGAUGAAGCCUCAACUCCCCCGUUCAAUUGAAUCACAACCUACUCGUAUUAUGUCAGCUCAAUGCAUUUUUCCCCUCCAUGUUUGUUUUAAUAUCUUGGGAGCAGCCUCUCCAUAAAUAGGGGUAAGGCUAGCCGACAUUUCCCUCUCCCAAACCCUGCGUAAAGCGGGAGCCUUGUGCACUGGGUACGACCUAUGUUUGUUUUAAUAUCGGUUAUGCCCCUUAUACCACACUAGAAGUUCCUCCGGCCAAAUUUUUUACACGUAUAUUUUUGGCAUUUGAUGUUUGGACAAAUACUUUUGGCAUCAUUAACCAUCCAUUUUUUAAUAUGCUCUUCUCUCCUGCGAGGGUUUCAACCAUUUCAGGUGCUUAAUGGCUAAUGCUGUAAUGCAUGGUUUUUUUUUUGCUAGUUGAGAUAAGAGAUAAACAAGCUGCACAAAUAUAGGGUCUUUAUUGGUUUCAAAUUAAUGGAUCAGGAAUGCUAGAUCUCUCUCUAGGGUUUUUUGAGAUUUCGAGAUUUUGUAGAAAUGUAAGUUUGCAGGGAAAAUGUUUCUGUGAAAGCGAUGGCUUUCAUUCAUUGCUUUCACAUAUAUAUAGUACAGACUUUACAGUCCUAUGGAAAUAAUGAAACAACUAUACUUACUAAUCAACAUUUACAUUUGAAUUGGAUGAUAAGAAACGGAACUAAGUGAUAGAAUUCACUUUUGACUUGGACUCUUGGUUAAUAGCUUUCAAGCUUUUUUUUUUAUUUAUUUUUUAUUUAUUUAUAGUUGAGCGAUAGCUUUAGUAGGUUACUAGUUCAUUAUUAAGAGAAAGGAGAAUCGGUGGAGAUCAAAUCCGCAUCAAAAUGCAUAAACCUGAAUGCUUUUCACCACUGUGGUAAAUCGCAAACUUCAAGCAAUUCUUGUUUUUACAGUAUAAGGACAAUUUGUCUUUCAAGAAAAAAAAAAUCUUCGUAAAAUUGGUUAAACAUAGUUGAUGUUAAAGUACUCCCAAAAACAUCGACCAAAGUAUGUAAAAGGCUACCAAACAGGCUUUAUUGUUUUCUUCCACGGUACGAGGCAAAGUAUUAGUAUUUGGAAUAUGAAACCAAAUUUAUUGUCGAGUAAUUAACGAACCAUCUUACAAUUAGUGGCUCUCAUAUACAGGAGUUUCUUGAGGACUAUGAUUUCUCAAUAACUAAUUAAUUAGGUACAUACAUCUACGUACCAUAAAUUUCUAUAACAUAGGUAUUACUAAAUUGAUCCUAAAGUCAGAUAGAGAUAAUGCUUCCAUUAAAAUAAAAACGGUCAAAAGAUUAGUUUAAAUAGUGCAAUUUUUUUUCUUAAAUAAAGGGGAACAAUAUUCACCUCUUUCAAGCUUGGAGAGGCUAUUGGGAAUUUCACCCUGUCCGUGGCCACAAUCAAGCAAACUCACCAGCUUAGAGCAUUGAACCCGAGACCUCGCACAUUUUUUUGUUUAUUGGGGAGCCGCAAUCCAUGCCCUUACUACUGAGCCACAUGUUAUGGUUAAAUAUUGCAAAUUUUUAGUUGAAAGAAGAAGAUAAAUGCCAAGACUCUCAAAGUGGGACUAUGUACUCUCUGACAUCUCACAGUUUAACAUUAAUUUUCAUACUAAUAUUACAAAAUAUGUGUAAAAAAACAUUAAGUGGUAGAGAAUCUUAAAAAGUCACAUUUUUUUAAAAGUCUCCUUAGCAUUUCUCUCGUAAGAAUUUAUAUACGAAAGAAAAAAGCAUCGAUUGUAGAUGACGAAAAUGUGACAAUGAUGGAUUGCUAAUGAUUUUGGGAUUUGGUAGUUUCAUGCGUGGCUCAAAACAUAAAAAGCAUAGCAAGACAUCGACGAUUGAGUUUAAAGUUUGGCGAUAGCCCAUGCAAACAUCAAAGAGGUGCCUUUAUUAUUAGUUAUCCACGUAAACCUUCCGACCUGAAUUUGUUUAUAUAUAGUUAACUAAAACUCUAUAUAUAUAUCUGAGAAUAUUCAUCAAUCUUAAAGGGUUCAAUGGUAAUUUUCAUGCCCUAAAUCGAGGGGUUGCGAUGUUUUGUGCUUGUAGGCUUCGAUCAGACUCCUUGAUACUCCUCUAGGUUAAGAAAGAGACGGUGUAAGUAAUCAUAUAAAGUUUUAUAUAUAGCUGUAUGUAAGAAGAAAAUGUACAUAAAGACAAUAAAGAGGGGCCAAAGGAGGAUUUUCAGAUGCAAAAAAGGUCCUGAAGAGGGAAAGGCUCUUCAGCAAAUUUAGCAUUUGAAGCUUGCAAACAAAUUGGAGAAGUUCUCUCUCUCUCUCUCUCUCUCUCUCUCUCUCUCUCUCUCUCUCAUAUGAGAUUACAGCGUGAACUACAAUCCUUAAACAGACUUUUAGAGGCUUUAUUAAAGCAAAGAUAUAUGAACAAACUAAUUAGCUAGAAAGUUGAAUAGCUACCUCAUUCAUUGUUCUUUCUUACAAGGUUCGUAUAUAGUGGGGUUAUGAGUUCGACAUCAUUUAUAGAUCUCUCCUUUAAAAUUUGGGAGCUACCUCGUCCUCGUAGCCUACAUAAGAUCGACAUCGACUUUGUUCUUCUAAAUUAAAGAUCGACCAAAAGAUGUGGGCAAAACUUAGAGCUUCUUCAAAUAUUGCAAAGGGUAUGUAUAUCUUCUAUCUCUUUUUUCCCUUUAUAUAUAUAUAUAUAUGUAUGUAUGUACGUAUGUAUUUUCUUUUUUUUGUGUUCUAUGCCAUAUUACUCUAAGCUCUGGGUUAACAGAUCUAAAAGAGAGAACUCUAUAGCAUGUGGUUUGCCAUGUUGCCUGUUGGAUUUUUUGAAUGUGAAAACUAACUGGUUACCAAGUUUUGAGAACAAUAUGUACCUAUCUUGUAUCUAUAUAUGUUGGGAAAGAAAUAAGACAUCAACUUGAAGUUUUAGCAGAAAGAGGAAAGUGGUCUUUCUAGGGUUCUCUUGUUACCAUCAUGCUCAAUUAUUGCUACACUCGUCAUGAUAAAUCUCUUCUGAGAAAUACACUGCAUGAUAGGUUGGUAGCACUUUGAAUCUUUCGCAAGCAUAAGAUGGUCUUCAUAUAUAUGGAUUACCAAUUUUGGAUUAUCGUUUUCAGGGAAAGAAGUGAUAAGGCAAGUUCGUAAAAGCUUCAAUCUAAACGAGGAGUACCUAAGUGCAUUUAGAACCAAAUCCUAUGCAGACUUCUUCAACAAAGCUCAGUUGCUUGUAAACGAGUCAUCAUCAUCUCCUUUGAAUUACAACCAUGAUCACAAAUUGACAGAAGUCCUCCUAGAACCUGGUCAAGAAGCCAUACCAGAUAUCCUUGACUCGGCAAUUCUUUCGAAGGAACCUAAAUUGAAGGGCCUUAUGCUCAACUACUUUGACAUAAGUGCUGAAGCCUCAAAAAUAUGCAGCCACCUCUUAAAAAGCAUCAACCAUGUCCAAUCCAGUUACCACUUUGUUCAACAAGAACUUGAUAAAUUUGAAGAAUACUCACCGGACAAAAUCAAAUCCAUUAUUUCGGAGCUAAACUUGCUCAUACUUCAAAACAACAUUAACCCUUUUUCAAACCCUAAUAACCAUGACUUUGAGCUCAUUCAUGAAAAGUACUCGUCGGUUUUGCACCACCUAAAGUCGAUGAGGAAAAAGGUGUCGCGGAAGAUUAAGCGCAUUAAAUGUUUCAAAAAGGCCACUGGGAUUUGCAUAACAGCAGCUUGUAGUUUGAUUGCUAUAACCGCUAUUGUUUUAGCAGCACAUACUCUCACUGCCUUGCUCAUGGGGCCAGCUCUCAUCAGCUUCCCAUUUAAAAGCUUCAAGAAAAAACCGCGUAGCAUUCCAUUUUUGAGAAGUAGGAUUCUUACCAAAGUUGGAGAACAACUUGAUGUGGCAGCCAAAGGGAUUUAUAUUUUGAAUAGGGAUUUCGACACGAUGAGCCGACUUGUGGCAAGGCUUCAUGAUGAGGUUGAACACAACAAGGCGAUGAUCCGGUUCUGCUUGGAGAGGAGAGAGGAUAAGUUUUCUUUGCAGGUUGUGAAGGAGCUUAAGAAAACUGAUGUUGGAUUCAGGAAGCAAGUGGAAGAGCUUCAAGAGCAUGUGUAUUUGUGUCUUGUAACAAUCAAUCGAGCUAGAGCUUUGGUGGUCAAGGAGAUGACAAAAUCUUGUGCAGAAAAUUGAUUUAGAAGUUAAGGAUGGUACGUAGCCAUUUAAAAGGCCUUGUACAGUAUAAUACUUCAUGUUCUGUAAAUUAUAUACGACCACACACGAUUUGUAUAAUGACCGAGAAUCUAUAAGAUUUAUAUGGAAAAAAAAAUGUUCAUUAUAUAUAUUGGGUAUUCAUUCCUUUUUUAGUUCACCUAUCAUUGGCUUUUAAAAAGAGAUUUUAGUAACUUUCUCCCUUGGACCUUCUUGAUGAUUGAACCCAUCUAGUUUCUAAGUCACCUGUUGAUGCACAAAAUCAGUGAUGACUUUGGUACAACAGAAAGUGUUAAGUUUGUGACCUUCGCUAGAUUGCUCCGGUCACUAGUGUGGAUAAAUAUGUAAAUGGAUAGAGACAGGGAAGCAAACACAAGAUGUACGUGGUUCACCUAGAUUGGCUACGUCCACGGAGUAGAGGAGUUCUCAUUAAUUGUGAAGGGUUUACACAAGUACAUAGGUUCAAGCUCUCAUUUAGUGAGUACUAGUGAAUGAUUUAGUACAAAUGACAUUAGGAAAUAUUGUGAAAGAAUGAUCUCUAUUUAUAGAAGAGGGUUUCUAGUUUCAUUCUGACAUUGACACAUGUCGUGUUGUGAUUGGCUUCUGAUGUUGACACGUGUCGCGCUAUGAUUGGCUUCUGAUGUCAACACGUGUCGCACUAUGAUUGGCCUCCUGGUUGGAAGGAAACUCUUCUGGGUCCUUGACGGUAUAACGUUGACCGAUGCUCAGUAGUUUCGGGAUUGGUCAAGUAUGGUACAAACAGUGCUCCCCUAAGUUCCCGAGUGAGGGAAGCUCCUUGGUUGGGGACUUGCAAGAUCCAAGCCAUUGAGUAAUCACGAAACUUCUAAGUACCGAAGUGUGGUAUCAUUUUCACUUGCCUUAUGUGUCUCAUACGUAGAUGUGGCAUUUUCUCUGUAAGUACUUUUCCUCCAUCCAGGGGUGGUAUCUUUAACCGAUGAAGAUGCACAAGGUAAUGUAUCAAUUUCACUUGAAGCUUACUUGUAGUUUCAGGCUUGGUCAAGUGCGAUACAAAACCCUAUAGUAGGAGUCCCCCAAGUCGCCGAGCUAGGAGAUUUUCCGAAAGAGGUAACAGACAAGGUAAGCAAUCAGACUUCCAAGCAAACAACCUGGAUUGGAGGUUCGACUUCGGCUUCCGGUUGAUUGUUCUCCUUCUCCUUGUGUCGUAAACAGCAACAAGGAUAAGGAUAAUCAAAUGAAGAAGAGAUGAUAUGAGAUACUUUUGCUUUUGAAGAAGUAACUUUCCACAUGCUUAUUCUUGAAUUGGGCUUGAGGGUUUUCUGGUUUCCUCCAGAGUAUAAGGCCGACUCAAGAAUUUGAGGGUCAAAACAAGUCCAUUAAAUCAAGAGUGCGUUCGACCUUGAUGAUAUGUGAUACUUUUGCUGUUGACGAAGUAAUAGAUGAAUCGACAUAUGUUUUGUUGCGCUUGUCUCCACAUGCUUCCUUGUAUCUUUCUCACUUAGCCUAUCCGUUCCUCAGGCAGAUGUGGUGUCUUUUCUGGAAGCAUAAAAUGUUAAAGAUGAGUACUCGAGAGCAAUAUCAGGUAAGUAAUCAGGCAAUGGGUUCCAGGCAGUCAGUUUCUGACUGGAAGCUUGAUUCCAAGUGCUGACUGAUUGCUCUCUUUCUCCUUGUCUUGUAGGUAAGAACAAGGACAAAGGAAAAGACAGGGAAAAAGCAUGAUAUGGGAUACUCUUACUUUUAACCCUGAUGAUAUGAGAUACUCUUGCUCUUGUGUGGCUGGUUUGCAUAUGUAUUAUUGGGGGAAAGAAAGCUGAGUAUUUCGAGAGGCUUCGUUAGAGUGCCCUCUCAGAUAUGAGGAAGGGUUGAGCAUUUUUGCAGGUCUGUCGGUCCGUGGAGGAUGGAGGUUGACAUAUAUAGGAGUCUCCCUAACAACAAGUAAUAAUGCUAUUCCUUUACCCAUCUUGGUCGUAAUAAUGUAGUGGGAGCUGCAAGCUUCACAUGUUUUAACUUUGUUAGAGCACUUUGAAAAAGUGGUAUGUGGUAUCUGGAAAGCUGAUGUUGUGUGUGAAGAUUGCAGACAAGCUUUAUCCAAGGAAAUCUGGUUCUCGAAGUUCGGAGAGCGAUGCCUCUUCGGUUUUCGAACAAGCAAUCCUGUCGGGGAUCUUGCUCUCGAGAUUCGGAGAGCGGUGCCUCUUCGAUUUUUGAGAAAGCAAUCCUGUUGGGAGUCUGGCUCUUGAGAUUCGGAGAGCGAUGCCUCUUCAAUUUUUGAGAAAGUAAUCCUAUUGGGAGUUUGGCUCUCGAGAUUCGGAGUGCGGUGCCUUUUCGAUUUUUAAGCAAGUAAUAAUGCUAUUCCUUUACCUUUCUUGGUCAUAGCAAUGUAGUGAGAGCUGCAAGCUUCACAUGUUUUAACUUUGUCAGAGCGCUUUGAAAAAGUGGUCUGUGGAAUCAGAAAGCUGAUGUUGCAUGUGAAGAUUGCAGACAAGCUUUAUCCAAGGAAAUCUGGCUCUCGAAGUUCGAAGAGCGGUGCCUCUUCGGUUUUCGAACAAGCAAUCCUGUCGAAGAUCUGGCUCUCGAGAUUCAGAGAACAGUGCCUCUUUGAUUUUUGAGAAAGCAAUCAUGUUGGAAGUCUGACUCUUGAGAUUCAGAGAGCAGUGUCUCUUCGAUUUUUGAGCUAGCAAUCUUGUUGGGAGUGUUUUCUUGAAUGUGAGUAAAGGUUGGGCAUUUUUGCCAGUCUGCCUUGCCACGGAGCACGGAGGUUGACACAUUGGGACUUUCUAGUUAUCAAGCAGUAGUGUUGUUCCUUUACCCUUGUGGGUAAUAAUAAGGUAGUUGGACCUUCAAAAUUUAUGUGUCUAAACUUUGUCAGAGAUAUUUGGCAAAGUUAUUUGUGGUACACGAGGAGCUGAUGUUGUGUGUGGAAAGUGGUGCCUCUUCGAAAUCCGGAGAGUGGUGCCUCUUCGAUUUUUGAACCAACGGCCCUGUUGUCAUUUCUUUUAUAAGGGCACCAAUUGUGUGCAAGGAGUACAUUCAGAGAGUUAUUGCUUGUAGGAAUUUUUCCCUUACUUCAGAGAUUUAUUGCACCUCAUCAUUUAUGAGAAUGUCUGGCCCAUCCGACCGUCGUUUUGACUUGAACUUUGGUGAAGAGGCAGCCAUACCUUCUCAAGACAACAUAUGGCGCCCAUCAUUCUUAUCCCCUACUGGUCCUCUUAUAGUUGGGGACUUUGUGAUAAAGAAUGAUAUGACUGCUGCGGUGAUGGCCACGAACCUUCUUACUCCUAAAGAUAACAGACUACUUUUCAAGCGGUCUGAUGAGUUAGCUGUUAAGGAUUCUCUGGCUCUUAGUGUUUAGUGUGCAGGUUUUGUGUCUAAUAUGGCCCAACGCCUAUUUGCUCGAACCCGCCAAGUUGAAUCAUUGGCGGCUGAAGUGAUAAGUCUCAAACAGGAGAUCAGAGGGCUCAAGCAUGAGAAUAAACAGUUGCACAGGCUCGCACAUGACUAUGCUACAAACAUGAAGAGGAAUCUCGACCAGCUGCAGGAAUCUAAUGUUCAGAUUUUACUUGAUCAUCAGAGGUUUGUGGGUUUGUUCUAAAGACAUUUAUUGCCUUCGUUUUCUGAGGCUGUACCGCGUAAUGAAGCUCUAAAUGAUCAACCUUUGGUGCCUCCUCAUUCUGGGGUUCUGCCUAGUACUGAGGCUCCGAAUAAUCACCCUCUGGUGCCUCCUCUUUCUGAGGCUCUGCCGACUGUUAAGACUUCUCCUGAGCAACCUUUGUGAAGGCUUUCUCUUGUUUAUUUAUUUUGAUUCAUGAAUAUGUACAUAUUUGUAACUUAUCGGAGGUAUCAAUAAACGAUUUGCUUCAUUUCAACGUAUUGUGUUAAAUACACCAAGGGCUUCUUCACUAAGUUCUUUGAAUUUUUCCUUUUGUUGAAGCUUGUAUGUUGAAGUUUUGUGAGUGAAGCAUGUAGGUUGAGGUAGUGCUCCCUUAAUUUCCCGAGUGAGGAAAACUUCUCGUUUGGAGACUUGAAAAAUCCAAGUCACUGAGUGGUCGUGAGACUUCCGAGUAUCACGGUGCAGUAGCAUAUGGUAGGAGUCGCCCAAGUCUCCGAUCGAGGGAGUUAACGAAUGAGGCAUUUCCUUUCUAAGUGGUAGCCCAAAACUCCUUCUUCAUAUAUAUUUGUUAUGAAAGUUAUUAGGACCAAAGAAGAGGAGGCCUAGGCAAUUUUUUUUUCUUCGAAUUUUCGAAUUUUUAAAUUUCCGAAUUUUUGAAUUUUCGAAUUUUUGAAUUUUUGAAUUUUUGAAUUUCCGAAAAUAUAUAUAUAUAUAUAUAUAUAUAUAUAUUUUAAAGCUUUGUAGGUGAAGCUUUGAGGUUGAAGCUUUGUUGGGCACCAUGAAUUGAUUUUGCUUCACACUAUCUUAAUCAAGAUAGUGUGAAGCUUUUGUGUUGAAGCUUUUGUGGGUGAAGCUUUUGUGGGUGAAACUUUUGUAGGUGAAACUUUUGUAGGUGAAGCUUUUGUGGGUGAAGUUUUUGUAGGUCAAGCGUUUGUGGGUCAAGCUUUUAUGGGUGAAGCUUUUGUGGGUCAAGCUUUUGUGGGUCAAGCUUUUGUAGGUGAAGCUUUUGUGUUGAAGCUUUUGUGGGUGAAGUUUUUGUGUUGAAGCUUUUGUAGGUGAAGCUUUGGAGUUGAAGCUUUGUAGGUGAAGCUUUGGAGUUGAAGCUUUUGUUGGGUACCAUGAAUUGAUUUUUCUUCACACUAUCUUGAUCAAGAUAGUAUGAAGCUUUUGAGAAUUUGUAGUUAUCCUCCAUUGAUGAAGCUUUUGUUGGUGAAGCUUUGGAGUUAAAGUUUUGUAGGUGAAGCUUUGGAGUUGAAGCUUUGGAGUUGAAGCUUUGUAGGUGAAGCUUUGGAGUUGAAGCUUUUAUUGGGUACCAUGAAUUGAUUUUGCUUCACACUAUCUUGAUCAAGAUAGUGUGAAGCUUUUGAGAAUUUGUAGUUGUCUUCCAUUGAUAAAGCUUUGUUGAAUUUCCCAUUUUUUUUUUUGGGAAACUAGAAAUUUGAAAAUGUGGGAGAGACAACUUAUACAAAUUUUGCUUCCACACUGUUGAGUAAGAGAUUGUGAUACAAGCCACACCUUGUAGUAGUCGAAGGUUUGGAUGAACCAUAUAAAUUGAAUUUGCUUUGAAGGUCUGAGAAUUGUAGUUGCCCUCCAUUGAUGAAGCUUUUGUUGACACCAUAAAUUGGUUUUGCUUUACACUGUCUUGAUCAAAAGUGUGAAGCUUUUGAGAAUUGUGGUUGAACUCCUUUGAUGAAGCUUUUGUUGGCACCAUAAAUUGGUUUUGCUUCACACUGUCUUGAUUAAAAGUGUCUUAAGCUUUUGAGAAUUGUGGUUGCCCUCCAUUGAUGAAGCUCUUGUUGACACUAUAAAUUGGUUUUGUUUCACACUGUCUUGAUCAAGAAUGUGUGAAGCUUUUGAGAAUUGUGGUUGAACUCUUUUGAUGAAACUCUUGUUGGCACCAUAAAUUCGUUUUGCUUCACACUGUCUUGAUCAAGAGUGUGUGAAGCUUUUGAGAAUUAUGGUUGCCCUUUAUUGAUGAAGCUCUUGUUGGCACCAUAAAUUGGUUUUGCUUCACACUGUCUUGAUCAAGAGUGUGUGAAGCUUUUGAGAAUUGUGGUUGAACUCCUUUGAUGAAGCUCUUGUUGGCACCAUAAAUUUGUUUUGCUUCACACUAUCUUGAUCAAGAGAGUAUGAAUCUUUUGAGAAUUGUGGUUGCCUUCCAUUGAUGAAGCUCUUGUUGGCACCAUAAAUUGGUUUUGCUUCACACUGUCUUGAUCAAGAGUGUGUGAAGCUUUUGAGAAUUGUGGUCGCCCUUUAUUGAUGAAGCUCUUGUUGGCACCAUAAAUUGGUUUUGCUUCACACUGUCUUGAUUAAGAGUGUGUGAAGCUUUUGAGAAUUGUGGUUGCCAUCCAUUGAUAAAGCUCUUGUUGGCACCAUAAAUUGGUUUUGCUUCACACUGUCUUGAUCAAGAGUGUGUGAAGCUUUUGAGAAUUGUGGUUGCCUUCUAUUGAUGAAGCUCUUGUUGGCACCAUAAAUUGGUUUUGCUUCACACUGUCUUGAUCAAGAGUGUGUGAAGCUUUAUACGAGUUGUAGUGUUUGCAUUGUUACAGAGGGGAAAUGUCUGAAACAUAUGCAAGAGGGCUGAAUAGCUUGAUCUUCGUAUGCCAUGCAUUGAAGUUGUUGUUGGCUUGCAAUAAGACUUUAUUGGUGACUAUAACUCUUGUUGGGCAUAAGUGUUCCCCUAGUUGAGUCGUCAAGCUUGAGGGUGUUUUGAUUAUUUGUGAAUGCUAGGAGUUCAUAUGUACAAGUUGUACCACUCGUCUUCUGGUAGGUGGAAUGAAUGGUGAGUUGCUUUCAUCACUUGGUUGAUGGUACGAAGGUGAGUUCCUUCUUCCCUUGGUUGGUGGCAUGAAUGGCAAGUUGUCAAAUGAUAUUAGAGUACGGAUUGUGCAUUUCAUCACCUGGUUUGUGGCAUGAAGAAGAGUACAGAUUGUACAUUUCAUCACCUGGUUGGUGGCACGAAGAUGAGUUCUUUCUUUACUUGGUUGGUGGUAUGAGUGGCAAGUUGCCAAAUGAUAUUAGAGUAUGGGUUGUACAUUUCAUCACCUGGUUGAUGGCAUGAAGGAGAGUACGGGUUGUACAUUUUAUCACCUGAUUGGUGGCAUGAAUGGCAAGUUGCCAAAUGAUAUUAGAGUACGGGUUGUACAUUUCAUCAUCGGGUUGGUGGCAUGAAGAUGAGUUCCUUCUUCACCUGGUUGGUGGCAUGAGUGGCAAGUUGCCAAAUGAUAUUAGAGUACGGGUUGUACAUUUCAUCAUUUGGUUGGUGGUAUGAAGAUGAGUUUCUUCUUCACCUGGUUGGUGGCAUGAGUGGCAAGUUGCCAAAUGAUAUUAGAGUAUGGGUUAUACAUUUUAUCACCUGGUUGGUGGCAUGAAGGAGAGUACAAGUUGUACAUUUCAUCACCUGGUUGGUGGCAUGAAGAUGAGUUCUUUCUUCACAUUUCAUCACCUGGUUGGUGAGAAUAAGGGCAAAGUGUCUAGGCACACUGUAGCAAGUGUCGAAUGACACAAAAUAUGUUGAACCAUUUCAAAGCACAAUUGGCUUAUGUAUGAAUGUGUUGAAAUGUAUGAUUGAACGAAUAUACUGUGAAGCUGUUCGUUUAUUUAUAUAGUCUUGUUGACAUAUACUUAGACUUUGUUUCAUGUUAGAAGCAUUCAUGUUGAAGCUUUGAACCCGAGUGUUUCAUUGCUAAGAAUGUAAGAGGAUUAGGAUCGAGUUGUCUAAAUCACCUCUUUAUUGAAUUCAUGCCAAAUAGUCUUCGUUACAUAGGAUGCCGAACGACUGAAGCUUAACACUUGUACAAUGUGAGUUUACUUGUAAUAGUACUUCAAGUGAUCAACGUUCCAUGGAUAGCCAAGGGUCUUGCCAUCAGAGCUUUUAAGCUUGUAGGAGCCAGGGCGACUGAUGCCAACAACUUCAAACGGUCCAUCCCAGUUUGGACUAAGUGUUCCUUCACUCGGGACUUUGUCGCAGAGUAAUCUUUUCUUCAAUACUCAGUCCCCCACUUUGAAAAAACAAGGUUUGACCCUUGAGUCAUAGUAGUUGGAGAUGCGCUGCUUGUAGGUGACAUUCCUUAAGUGAACCUGGUUUCUGUGUUCCUCGACUAGAUCUAAGUUGAGGGUAAGUUGUUUUUCAUUUUCGCUUUGCACGUAGUUCUAGACUCAGAACGUUGCUUGCUCAAGCUCAACUGGGACAACUGCCUCUGUACCAAAAACAAGUGAGAAUGAGGUUUCUCCUGUUGAUGUCCGAUACGAAGUGCGGUAUGACCAAAGAACUUGGGAUACAAAUGCUGGCCAACAACCUUUAGCCUUGUCCAAGCUGGUUUUCAAAGUUCACAUGAUAUUGAUCGAAGCCCCCGUGUUUACCAGGAUUCGUCGUACUUCAAAGUUGGCUAUAUGAGCUUCCACGAUCAGUAGGUCGUUGUGAGGGUAAAUAAUACCUCUUUCUUCCUCAGGGUAGAAACAUAUUGGAUCCCAGUUAGGCUUUUGAUACUUACCUCCCCUGAUGUCUUCCACGUGAAACACUUGGUGGCCAGACCUUAAAGCUCAUUCACUAUUUUUCGUGGCCCUGUUGGAAGAUUUAGAUAUGGGUGUGCCACCACUUAUGGAAUAUAUCACAUUUACCUGGCGUUGGUUACGGUUACCCCUUGAAGGGUGAAGAAGGAAUUAAUCAAUUUUUUCUUCACGUGCCAAAGCUUCAAUAUGAUCACGAAGGGUGAUACACUUCUCACCAUUAUGGCCGUUAUGCUCGUGGUAGCAGCAAAACGUGCCCGUGUUCUUCAUGGGCUUGUAAUCCAGGUGCCUCGGCUUUAGCUUCGGUAUCAAGUGUGCUAUGCUGGGGUAAAUGGCCAUGCAUGUGGCGUUCAAAGGUGUGUAUGCCUUAUACCUUGGGGUAGGGGCUGUCCUGACACAUGCUUGACCCACUGUGUUGACUGCUUGGGGUCGGGGAUUAUCAUGGCGAUACCCUUGGUUAUCACGGUAGUGUCCCUUACUCCUUUUACUAAAAUGAGACUGGUGAGGAUGGAAAUCUUUCCUUUUACCCUGAGAUUGAUAUGUCUGUUAACUUGGCAAAAUAUUAAGUAAGGCAGGGGGAGGCACCGCUACCGUUUGGAAGGUCGAGGUUUUCUCAUUUGGUUGGAUUUGGCUUCCACUUCCUACUUGCUGAUAAGGGGUGGUUGUGGGGGGUUUCCCUUGAUAUGUCCUUACCUCGGCAGAGGCAUGGUUGUAAGCAUGUGCCAUCACCUCAGAGUAAGUCUUCCAAGUGUUGGCAUUGAUCAUGUACUUGAAGAAACAAUCACGUAGGUCUGCCGUGAAGGCCUUGAGAGCAGUCUUGUCAUCUGCCUCAGCGCAGCGAGAAUACUUAUGGCUAAAACGACCAACAUACUCUUAUAGUGACUCGUCCAGUUUCUGGCGAAUAGUGUACAAGUCAUCCGCAGAAUGCAAGCGAUCGGUUUGGAAGAUGUGUUGAGAGAAAAACAGUUUCCUCAGUUCUUCAAAUGAGUCUACUGUCUCAGGUGGAAGACGACAAUACCAGUUUAGAGCUCCGUCAGAGAGGGUGGAGGGGAAGAGAAGACAUCGUUCUUCGUCGGUGUGCAUCCGAUAUGCCAUGGUGGACUCAAAGAGGUUAAUGUGUUUAAUUGGGUCCUCCCUUCCAGUAUAGAGUUGUAAACCAAGCUUUUGUUUUGUCUUCGCUUGAAUGGGGUGUCAAGGAUCCUCCUUGUAAGAGGGCCAGGCCUGGGUUGGUUCUAGUCAGGUAUCUCGGCCUGACGUUCGGCCUUCAACUUGUUUACUUCCUUAAGGUGCUGUAGGACAAAGGGGGUCUUGAGUGGAGUCAUGUACCACUAGGAUUUUCUUUCGUAAAUCUCCAUUGCCUCUUGGAAGUAAGAAAGUUUGAGUAAGGGCGUGUGAUUUUUCCUUGGACUAGUCAUACUGACUUCUAGGGCGAGUCUGUCGGAAUACCUCAGAGUCCCCUGUACCUUCAUGUUCCUCUAGGACAUGUCGUUCCUUCCCUAGAUUGGCAGUUAGUCUGGGUCGUGGAAGGGGACCGAGUCUUUUAGAAACCCUUGGGUCAUUGAUCUUCGAGCAUAUAUGGAGGGGAUUCUCUUGACGUUGCUUUAGGAAGUCUCGGCAAUCACGAUAAACGACUUUCGAUCCUUCCAACCUUUCUGCAAGGAGGUGUCUUCCUCCACUUCUCCUGCUUCGGGUCGAAGCAGCUGGGUUGAGAGAAGUCUCAUGUUGAUCAAUGUUUUGAUGAUUAGCUUGCUCCUCAUCAGGGAUUCCCAUGUCGAAGGAAGGUGACCCUCCGUGUUGGGGGGCACCUAGAUGAUGAUUGAUGUCUACAGGGGCAACAAGCUUGCGUGUUUGAGUACGCAUAGUUUCGUAGAGCGUCUCAAAGAGCUUUUCAUACUGCUCCUAGAGGACCUCAUUCUUCAUUGCUAUCUUGUUAUUUUGAGCUUUUAACUCAUUGACUUUAGCUUGAAGAACAACCCUCUUUCCUUCCUUCUUUCGUUGCUUCGCACUAGGUGCAAAAUGGUGUCAUUCUGUGUGUUAUGGCUUCCUUCGCUCCUCAUGUUGGAGAGGGAUACCUGGUCAAAAGAGAGUGUACUAAUGGUGGAAACCAGCUUGACAAAGCUGAAGAGAGUGAGAAUAAGUGUCAUUCCCACAGACGGUGCCAAAUGUUGAUGCACAAAAUCAGUGAGGACUUUGGUACAAUAGAAAAUGUUAAGUUUGUGACCUUCGCUAGAUUGCUCUGGUCACUAGUGUGGAUAAGUAUGUAAAUGGAUAGAGACAGGGAAGCAAACACAAGAUGUACGUGGUUCACCUAGAUUGGCUACGUCCAUGGAGUAGAGGAGUUCUCAUUAAUUGUGAAGGGUUUACACAAGUACAUAGGUUCAAGCUUUCCUUUAGUGAGUACUAGUAAAUGAUUUAGUACAAAUGACAUUAGGAAAUAUUGUGAGAGAAUAAUCUCUAUUUAUAGAAGAGAGUUUCUAGUUUCAUUCUGACAUUGACACAUGUCGUGUUGUGAUUGGCUUCUGAUGUUGACACGUGUCGCGCUAUGAUUGGCUUCUGAUGUCGACACGUGUCGCGCUGUGAUUGGCCUCCUGGUUGGAGGGAAACUCUUCUGGGUCCUUGACGGUAUAACGUUGACCGGUGCUCAGUAAUUUCGGGAUUGUUCAAGUAUGGUACAAACAUCACCCGUUAACGAUGAACUUUGAGAAAAAAAAACCAAAUUAGAAAUCAUUUAAUUUGUUGAUUAACAUUGUCAAAAUUUAUGUGAGAGAUUAAUUUCAUAAGCACUACUCGCACCUUAUAGAUUUUUAAUCACAAGCACUAGGCGCGACUUACAAAUUUAUAUUGAUAUUUUUAUUUGCCAAUGUACUUUCACUAUGCACAAAGUUGAAAUAACAAUCAAAUAAAAAGUCUAAAAUUAUAGAAAUUCGCAAGUAAUGCUUAUCAAGCGUGAUUAAGGUCAAAUCAAACUUUAAAGAGUCAAAUUGAGUUUCAAAUUCAACGAAAAUAAAAUAAAAUCGCAAAAUAGAAAAUACGUCAAUAAAUAGUGAAAUUCAGAAAUGGUAUUUCACACUUGCGGUCACUUUAUCUAGCAGUAGAGAUGAUCGUAGUUUUUUUGCUAAGCUUUUUUUUUUUUUUGGCCAAAUGAUAGAUUUUAUUAGAUUAGAUAUUAGAUUAGUCACUGACAGGGGUUUGAACCCACACUGUCAUGCAAGAGCUCAACAUCUUUCCACCACUGUGGUAAAAUGCCACUUGCAGUUUUUUUGCUGAGUUGGUGUGGAGUAUUUGGACAACGAUGUGUGAGAGGAUUCCUACGGUAAGAAGCUAACAAGCCAUGCUAUUAGAAAGUGGGCGGAAUGCCCUAUUUUUGAAUUUCAGGUGGUACCAAAUCAAUGCAUCAAGGCAGGGACGUUCUUUAGAGGAGUUGAGAUGGCUUCAUCCCCCAGUGGGUUAUUCAAAGUAAAUGUUGAUGGAGCGUUCAUGGUUUCGAUUUUUUGACAACAUAAUUGUUGGCAGGAAGGGAAGGAUUCGUAUUUGCAAAUUGCAUAUGACGCUCAUGCUAUUACGUUGAAACUUCAUGCUAAAGGGGUUGUGGACUUGAUCUCUUGAUAUGGAUAACCGUAUUUUAGAGGAGAUUGAUGAUUUGAAGAGUAGGUUAAGUCGUUUUUUUUAUAUCGAUGGCAAACACGUGAAGGCAACAUGGUGACUCAUGAAUUAGUGAAAUAUGGACUAGCAAUGGAGUUUUUAAUACAUGAAUGGAGGAGGAACCACUUUGGUUCCUGAAAAGUGAGUUGAAGAAUUAUAAUUGAUUGAGCAAAAUGGUGAGGCGCUCUUUUGCAGAGCCUCCUCUUGCUUCGAUAAGCUCUUUGUACUUUUGUUUAUGCAGCAAUUAAAAGCUCAGUUUUUAUACAAAAAAGAAUUACUUGAGUUUUUUGUGAUAAAUUUCACAUAUGAUGUAUUGUAGGUGGUAAGGUCCAAAGUUGGACACCAUAUCAAUGUGAUUAAAUAAUGAGUUACUAAUUUAUCCCUCUAAAAUUUUAGCAUGGUAUUAGAGUAACUCCAGCAUUGCAAAGGCCUCCUAGGGCAACUCACUAUUGAAUCCAGCAGUGAAUAAUAACUGCCUUUAAUAAACAGUAACUGCUUUUUGCAUCUCCACCCCUAACUUGAAUAGUCAUGAUAAUAAGCAAUAAAAUAUUAGUAUUUUUUUUCACCCAAUCCAUACAUCCCCAUCACCCUUUCCUCUUUUCCCCUCAUUUGACCGGUUCUUCCUCUCUCUCUUUUCUUUCUAUCUCUCUCUUCCUUUUUUCUUUCUUUCUCUCCCUUUUUUCCAGCUCACUCUCGUGAGCUCUCUUCCUCUUCCUCUUCAAACCUUCAACAAAUCAAGCUCAAAAAUAAUAUUUGGAAUCCUUGGAACUCAAGGAACCCAACCAUGGCCUUGCAUGCGACAUCGGUGCAUGGUGUGAGGUCCUACCAUUGAAGCCGAGAGCUUGAGGUCUUAAUCUCGAACCCAGGUGAUGUUUUUAUCACUAUCUUGUGUGCUUGAGCUUUAAAUCUUGUUGUGUUGCAAUUCUUAUGGUUUAAUUGGAGGGCUUAAUUCCCUGAAUGCAUCCCAUUCUUUUUCCAAAUUCCGACAAAGGAAAACGGACGAAUUCGAGCCAGAUCACCCUGAGGUCAACCACACAUCACAUAGCCAUUAGGCUCUCGGGCGAUGGAUUCCCGCCUAGCUUGUCCACUGGGCCUGAGCUCCAUUGCCCGCAUAGGCUAGAGCCAAUUGCUGGGGCCAUUGGGUGAUUGGAAUCGCAGGUCCAUCGGGCUACAGAGCACACUGGAAUUGCUCUUAAAAUGGCUUAUUGAUAGGGCUCAAUUCAUGACGCCUCUAAAUAAAAUAAAAAAGAGAGUAGGCGUCACUAGACAAAACAAUCUAUAACAACCCGUUUCUAUCUGUUUCAAUCAAUGGUAAGGUUGUGAAACUAAUCCAAUGUAAUGGCUACACUAUCUAACAUGUAUAAUCAUUAAAUAAUAAUAUGAUGAAUGGGCAUUGAAGUGGUUGGUUAAAAGCAAUAUUCUCACUGUCACACCUUCUCAAUCGGUCCAUUUUAGUGAACAAAAUGUCAUUAUCUUUUUGGUCGCAUUUGUUUUGUCUCUCUCAGGUUAGACAUCAAACGGUAGUGUUCUCUUAUCCUUGUUCAGUUCAAAUUAAAUGUCCUUUUAGUUUCUUGUUUUCAGUUGUGUUUUUUUUUAUUAGGUGAGAAAUUAAAUGACGAGUUUGAUAUUAAAUUAGUAUAAAAAGUUAAUUAUGCGACAAUAACCCAAUAUCAUAUCCUGUCGAGGGUACUAUGAUUAAAUACUCUAUAGCCCUUGAUAAUCAACUCCCCUGAGGUGUCCAGACUGUUGGUUUGGUUGAGUAAUUCUGGUAUUAAAAAAAAAAAUAAAGUGCUUACCUUUCCCAUUAAAAGUAAAAGGCAAAAUAAUGAUUUAGAAGUAUGCGAUAAAUAUAGGGAAAUAUUAUUUGGCGUUUAAGAUUUUAAUUAUGUUUUUUUUUUAUAAGAAUUUUUAUUUUUUAAAUAAAGAGCAUUUAAAUUGCAUGAUUAAUUUUUUUGGAAUGUCAAUCAAUUUCUUAAAUAUAUAUAGGACUAAUUAUAUUUUACACUAUUGAAGAUGAUUUCUAAAAUCGGUCACAAGAUUCUAACUUUUUUCACAUUACACCCUCAAAUUCUGAAGCACCAAAAAUUUGACCAGUAGUCGGUUCGAAGUACAACACUGUCUCAUAUUAUAUGUCCAAGUUCCAUUGAAAUCCAGACAGAGAGAAGCUUCCUUAGUCCCCCUUCCUUAACAACCCAACCUCUCAAUUCAAAGACUCCAAAUUUUUCUUCAACUUCCUUCCCUGUAUUCUAGCAAUUUUUUAUAGGACCUCUCAAGUUGAAGCGCCAUAUUUUAUUGCGCAUCAGAAUUUCUUAGUACCCAAAUAAUUGCUUUCCGCUUUCGUUGGAUCCUAUGCUUUCAGCUUAAAUCCGUCGAAAAAGCACGUUUGCUUCAGUUUUGGUAUUGCUUUCGAACUUCAAAGGCGGUUUAAACUUUCGCCCACCAAAUGGUCCACGCUUUGACUGACUGGUAGUCAUGGUUGCUGUCUUUUGGUCAAAAGCUGUCGAUGAUCUGUGAGUGGAACAGCUAAAUUUGGAUGAUUUCGACUUUUGGGUUUUGAGCUUGUGGGUUGUGUUUUUUUUUUUUUUUUUUUUUUUUUUGUUUUUGCUUGUUUCAGCGAUUCUCUGUCUUGUAUUUUGAAGUUCUGGAUAUUGGGAAGUGGUUUGUUUAAGGGUUUGAGGUUUUUUGUUUUGGUGGGGUUUUGUUUUUGUUUGUGUUUGUGUUUCUUCACAUCCUUAAGUAGAAUCAUUGGAUUGUGGGAAUUGAAUUGUAAGUUAUUGCAGUUGGGUUUAGUUGGUGGCUUCAAUUCACGGCUUUUUUCAGAUUCAUGUUUUAGUGAAUUUAAGAAUAUGGAUAUGAGGAGCUGAGAUUAAGGUUGUCGGAGUUGGGGUUUGGUCGGUUUUUGUCGCGCAACCCCGUGCACUAGGCAAAAUGGGGAGCAAUGGGGUUGACCAUCCAUUGAAACAUUUGGAAGAGGAAGGUGUUAGCAGCCAAGGACAGAGUAAGUAUUUUCUGCAAAGUUGUCGAAAUUUAUGAUUGGAAAUGGAUAACAAGUAUUCAAUUUAACAAUUGGUUGCAGGUUCUUUUCAGGGAGAGAGGAAGCAGAAGACAAAUUCUGCACGGCCCUCUUCGGUUUUAGAGAUUUUUCAGGAAAAAGAAUUCAAUGGUGCUUCUUCACCUUGGAGAGGUUAGUGCUCCCACGCAGUCUGAGUUGUAGUUCCUUUUGUUGUUUGUUAUGCAUUGAGGGACUAAAAAUGAAGCUUUUCCUUGAAGAGAGUUGACCAGGUUCUUUCUCUUUAGGGUGAACUAUACGAUUCUAAUUGUUUCUUGACAACCUGGAAUUACUUAAUAUUUAACCGAGAAACUCAAUGAACCAAAAUUUGUUACGCGUUAUUGUCUAUACAAUGCGGAAAGGAGUUUCGUGAUUUAGCUUAAAAUUCAAGUGUAGGAUUUCUGUAUACUGCCAGGAUGUUAGUUGUGCUCUUAGUUUAGUAAUCAGCCAUUAUUUAGUGAAGUUCCUUAGGUAUAAAUAUGUCUUGGAAUUUGGAAUUUAGAUGACCAGACUGAAGUUCUAGAGCGAUGCUGAAAAGAAACGAAAAAAAGUGAUUGAAGUAGUAGAAUAGUUCUUAAAAUAAGUAUUAUCUAAAUUGUGAAAAUACCUAUGAUUAUGUCACACUAUUGUUGUUCUUGUGGCCAAUCCUUUUACUAAACUUUUCAGUGAAUCAUAGGAUGAUGCAAUCAUGAUCCAAACUAAUAGUCUAAUUAGUACAAUGAUGUGAUCAUGCUGACCCCAGAUGGUACUGCACUUUAACGGCAUACUGGGAUCCUAAGUAUUUCUGUUUCUUUUGUUUUAGUAUUUAUCUAUUUGCUCACUGAUACGUACACGUAUGUUCAUGAAGGUUUGGACAAUUCAAUCACAGCGCCUAUUGGCACUCCCAAAGGUUUGCUGAUUAAGGAGCAUGAGAUUAGAUUCUCUAGAUCCAUGAUGGAGAAGAAGGGAAGGCAUGACUUAAAGCUGGAUAGACUGUCAGAGCGUGAAAAGGUAGAUACUAUCAUAUGCGUGGUUGCUUGUUCUCAUACCCUGUUUGCUUACAACUUUUAAUUUGUCCACCUAUCAGAACUAGAAACAUGUUUGUUGGACUAGUUUCUUUCAUGAAGCUGCAACUUCAUGCUGAAUAGAUGGAUGCCAAAUGUUGUCCCCUAAUUUUAUUUGAAAAGCAUGAGUGUAUGACAGUCCCUGUCUUACAGUAUCUUAUAUUUUUUUCAGUACCUGAUGACUGUGACAUAAAUUGAGUUAUAAUUGACGGCUCCAACCACUGAGGUUGCUAGUUAUCCUCCACCCCACUCCCCUCCCCCCAAUUCUUUAUUAACAAAAUUUGGAAUGCAGAUGGUUUUAUUUACUCGUACAUUCUCCUUUUGGUUGAUCAUUGUUUCUCCGGUUUUGAUUUUCAGAAAAAACUAAUUGUUGAGAUGGUCAAGAUACAAAAUGAUGGAAGAGUAGAAGUUGAUUUAGAAAAAAGUGCACCUGUUGCCUCUGAGUUGUUAGAGCUCCACACUGUCGAAGAUGUGCCCAUCAAUCUUGAUGAGAUGCCUUCCAAUACCAUCAAGUCAAUUCCAAGGUUGAAAAUUUGCAUACUUGUUGUUGGAACAAGAGGAGAUGUACAGCCUUUCCUGGCUAUGGCAAAGAGAUUUCAGGCAUGUCCAACAUAACAAGAUGACUUUGUUUUGAAUAAUUUACCGUUGUUGGGCACUAAUUAUUAUAGCUCUUACCUGUAGAGGUAGGCCAUGCUAUGAUGCUAGGCUGCUAGGCAUAUUAAAUUUUAAACAUCAUUGACAUAUUCCUGUAUCCCUUGUUUGAAAAAUGAUGUACCUUAUUGUCUAUAUGUUUCCUGCAUGUUUGAAUGGUUGUAGAUGGUUUGAUCUUUUCUUGCAGGAGUUUGGCCAUCAUGUCAGGUUGGCAACUCAUGCUAACUUCAGUUCUUUUGUGAAGUCAGCUGGUGUAGACUUUUAUCCGUUGGGUGGCGAUCCUCGUGUUUUGGCAGGAUGUAAGAGGUCCUAUAUUGGAAGUACUUUUUUUAAAUGAUAUAUAGCAAUUUAUCUCAUUUUUGGUAGCGAUCUUGUUGGUAGAUCACUUCCUAUGUCUCUGUCUAUUUUGUCAGAUAUGGUGUGAGUUUAUAUGUGGUUCAUAUAGCCGACCCCACUUAGUGGGAUAAGGCUUUGUUGUUGUUGUUGUUGUUUGCUCUCUCUGCUGUUUACUUUCUCUUUCUUGCAGCUGAACCUUAAUCUGAACAACUUGGGAACUUCUCUCCCUCUCUCUCUUUCUCUCUCUCUCACGCACAUGUGCACGCACACAACUCACUCUUCCUCUCUGCAUAAUUUUCUUAUGAAAGCUGAGUUGUAAUUGUGAAAGCUGAGUUAUUCGAUUGAUUAUUGACCACCUUAAAAAUUUAAAAUUACAACUAUUCUUUACUCUUUAGCCAAAAUUCAAGAUUUUCCAAUUCUUGGAGCUCUUAUUUAUGUCACUGGUUACUCUAAAUAUGUUUAAUGUUCCCAAAUUGUCCCCUCAAGUGCUUUAUUGAAUAACUGAAAUUUAGUGCCAUU